UCAUAUUUGAACUAUCAUGUGUAUGAACUACCAUCUCUGUGGCUCUGUCCCAAUUUAUAUGACAUAUUUCAUUUUUCGAGAGUCAAACAGUUUAAGUUUGAUCGAGAAUUUGCUUAUGAAUUUUUCAAACUUUUAAAAUGAAAUUUAUAUAUUUGUAAACUACGUAAAAAGUACUAUAAGUCACAAUAAUUGACAAUUCAAAAUAUUUAAAAGAUACAUUUAUGAAAAAUUUAUGGUCAAAGAUAGAUUUGUUUGAAUCUUGAACUCCGAAAUGUGUCAACAUAAAUUGGGACAUAGGAAGUAUAUGAAUUAUUAUCAACUAUUAAUCAAAAUACAUAUCAAUUAUCAAUUAUUCAUUUUUUUAAAUCUAAAGUCUAAACAAUGAUACAUUUUAGAUAAGAAGGGAGAACAACGGAUUGUUGAGAUGUAUUCUAAUAAAUAAUUGGUGACAGUUCAAAUAAAAAACUCGUACAUCAUAUAGUUCAUAUACAAAAACUCAAAUAAAUAAAUGAAACAUCAGUAGCAUAUAGAAGGUACUGGAAACUCGAAAGUGGAUAAACUCACUUCCCUGUUUAGAGCACCAAAAUUCUCUACCAAUGGCUUCUUCAUCAUCAUACAAAAAAUUUGAGACCCGAAAACGAGAUCCAGACUCGAAAUCUGCUGUUCUAUUGGCGAUUGAUAUGCAGAACUACUUCUACUCCAUGGGUAAACCGAUUCUACCAGCAAUCAAAACCACAAUCGAUCUCUGCCGGCGGAAUUCCGUGCCGGUGAUAUUCACGCGCCACCGUCAUAAGUCACCGGAGGAUUACGGCAUGAUUUACGAGUGGUGGAACGGUGAUAUUAUCAAAGAUGGAACCGUUGAAGCUGAACUUAUACCGGAGUUGGAUCGGAGAGACGGUGAUUUGGUGGUCGAAAAACACACUUACAGUGCCUUCAGAGGUAUUUUUUUUCCCACUGAUUUUGUUUUUACAGUCAUUUUCUUCUGUUUGCUCUGUACUCUGUAGUUACUUUUUUUGUUAACUUUUAACUUUUUGGUGAAAUUUUAGCUGGUUGUUUUAGCCAAAAAUUGUCAAAAAACAUAAUUAAACUAUCACAUUUUGUGAAUUUCAUUGGCAUAAUAUACAAAUGUCUGCACAAGUAGACAUUUAAACUUGUAUAAUAUUGAAUAAAUAGAUAAAAACAUUAUUGUAAUUCACGUGAAAUACGCUCGUCCUACUACAUACGUGUAUCUUACAUUGUAAUUCACGUGAAAUACACUUGUCUUACCUGGAAACUGAUUUGUAUUAUGCCAUGUAUGAUAUGUGUUUAUUUAUUGAAUUUUAUACAAGUUUAAGUGUUUACUUGUGCGCACACAAAAUUAUUGAAUGUAGAUGCUAACUGAGGUCGAGAUAAAUGACAUGCUUAUGUAUUAUACCAAUUUGAGACCUCAACUAGAUAUUGUUCCAUUUUAAGUGAAAGGUCAAAAACACACAUGAAGUAUUUGGUUUUUGCGAGUUUCAUAAGUUUUUUAUAUGAACUAUUACCUAAUGUUUAUCGAAACACACCUCAACUAUAAAUUGUUUUCUUUUCGUACUUGAAAUAUCAAUAUUGUUUAGGUAGGACAAGGAACAACAAAUAGUUGAGGUCUGUUUUGGUAAAUAAUUGGGUGUUACUUGGUCAACUCAACAUUCAUGUGUCUAUUAAUACAAAGAGCUUAGGUCGGUAAAGAUAACAAGGAAUAGUUGACGUAUGAAACUCACGAGAAAAUUGAUAGUUAAUGUGUGUUAUUGACCAUUGACUAUUUUGGCAAAUGAUUUAUGGACCUUUUAAAACUGCUGUCUUAGAAUUCGUUUCGAGUAAACCGAAAAUAGGUCUCAGUCUAAUAUUUGUAAGUUAUUGUACACUUAAGAUCACAAUCUAAUGUUUUGUAUGUAAAAUUAUUCAAGAUACGAGUAAACAUUAGACUUGAAUCUAACGUUAUCUGAAAAGGUAAUUUUAUAAGGACUAUAUUUGCAUACAUUUUCAAACAUUUGCAGAUACAAACUUAGAGGAGAAACUGUUGGAAAUGGGGAUAAAGGAGGUAAUAGUGACUGGAGUAAUGACCAAUCUGUGCUGCGAGACCACAGCCAGAGAGGCAUUUGUUAGAGGGUUCAGAGUCUUCUUUUCCACAGAUGCAACUGCAACUUCCUCAGCAGAACUGCAUGAUGCUACAUUGAAGAACUUAGCUUAUGGUUUCACUUAUUUGGUUGAUUGCAAAAGGAUUCAAGCUGCCUUCUCAAUUCCCUGAGCACUCAAGAGUCGAGGUAUUAUAAUCUAUUUUGUUCGAUUUCUUCAAAAAUGUCGAUAAAUGUGUGUUGGAUCCUGAGCACUCAGGAGUAGGGUACUAAAAUGUUGAUACGUGUGUUGGAUCCUGAACACUCUAGAGUUAAGGUACAACAAUCUAUGUUGCUCGAACUUUUCAAAAAAGGUUGAUAUGCGAGUAUUGGAUCCUAAGCACUCAGGAAUCAAGAACAACAACAUAUGUGCUCGAAUACUUCAAAAAAUGUUUAUAGGUGUGUGUUGGAUCCUGAGAACUCAAGAGUCGGGUACAACGACCUAUGCUUAUCCGUCUCUUAGAAAAAUGUCGAUAGGUGUGUGUUGGAUCCUAAGCACUCAAGAGUUAAGGUACAACAAUCUAUGUUGCUCGAACUUUUCAAAAAAAUUCUGCGAGUGUUGGAUCCUGAGCACUCGGGAGUCAAGUACAACAACAAAUGUUGCUCGAACUCUUCAAAAAAAUGUUUAUAGGUGGGUGUUGGAUCCUGAGCACUCACGAGUCGGGUACAAUGACCUAUGCUACCUUCAAAAGUAGUGUAUUUUUUGAGAAUCCGACUUGGGUGUGACAACAUUUUGGAGAGUAUGAGCAACAUAGAUGAGAACUAUGACAAAAUAUUAGUCAUGUCAUCCCAAUUUAUGUGAUGCACUUUGACUACGAACACAGUUUAAAAAAUAAACUUUUGAAACUUGUGGUCUAAGUUCGUUUAGACAUUAGUUUUUUUCGCUUCCUUUUUUGAUAAAAAAUAUUUCAAAACGUGAAUAACCCUUUAGUUUACACUGUUGCUUCGUGCCUUGUCACGGAAAGUAAAUAAAUAAGUGAUAAUUUUUUUGUCGUAGCUAAUAUUUUCGUGGUUAAAGAUCGCCUUUGUUAUAGUGUAGUAAUACUCAUGAUGAGGUUUCAUGGUGUAUGCAAUUUGCAGGUAAUAUUGUAGCAGACGAAACUGGUGAGGGAGGAACUAUGGAGAAGUACUUUAGUGAGUAAAUAUUUUAGAAUAAGAAGAUGUAAGAUAAAAUGAAUACAUGACAAGAUUUACCUUCUCACCUCAAAGGUGAGUACUUAUCUGCAUCGAGUGUUUACAUCGAAAUAAUGUAAUUUACCUUGAAAAGAUAUGGUUAUGGUAGCUAAAUGCCUAAAUCUCAUAUAUGUCUAUAGGCUGGUUUUAUAUACAUUAUUUUCUAUAUUAUAUGUUUUGGAAAUUCAAUUAUUUUCACUAUAUUUCUAUAGGCUGAUUUUAUGUAAAUUAUUUCCCAUAUAAUAUGCUUUGGAAAUUAAAUUAAUUUUGCCAGAUUUAUGACCAAAAAAUGAAGUACUAUAUUUAAUUGUUUUACUUAAUACUUUCUCUGUUUCUCAUGUAAAAAGUAAAAGAAUAUGACUUAUGGUAAGAAGAUCUCGUACAUGUCUAUAGAAUGUUUUUUAAAAAAAAUAUAUAUUUGUAUUUCCUUAUUUAUACAUCUCAUGAAUGAUUUUACUUAUAUUUUAGUUGGUAUAUACGUUGAAAUAUUAAUAUUGAUAAGUCCUCUCAUAAGUUAUAUUGAUUAGUCUGUUAAUUUAUUUUUCACCUAAAAUUUAUUGAUGAUCUAAAGAUAUAUGCCAUUAUAUGUGUAAGAAAAAAAAUAUUUUGUACAUUUCUAGUUGGGACACAAGUAGUGACUAUGAUUUUUUUUUAGUAAUAAAGGAAUAUUUUUGUCACUCUGAGAACAUAUAUAUAAACUGUAGAAAAAGAAUUCAUCCAUCUGGUGAAAAUUCCUAUAGCAUGAUAAGAAAAAUAAAUUUAGCUAUAGAUUUUUUCUAGGGAAAAAGGACAAAUAUACUAUCGCAAAUGAUAUGCAAAUGCCCUCCGUCAUACUUUUGGAACAUGCAUCUGUCGUUCAAAAACUAGAGCAUAUAUCCCCUUUAUACUAACGGACAUAUACGUGUCAUAAUCUUAUCCAUCGAUCUGACAUUUAUCGAUGAAUAAGAUUGCGUCACGUGUCCCUAUUUAGUCCUCCAUUAGAGUGAAGGGCAUGUAUGCUCUAGUUUUUAGACGGCAGGGGCACCAAUGUCUCAAAAAUAUGACGGAGGAUAUCUGCAUAUCAUUUACGAUAGUUCGGGGUAUAUUUGUCCUUUUCCUUUUUUAUAUGGAAGAAUAAAACUGAUAAUUGAAUUGUAACAUACUUAUGGACUCUUGCGACUAUUUCAUAUAUAAUUAUAAAAACUUAGUUAAAUUAAUAGAAUCACAAAACAUGUCCUUGGAGUAGAUAUUUUAUAUGAUCAAGAUCUAUCAGAACAGUCUCUUCAUGUCAUAAAGAUAUGGAUAAAAUUAACGUAUAUAUUUCACCUUUUUCAGACUCCACUUGUGAAAUUACACUCGAUAUAUUAUUGUUAUUGUUGAACCUACAUUGUCAAGAAUAAAUCUCACCUAUAGUUCCGAUUAAUACUUUAACUUUUAUGCCUUUUUUAUAUAUCCAUAAAAAGGGGUCUCUAGUCUUUCUUAUUAUCGUUACUUAAAUUCAACUUAUAUGAAAUGUCUUUAUUGGUCAAAUUAAAUUUUAGAAAACUUGAAUUUUAUACACUAAACUAAGGGUCUUUAUUUUCAUUUAAUGGAAAUCACAACUAACUGGAAUAUCAUCACAUUGCCCUGAGAUGCAUAUAUAUAAAAGGAGUAAGAGAAGUAGAGAUAGGCCGAAGAAGAUUUGAGAGGAGGUGGUUAGAUAGUCGAUAGAAUAUGGUGUAGUUUUAGCUUAACGAAGACAUGAUCCUAGAUAACAAGGUGUAGAGGGUGAAGAUUAGGUUAGAAGGUUAGUAGAUAGUUGAGUGUUGUCGCACUUUGUUUGAGGGCUAACCUCCUCUCCGUUUUUUAUAUAUAUAAUUAAUAGUGUUAUUAGUAAUCACACAUUUCUUUUCAUCAAUGUGUAUUCUAUUUGUCGCUUGACCAUUUGUCUUGUAUCUUGUUAUUUUUCUGUUAUAUUUUUGUAUUGCCAUGAUAUAAAUUCUUCUCUUUUCUUUCUAGUCGAAAGUCUAUCGGAACAAUCUCUCUACUCCAAAAAAGAUAGGAAUAUAAAUUAUACAUCAUUUUCUCUCUAAAUUCCACUUAUGAAAUCCUACUGAUUAAGUGGUGGUUGUUGUUGUUUUGACCUAUCAAAAACUAUGCAAAAAGGUGAUCACAUCAAUUGAGAGUAGCAUUUAUUUAUAAAACCUUUUAGCUAUUUUUACUUAAUAUAGUAUGAGAGCUCCAAUAAUAAAAUAAUUUAAUGAUCUAAAAGCAUUGUGUCAUAAUGUGAAGAAGAUAAAUAUCAUUAACAACAACAUACUCAGUAACAUCUCAAAAAUUGGGAUGAACAUACCCAAUAACACCUCAAAAAUGGAAUAUGAAGAAGAUAAGAUAUACGUAAUUUUAUUUCUACAUUAUGAGGGUAAAGAUACUGUUUACGAUUUAUCCUUGUCUGGUCAGUAGUUGUUAAUUUAUAGUGUUUAAAUCUAAUUGGUUGAUGGUUGCAGGCCUGAAGCCUUUUUCUAAUCAUUCAUAUUCCUUGUUCCAUUAGGUAUCUUUUGAAUUUAAAAUUAUAUGCAUUGGCACAACAUAAUUUUUUUUCUAUAUGAUCAAUGUAGUUUAACUUAUUAUAGCACAUUAAUUUAUCUUAAUUAGUUGAUAGUUCUAAAAAAAUAUUUUAUAAGCGAUUUUCUUGUAUAAACUUUUUUUUACAAUGUUGAUGCAUGGAUAAGGAUGAAGCCACAAUAGAAAUAUAUGAAUUUGACAGAAUUUAAUAAUUUUGACGUAGAUUUUAUAUUUGUAGAUUUUAUAUUUUUAGUAAUUCUUUUAAUUUAUAUGCAUAAAUAAUUUAAUCAGAAUGCAAUAUGUUAUCUUUUCGAAAAAAUCAAAACCUAUUCAAAUUCAAAUUGUGAUUAAUUGUUCACUAAAAUUAAAUCAAACUUCUUUAUUUAAUCAGGUUCACCAAAUUGCGAUUUUAUUACUACUCUAAUUUUUGCAAUAAAUAAAUUGAAAAUUGCAACUAUAGUAAGACAAUUCAUUACAAGAAAGUAGAGAUACAAAACUUGUCUAGUUCACAAAACUUGGUAUAAGAAGGAAAUCGAUCCCUAUAAAAGACUCGAUAAAAUUGUAACGAUACAGAGAAAAUCAGUAUAAAUAAGAAAUCAAAGAACGACUUUCAUAUCCCGUUCUUACAAAAGGCUAGCAACUUCUUAUCAGCUUCAAAUUUCGCCAUGUCAUCGGCUUCGAGAUUCACCCAAGCUUCCACCCCAUCACCUAAUUUUGUGUCCAUAAAUCCAAUAAUAUUCUUCGUAGCGAGUCGACCCGACCCGACCCAAAUGGGCUUGCCCCACCCAAAAUCAGCUUCAUAAAGGGGAAAUUUACACAAACUUGAAAAACAAAGCAAUUCCAUGUGCCCUUUUCUUUUUUCAUUUGCUCUUUCUUGUAGAAAAUUCAAAUGUUGUUGAUCAUUUUUCUUGAAUUGUGACACAAAAUUAUUAUUAAUUUCUUGUAUAGAUUCUCUUACUUUAUUCAUAAACUCAAAAACUUCGUUUUCACUACCUUUAUCGAAAAACGGGAUCACAAGUGCAGACCGCAUUAUGUUCCCAAAUAAAAAUUCAUGCAGGGGCGGAUCGGUCCGCCCCCGCAAAUUGACCGUAUGUGUCACGGCAUAAAUCUUAUCUGUGUCCCUUUCGGAAUGAACGGUCGCCAUGUAACGGCUCCACAAAAACGCCGAUAAAGCUAGAAUCCUCGAAGGGUGUUGUCCUAUUCUUUCAAAUACACUGCCCUUCAUCCUUUGAUCCGUGUAUUUAUCUCUGAGAGUUAAUAUAUCGGAGUUAGAAAACACGAAUUUUUUUGUCACGAUGUUUUCUUUUCGAAUUUCCAAGCACACAUCCCUAACUAGGGAUGCGUCCUUAGGUGGAAAAAGUGUUGAAGAGUCAAAAGAGGGAGAGAAAUGACACGUGUCAUCAUAAUCACAACGCGCAAUGGAUGCCCACAUGUUGAUAAACAUGAAACAUGACGCAGCGUCAGCUAGCUUAUGAGAAAUGCCUAUGCCAAUAGCCAUUCCUCCACAUUCGAAAAAAUUCACUUGUACGACUAAUCCAAGAUCUUUCACAUCAUCCAAUUCAUAAGGAAUAAAUUUGUUGAGUUCAUUAGGAAUAGGAUUGGAAAUUAUAUCCGUGAGGUUACACUUGACUAUAACUUCAACGUAGGGAACACCCUCGUCGUUGCAAUCAACAUAUAGGUUGUCCACGACACGCCCUGCUAGAGGGUAGAAUUUGGUUAAGGCUUGAGAUAACGAUAACUUUAUCUUGUCUGAACGCUCUGUGUUAGAAAUUAGGUCACUCGCGGGGUAAAAAUAAACAAGGGGCAUGAAGAUAGAUGGAAUUAUUUGAUCAAGAUAAGAAAGACUAUAAUGGCGUAAUUCGAUUGGAGUCGGACUACAUGGCUUGAUUAAUGUUUCCUUGGAGAUUACUUCUAUUUCGAUCUUCAUUUGUCUUUUUUCUUACCAAGCGAAAUAUAACCCUAAAUUCGAAAGAUCUCUUUUUGUGGCGAAAAAUACCAAAGCUAAAAGGUGUUGGCGAAGAAAUAAUGGAGGAUCUGAUAUAAAUUGAAAAGAAGAAAAACUAAGUAUGAAGAAAUUGAAUCUCUAAUGUGCAUUUAAAUAGACUAAUGUGAAAAUGUAGUUUUCUCUUGUCAUUAUAUUUUUGAACUUAAGCAUGAAGAAAUUAAAUCUCUCCACUUGGAAGAAAAAGAUGAAAAUGCUCCUUUAUUUUUAUUUUUUUUGUCUAUACAACAAAAGAACAAGCAAUAUGCCAUUUUUCAAAUAAAUAAAUGGUAAUUUUAUGGUAAAAAUAAUUAAAUAGAAGGCCAAACAAAAUGAUAAAUGCAAGCAACAAGCAAUAACAAACAAGAUUGUUAAUUAAAAAUGUUUUGAACUUUGAUUGAUAUGUUACUAAGCAUAUUUCAUCUUGAUUAAUUGAAAAUGUGUGUUUCCAAUCCAUAAUACAUAAGUAAAUAUUUAAAUUAUUUCUAGACCUAUAAUACCUUCAAAUAUGAAGUAUAUCAUCAAAUGGGAAGAAAAAGUGCAAAAAAUGCAAAUAAUUUUUUGAGAAAUUCGAAAGUUUAGAGAGUUUUCUAGCUAAAAUAUGUCGCGAUAUGCCUGUGUGGCAUGUCACGUCAAUAGAGACUUCAAAAGACGAUCUCAACGAUGUAACAACACCAUCGAAAGAACAUGAAUGUCACGUUGAGUUUACGACGAACAUCUACUUACCUUUAAGUCACCUGUUCAAACUCUCUUCAACAGUUAUUGCAGUAGCACAGAAAUUGGAGACAUGUAACUGCAGGGGAAAAAUGAAUUCUUAUAUUACACUUUUAUUACUUCAAGAAGUUAAGUGAUACAUACAUUAAGCUGUAUGAAGUUGACGAUAAUAAGGUAUCAGUGCGAUGAAGGUAAAGUGCGCCAGCUAUUGGCAAGAAACAUAGCGUGAUCUCGAGAAAAAGUGGACAUCUGUUGAAGUAUAACAUUUUUCACGGGAUGAGCUGCAGCUUCACCAGCGCGAGCAGCAAGUUCCAGAUAUACCAUAGCUUGCAUCCUCUCCCCAUCCUGUUCAAUGUGAGCGCGAGUGGUUAUGAAAUCUACUUCAAGCCUAACUACAGAGGCAGAAUAAAUGAGAUAUAAAGAACUACAAGUGGAAACAGCUUGUCUACUUGCGAUCCAGCUUUAUACAGUAUCAUCUUUGGGUUCUUAUUGAAGACCGUAAAUUUUUGCUAGAAACUAGUAAGGCUUCUAUUGUUCAUAUUUGGAGAGAAGCAAACAACUCCGCUGACUUCUUAGAAAAUGAAGGUCACAAACAUAUAGGAGAGAUUUGAUAAUUCGGGAAGUUGUUGGAAAUGGAGUCCCUUCUCCUAGCAGUUCAAUCCAAGUAGUUUAUGAAAGAUACUAAUUAGUUUAUUUAGUCUUUUCAAAUGUACCCCAAAAAAAAGAACAAGGUGAGCACGAGUGGUUGAAAAAUCACAAGAUACAAACAAGCAAUGACUAUGCUUCAGUCCUAGAUAAGUUGGGUUCCGCUAUAUAAAUCCUAACUGACAAUAUUUCAAACUCAUCUCAGAAUAAUAUUACAUGUUCACUGGCUACUAGGGAAUAAAAAGGAAUGAGAUUUGGGUUUUAUUCCACGCUUAUACUUAUGUAUGAGGAAAUUGAACUAGAAAAAGAGUGGAGGAGCAAUUUAGGCACUACUUACAGAAGACAGACUCAACCCAUGCUCAAGCUGGGCUUUGCUAUGACCUCGAUCAGCUGCUCUCUUCAUCCAUUUUUUUGCUAAUUCAUGAGACUGCAUUAAACCUUCUCCCACCGAGUAGCAUAAUGCUGUGUUAUACAUAGCACGGACAUAUCCACCUUCUGCUGCCCUCAAGUACCACUUUGCCUAUGCAAUUAAGAGGAAACCUUUUAAGUAUAGUUCUCAUUAGGCAUAUUUCUGUAAUAUAAACAGACAGUUGAAACUAACUAAAUAACUUAAAUGAGGUACACUUUUCAUACCGUUUCCUGGAGAUUUCUCUUCAGACCAUGGCCUUUAUGUAAAGUAAGUGCAAGCUGGUACUGAGCACGAACAUGACCAGCAACGGAAGCUUUAUAAAGCCAUUUAACAGCUUCCUCGGGUUCCAGAGGAUUCACUACAUAAGAAGAUAGAGUCAGUGUUUUGGACGGAAAGGCGACAAGGGUCUGUGGAAGGCGACAUAAGACCGUCUGCCUCACCUCGCGGGAGGCACUCACCUUUUUGAAGUGAGGCAUCAAUUAAUACCUUAAACUUAAAAUAUUUAAUUGCAUAUAUAUAAAUAACCAAAAUCUCAACAGCAAUAGGCAGGGCAGACAAUGAUUCGAGAGGGCAAUGAUUUCACAACAAUUGCAUAUGAGCCAAUUGUGUAGGAGCCAUGUCAAAAUCGUUAAGACGGCAAUGAUUUCACAUGAAUAUAUCUAUUUCUAUCAAUUUGGUAGGAGCAAUGUCAACAAUUGCGAGCAAGGCAACAAGGUUCUAAAAAACAAUAACAACAAGAGCAAAAAGAAUACUAACAUGAAUGAACAUUAAUAUUUUGACAGAUGCAAAUGCAUUUUAACAUAAAAAGCACACACUUCCAAAACAAGUCAGCCACAUCAAAUAAAAAAUAGAAAAGAAGCACAAAAGGAAAAUCCAGUCAGAGUAGGAAGAAAAAGGCAAGGAGCUAUACUCACUAAACCUUUCAAAGCUAUCAACUUCCUCCUCAUUAUUCGUUAGUAUUAAUUCACGCAAUUAAGGUUGCUAUCUUCCACAUAUUCAGCUUAGUUUGAUACAAAUAUCUAUUAUGCAUAACUUACAGGCUAACUAACACACGCUCCCUUCUGAACCAUAAAGCCUAUAAUGCCUCCAACACAGCUGAAUUCCUAGGCCCUAGACUUAAUUGAAUGAAUAUAACUCAGGGAUCAUAGAUCAUGAGUCCAGAAAAUAUGAUGCUAUCAACACUGCAAAGCUAGUUCUUUCACUUAGUAAACAGCCCCAACAAAAGUCAUUCAUCCAAUCCACAGAAGCAACUGAACACAUAAGCACGAAUAAAAUAAUGCAACAAUCUCAGCACCUAAUGGUCAAGAAGAACCAUGAGGCCUUAAGUUCAAUUCUCAGUAUCGCAGAAUUACCAGUCACCUAAUGAAAUAGUUGAAGUGUCUGCAACCUACCUCGACACCACCGUCAUUAAAAUAAAAAAAGAAGGGUGAAGGAUCAAAAUCACACCUAAUCCUGUUUUUUUGAGUUUUCUACCUAACAAUCAUGAAUUAUUUAUACAAAACACACCUCAACUAUUCAGUUAAUUCUCUUUUCCUAUCUAAAGUGUGUUUUUGACUAUUAACUUUAAAAUAAAAAGAUAAUGCAACAAUCUGAAUACCCUGCAAGUAGAAGUAAACGAAGGAAGUAUGUAGCACAUAAUCCGCACCAAUACAUGCGCUAGUAUGAGUUAGCAUGGACUUAAUCAAACAGUCGAGGUGAGUGCAACCUAGCCCGACACUAUAGUUGGCCUUGAUAGUGUAGUGAUUCUAUCCCUCUCCCUACGUUUUCUUUUGCUAGUAUGAGUUAGCAUGGACUUAAUCAAAUAGUCAAGGUGCGUGCAACCUAGCCCGACACCAUAGUUGGCCAUGAUUAUGAAGUAAUUCCACCCUAAAAAGCGAAAGGCAGUAACUAUCACUAGUUAACAGAGUCUUUCACCAUCUCAGUUGGUGAUGGAAGUUCACCCAAGCUGUUGUGGUUCCGUUUUCGAGCAUGUUUCCGAUUCUCCCAACCUUGAAUCUAUAUUUCCAUGUAUAAUUUAGCUAUUGAGCAUCAAAGUUUAUGUUUUUACGAAAAAAAGAAGAAGAUAAUGCAACAAUCUGAAUACCUUGCAAGAGAGAAAUCCCCAAAUUACACUGACCAGCUGGGUCACCAAGUUCAGCAGCUUUUCUGUACAAACCAAUCCCUUCUUCUCUUUUGCCCAUCUCCCAAUAAAGUAACCCAGCAUCCACCAUAGCUAGUGUAGACCCACGAGCAGCUCCUUUAAGGAAAGAAUCAAGGGCUUUACUCAAAUUAUGCUUAACCCCACCUCGUCCAUGCUUAAAUCUCUUACCCCAUCUGAGAAAAACCAUAGAUUCUCUCAGCGGUCGAAGUGCAUCGCACCAAGACUUGCAUACUAGAGAAGAUGCCCGUACAUUCGACAGCGAAAAAGUAGCAGCAAUUUUAAAGAUAAUAUCGUGGGGAAGCUGAGAAAAGUCCUGAUUGUAGCAGUACUGAUUACUACUACUACUACUACAACUAGAAUUGGAUGAUGAUGAAGGAGUUGUUGGAGUGAUCUUUUUGGAGUGAUUGAAAAAGGGGUUUUCCGAUGGACGAUUUUGAAGAUGGGUCUGUUUUCUGAUGAAAGGGAAAGCGGUGAAACGACGAGGGCCGUCGGAAUUGGACUUGGUCGGCGGCCAUGUUUUCUGAUUCAUUCCGGUGGAAGGAAGGAAAGCAAGGAAGAGAGAAAAAUCGGAGGUGGAAAGUAGAGUUAUGCAUAUAUUAAAUUUUGUAUAAGUAAUAUUCUUUUAAAAACGAUUCCUGGCCAUAUUUUUAAUUUUUUUUUAAAUAUUUAUAAAGUUGAUUAAAAGAGGGAUUUAAUUUUUUCUAAAGGCAAAUAAUACAAUAUAAAUUAUUUUUCUUUCACACAAGAUUUUAUUUAAUAUAUAUAUAUAUAUAUAUAUAUUAGCGAGGGUUUGGGGAUCACACUAGAUAUAUUGAUAUAUUAUGAAAUAUAGAUACAUAGGGAAAGAAGUGAGCGAGAGAGGCAAUUACAUGUGAAUCCACUUAUAUACGGGGUAUAACAACAAUAAUAUACCCAAAAGAAUUCCACAAGUAGGAUCUGGGGACAGAGGCGGACCCACAUGCUAUUGUGAGGGUGCACAUGUACCCGUUAUCUUCUGGAAAAAAUCAUAUGUAUAUCUAUCUUGAAAAACUGAGAGAAACUAAAUAUAUUUAAUAGUGCCCCAUAAAGAGUAUGAAACGAUGCUUUGUAUUAGUGGUAUAAUCUAACAGAUCCAUCUAAAUGACCAGGGCUCAAUCCCAAGUAAACCUCUUUUUUUAUAACUUUUUUUAGCUUAAUAUUGGUGCAUCCGAAUUUUUCAAAUCCUGAGUUCGCCUCUGCUUGGGGAGGGUAGAGGGUCUGUGUGCACCCUCUCCAGACCCAGCUGUGGAAUUCCAUUAGGUAUGUUGUAGUAGUUGUUGUACACGAUAUCUAGGUAUAUUCACAUGUAUCUGACUCUCUUGCUGAUUUCUCUUCUAUGGCAGUUUGCCUCUCUCCCUAAGUAUCUAUAUUUCGGAAUGUAUCUCUUCUUUCUCGCUUUGCUUCUCUCUCUAAGUAUCUAUAUUUCAAAAUGUAUCUAGAAUAUAUCUAGUGUGAUUCACACGUAUCUGAGAUUCAUAGACUAUCUCGCUUGCCUCCCUUCUAUCUCGUUCCUCUUUCCUCUUCUCUCGCUCGCAUCUCUCCCUAUUUCACAUAUCUGGUGGCAAAAAUUAUGUAUCUAACUUUAAAUCUGAUAGAAAACUAUUAAUUAGUGCAACACUAUGUUAUUCUUUCAAACUAUGGGGAGAAUUGAUAAAUAUGAUAGAAAUAUUUGUGUAAUUAUAUAUUUUUUCUUUUUCUAAUGGGUUUGAUCUGAAGUGAUAAAAAUUAAGUGAGGUAAUUUAAAAAAAUAAUAUAUANNNNNNNNNNNNNNNNNNNNNNNNNNNNNNNNNNNNNNNNNNNNNNNNNNNNNNNNNNNNNNNNNNNNNNNNNNNNNNNNNNNNNNNNNNNNNNNNNNNNNNNNNNNNNNNNNNNNNNNNNNNNNNNNNNNNNNNNNNNNNNNNNNNNNNNNNNNNNNNNNNNNNNNNNNNNNNNNNNNNNNNNNNNNNNNNNNNNNNNNNNNNNNNNNNNNNNNNNNNNNNNNNNNNNNNNNNNNNNNNNNNNNNNNNNNNNNNNNNNNNNNNNNNNNNNNNNNNNNNNNNNNNNNNNNNNNNNNNNNNNNNNNNNNNNNNNNNNNNNNNNNNNNNNNNNNNNNNNNNNNNNNNNNNNNNNNNNNNNNNNNNNNNNNNNNNNNNNNNNNNNNNNNNNNNNNNNNNNNNNNNNNNNNNNNNNNNNNNNNNNNNNNNNNNNNNNNNNNNNNNNNNNNNNNNNNNNNNNNNNNNNNNNNNNNNNNNNNNNNNNNNNNNNNNNNNNNNNNNNNNNNNNNNNNNNNNNNNNNNNNNNNNNNNNNNNNNNNNNNNNNNNNNNNNNNNNNNNNNNNNNNNNNNNNNNNNNNNNNNNNNNNNNNNNNNNNNNNNNNNNNNNNNNNNNNNNNNNNNNNNNNNNNNNNNNNNNNNNNNNNNNNNNNNNNNAUAUAUAUAUAUUUAUUUAUUUUUUAGCACAGAGCAUAUCCAUUCUGUCUUUAUAUAAAGAUUGAAUAAGAGGUCGUGACACAAGAUGACAAGAAGACUAGAAACUUUAAGGGCUCGUUUGGUAAAAUAAAUAGUGAAUAACUAAUUUUGAAAUUAAUUUAAUAAUAAAUUUAUUUCAUGUUUGAUAAAAAAAUAGCAUAUCUCAAAAUUAUAGUGUUAUUUUUAUCUCAUAUUAAAAAUGAAAUAACUAUACUCGAAAUAAUUAAUCACUAAAUAACUCAUUCUCAGUUAAACAAGUUGUAAAUAUACUAGGAAGGAGAUAAAAAGAAAAAGUAUAUAUUCCUUCUAUCUCAAUUUAUGUGACAUUUUUUAUUUUUCAAGAAUCAAACAAUUUAAGUUUGAUCGAAAAUUUGCGCAUGAAAUCUUCAAUUUUUUGAAAUGAAAUUUUAUAUUUGUUAACUACGUAAAAAAUAGGCAUAAUACAUAUAUUGGACCUUAAACUUGGCUUCAAAUUUUAACUUUGACCUCCAACUUUUCAUAGUGCACAAACAAGCACUUUAACUAUCCAACCUUUCAAUAAAUAAACACGCGAUUUUUGGAGCCAAGAGCGUGAAAUGCAAACGCUGCCACGUGUAUUAGUGAGCCACUCAAUGGCUGCCAACUAUUAAACACUUUACACGUGCAUUUUGAAACUAAAAAAAAAAUUAAUUAAAUUAAGGGUAGAGUUGUCAUUUCAGUCAUUUUUUUUACUGUUGUAGGCCUCAAAAAUCACUCCUAACUCGCGCAAAAAACGUGCACAUCACGCGUUUUGCCAGGUAAGACACGCGUGUUUAUUUAUUAAAAGGUUGGAUAGUUAAAGUGUCUGUUUGUGCACUAUGAAAAUUGGAGGUCAAAGUUAAAAUUUGAAGCCAAGUUUAAGGUCCAAUAUAUGUAUUAUCCCUAAAAAAUACUAUAAAUCACAAUAAUUUGUAAUUCAAAAUAAUUAAAAGAUAUAUGAAAAAUUUACGAUAAAUUUGUUUGAAUCUCGAAAUCCAAAACGUGUCACAUAAAUUGGGACAGAUGAAUUACUUAUUAAAGAAAUUAAAAGAACAGAAUGAAGACAAUAGAGGAAGCUUCGUGUAUAAAGCAAACUUAACCAUAUUAGGAAAUAUUAUUUGAUGUGGAUUUUUGUUAAAAAGAACAAAGAUAAAAAAAAUUAUUAACUUUCUUGGUUCAAUUAUUGAGAGAUUAAAAGUGUGUAUUUAUUUUUAAAAGUGUUUUUUUUUUUUAAAAUAUGAUAAAUUUGUCAAGCUUCCGAAAGAAAAUAAAUAUUUUCUAAAAAAUAGUAGAUGCUGUUUUUAAUAAACUAAUUUUUUUUUCUUCAAAAGUACGUUUUUAAAGAAUAUUUCUAAGAAAAUAUAGAAACACUUACAAAAACUUAAUUAUGUUGUUGAUCAUACUAAUAUAAUUAACACAAAUUGUUCCUCGCCAGAACUAUUUUUUCAAAAAGCAUUUCUAAAAAGCUAGUACUUUUUAAAAUAAGGUGCUUUUAGAAGAAAAUAAAUAUGUCCAAAAAAAACACAAACUUAAAAAAAUGAAAAAAAUUCAAGAUUUUUUUUUUGAAAAAAUACACUUCUAAGAAGAAAAGACACAUUUAAACACUUGACAAAACACUAGUUAUUGUUCAAUUUUGAGAGAGAAUUCAUCAACAAAAAGAUAAGUAAAGAUGGAAAACAAAGAUUGAAAUCAUAAUUUUUUUCUUCUACAUUAUCGAAUAGCGCGCCACCGUGCGCUAUUCAUAGUGCUCGAUGAAUUCAUGGUCACGCUAUUCAUAUUGCGCCAUGAAUUCAUCGUUGAACUUUUUGAAACUCGCCAUUAUCGAAGGCAUCUCCUCUUCAACUGGCAAAAUAGUUGUCCUUAGGUGGAACACCCUACAUAGAGAAACCAUCAACCACUUUCAAUAAUUGUAACAACGUGUAGUGUAACAUGAAAUGAUCUCCUAUAACCAGUUAGAAUAAUAAAAAUACCGUCAACUAACCACUUUUUGGCCAUGUCUUUGUAAAAUAGACACCGUCAUAACGUGACAUGACAAUGUCAUGGUGUUACACCCGUGGAAUUUGCAACUCCACGACAAUGUCUAUUUUUCAAUUACAAGGACUGAAAAGUAGCUAUAUGUGAACUAAUUGUAACAACCUGUAGCGUUAACAGGAAAUGAUCUCCUAUAACCAGUUACAAUAAUAAAAAGUGUUAACUAACCACUUUUUGGCCAUGUCUUUGUAAAAUAGACACCGUCAUAGAGUUACAUGACAAUGUCUCGGUGUUACACCCGGGGAAUGUGCAACUCCAUGACAAUGUCUAUUUUUCAAUUACAAGGACGGAAAAGUAGCUAUAUGUGAAUUUUAUCGUUAUAUUUGAGAUAAAAAGAGUCGAAAGACCCUUGGAUUGAACUCACUCACCCUUCUUUUUGGCCAAAACCCGAACCCGGGACAGUAGAGAUGCCUGUUGCUUCCAACAAUUUGAGACAAUAGAAAACAUCAGGAGCUUUCUCUAGCUUCUUUGCAGCGUCUAUCGCUCCAGGAGGCAAUUGAAUUUGCGGGAAGGAAUACAUAGCACCUGUUAUAAACAUUCAAUUUCCUCGCGAAAUGUCAAUGAUUGGUCGCGGUUCAACGUCUAAUAGAAUACGAAAACAUGGGAAAUGACUUGCCUUCUGUGAAAUUACAAACAACAUUUUUGCAGCUGUUGAACCCGUCGGUCAUUAUAUGAGCCCUUCGUCUUAGCGACUCAAGGAUGCCUUUGCUGCAAAAAGCAUCAACUACUAUUUGUCAUGAAUUCGUAAAAAUGUUUCGACAAGAUCAUUAAACGAGUAGAAGAUCAUAAGAUGAACAGACUAAUUUUGAGCUUUCUCUGUAUUCACGAAGUUAACGACACAAAGUUCAACAUCAAUAUAUACAAUGUUACUCAAAAGUCCUAUGUUGUUUAGACUGUUCAAAAUUGUUGCCGCACCCAUAUCAAAUCCUCCAAAAUGUCCUACUUUUAGAGGAUCCGACACGCACACAUUGGCAUUUUCAAGAGUCGGAGCAAUAUAAGUUCAAAACCAAGUGAAAAGAAUGAGACUUUCUACUCUAUUUCCGACAAUUCCACAGAUGAAGUUCAGGUAUUUCAUGUAACCAGAGAUGUCAGCAGUAAUUAAUACCUUUCUCUGGCAAAUUGCUCAUACGAGAUAUCUCCGGGCUUAGGUGGAUUCGCCAGUAACCCCAACUGUUGAAACGAGAAAGAAUACAAGCAUUUCUUGUCAGCACAGGGUUACGAUUAAGCAGAAUAAACUAGCAGCAACUUUUAGGUAACAUAAAAGUAAGGUAAAAUUCGAGAUGUCGGAAAAAGUUGAUUGUCAACUCUAUAACACAAUAAGAUUUCCUUUCUGGAAGGAUAAAUCUUCGAGGGAAUGAACAGAAGUUACUCACAAAUAUUUGUGCAGGUACAUUUGGACUGAGCGAUAUCGAAGCAACCUUGUAUAUCUCUUCAACUGACUGCAACAUCAAAUUAGAGAAAGGCCACGUCUCAGUAGUACAUCGAUCAUGCUUGGGUAAUAACACGACCCUCAAGUGUUUUAUAACAUAGAGCAUUUUGGAAUAGCUCAAAUUCAUCGAAAAAAUUCCUUUCAAAUUUAACUCUAAGUUCAUCUCUAUAUACUAAAAUAGUAUGUUGCUCGGACACUCCAAGAAUGUUGCCACAACCCCAUCGGAUCCUCAAAAAAUGCAACAUUUGAAUUGGGGAUGACGAAACAAACCUUGGGAGGAAUGUUAGUCAUCUCAAAGUAUCCACCACGCUGUCCACAUUCGCCCCAAUAACCUUUGGAGACCGUAUGAAAUGAAACAAGCUGAAGCUCCUUGCUUAUGGGAGGACCCAUAUCAAAUAAAACCUACAAAUUUUGGUGAACAUGGAUGUUAUUCGAGAUACAAUAUAAUAUUUAGGGGUUAACAAAUUCUUAAAGUGAAAACUAUAUUUGUAUAUUACCUUUCGUGCACUUAUGAAUAGGGGUGUGCAAAAACCGAACCGACCGAUAAACCGAACCGACCGAUGUGUUAUUGGUUUAUUGUUACUGGGUUAUUGGGCUAACGGUUAUUUAAUGGUUUUACAAAAAAAAAUUAUUGGGUUAUCGGUUUGUUAUUGGUUUUUUAAUAUUGGGUUAUUGGGUUAACCGAUAACCCAUUAAGAAUAUAAUAAUAAUUUAUAUAUAUAUAUAUAUAUAUUAAACAAAAAAUAUUAAUAUAAUUAGUAGUAUAUUAGACUAAAAAUAUAAAAUUCCUACGCAAUAAAAUAAUAAUUGACAUUACUUAACACUUAACUAACAGACUCCCCUCUCUACUAUUAAACCUUUAGGUUUUACAUUUUAGGAUUACUUAUUUACUUUAGGUAGGUCAAAACUAAAACCUAAAGAACGGCGACGACAAGGAUAAAGGAUUUGUGAGUUGCGACGACGACGACAACGGCAAGGAUUUGUGAGUUGCAACGACGACGACAACGACAAGUAUUAGGUGACGACUAAGGUUCUGAAACUGAAUUGUGAAUAUUUUCUCUGCCUUGAAACUAUUUCAUGAUUUGUUGCCUUCAUUAUUGUCUAAUUCAUAGUUUCCUUAAGAAACUCUUUUUUUUGUUUUCCAGUGAUGAUCUUUUUAAUUUCUCUUUAGUUAAAUUGGUUUACCUUGAAACUAUUUUAUGAUUUGCUGCCUUAAUUAUUGUCUACUUCAUUUUGUAACAGAGACAUAUACAUGACUGAAAAUAUUAUAACUGAUGAGGUCGUUGUCCUGGUCGAUGAAAGUAUUAAUUCAAAUGCUACACGUCAAACAAAAUCUGUUCAGUUAAAGGUAAAGAAAGAAAGAAAGAAAAGAUCUCGGGCAUGGAAUCAUUUCAGAUCAUUUGUUGAUGAAGAAAGGAAUAAGAAAUCCAUGUGUAAGCAUUGUGGUGCAGAUUAUUUUGCUGAUUCAGGUAAAAAUGGUACGACGUCAAUGCUUACUCAUAUGUUAACAUGUCCAAAGAUGCCUCGAAUUGUUGAUAAAAAUCAAACUCAAAUAGGCUUUAAAACAGCUCAAGGGGGUGAUACGGAUGAUGUGGUUGUUGUUUCUUGGAAAUUUGAGCAAGAGCAAUGUAGGAGAGCUUUAUGUCGCAUGGUGAUUGUGGAUGAACUCCCUUUCAAAUUUGUAGAGAAGGAAGGUUUUAGAAACUUUAUGAAAGUAACGCAACCUCAUUUUAAGAUUCCUUCUCGUACCACUGUGACGCGUGACUGUUUUAAACUUUUUGAUGCGGAGAAACAGAAGUUGAAAAGAUCUUUCGGAGAAGCACAACAAAGAGUUAGUCUUACUACUGAUACGUGGACCUCUUUGCAGCGAAUUAAUUAUAUGUGUAUCACUGCACAUUGGAUCGAUAAAGAAUGGAUGAUGCAUAAGAGGAUAAUUAACUUCUGUCAAGUUUCUAGCCAUAGGGGUGAAGAUAUGGCUAAUGAGAUAAGUAAGUGUUUACGUGAUUGGGGGUUGGAUAAAAAUUUUACCAUCACAGUUGAUAAUGCUAGUUCGAAUGAUGUGACUGUGAAAGAGUUGUCGAAGAUAUUCACCAAACGGGGUACCAAUUUCAUGAAUGGAGAACACCUUCAUGUGAGAUGUAUGGCACAUAUUCUAAAUCUUGUUGUUCAAGAUGGUUUGAAAGUGUCGGCUGCUUCUAUUGAACGGGUUAGAAAAGCAGUUAAAUACAUUAGGUUGUCUCCUGCAAGGUGUAAGAGGUUCCAUGAAUGUGCUGAAGAUGUUGAUAUCAAUUGUAAGAAAUCUUUAUGUUUGGAUGUUUCUACGAGGUGGAACUCCACAUACUUGAUGUUGAACAGGGCUAUUGAGUUUGAAAAUGUGUUUUCCAGUUAUGUUGAUCGUGAUAUUGGUUUGUUGCAUUACCUUCAAUUUGUUGAGGAUGAAGAUGGAACUGCUGCCGGUGCACUUUCGAGUGAUGACUGGAACAAUGUAAAGAAAGUUGCUGAUUUCCUUCAAAUCUUCUAUGAUCUUACCAGAGAAGUAUCUGGAUCACAGUACGUUACAUCAAAUUUACACUUUCUUAAGAUUUGUGAAGUUUCUUGUUAUUUGAAAAAAUUGAUAGUGAGUGAAGAUGACACUGAUGAUCUUUUGGGUAAAAUUGCUAAAAAUAUGAGAGAAAAAUUUGAUAAGUAUUGGGGUACUCCUAACAAAAUGAAUAAGAUGAUUUUUAUUUCUUGUGUUUUGGAUCCUCGACACAAGUUUGUUUCGGUUGGCUUUGCACUUCAAAUGAUGUUUGGAAAAGAAAAAGGACUAGUUCUAGAGCAUGAAGUUAGAGGCUACAUGGAUUUAAUGUUUGGUGAAUAUGUAAAGUCUCUUUCAAAAGAUAAAGAUAGUCAUCACUCUUCAUUUUUAUCUAGCUCUUCAUUUGAAAAGUUCAGUUCACUGCCUUCAAGUUCAGAUAGUACUGUCCAAUCAAUAGGAUCUUUGGGGUCAUUCAUGGUUGAUCUAAUGAAACAUAAAGCUGGAAAUGCUACAAUUGUUAAAACAGAAUUGCAAAAAUAUCUUGGUGAAGAAAAUGAAGUUGAAACCAAGAACUUCAACAUCUUGUCUUGGUGGAAAAUAAACUCACCUAGAUUUCCAAUUCUUGCCGAGAUGGCUCGGAAUGUGUUAGCUAUUUCUAUUUCAAGUGUGGCAUCCGAGUGUGCAUUUAGCACUGGUGGACGUAUUUUGGAUUCAUUUAGGAGUUCAUUAACUCCUAAAUUGGUGCAAACUCUAGUGUGCCUUCAAGAUUGGAUUCGAAGUGAAUCACGACAUGUUAGUGUUGAGGAAGAUAUAGAUGUCCUUGAACAAGGUAAGAAUAUUCUUAUUGUAUUCGUUUCUUAUUGGUAUUAUAAUUAGUCAUUAAUAUUUUUCUAAAUGAUUAACAUUAAUUCUUUAUAGAUUUGGCUAAUACUAGCAUUCUUGAUGAUUAACAUGGAGUUGAAACUCUUCUUUGUUGCAUUUGGAUAUGGACAUUUGGUAAGUUAUUCUUAAUUCUAGAUACAAGUUAUUUUAACUUGUGUAUUUGCUUAAAAUAAGUUAUGACGAUCUGGACAUUUAGUACUUUUAUUUGAUGUUGAUUUCAACUGUAGAGAUGGUAUUAAUUUUAGUUUGUGUUUUGGUUGCCCAUUAUGUUAGUAUUAAAUGUUGAAAUACUUCACAACUCUUUUCCACUUUUUCUUCCACGCUUGAGAUUAUCUUGGUUAGGAAAUUAAUGAAGAUUUUGUUGAUUAUCCGAUGGAUUUGGCAGCUGUUAAAGAUAGUUCAAGAUGAACUGCCGAUUUACAACUGGGCUUGGUUCUAAUUAGUUUUAGUUUAUAAUUGACUAAUAUUAGCUUUUGCACGAUUGUAAAUAUUAAAAAUUGACCAAAGACUUUGUUGUGAUGACCCCCGUUUGGUAUGAUUAUUUUGAUGUAUGCGUAUCGUCAAAUUAUUGGAUAAAUCAUAUAUUUAUUUUGAAAGCAUUUUCUUAUUGGUUAAACCGAAAACCGAACCAUUAAAGACCUAAAACCGAUAAACCGAAAACCGAUAACAAAUAUCUUAUUGGUUUGGUUAUCGGUUUAGCAUAUUUAAAAACCGAAAACCGAUAAACCGAACCGAUAAUACUUAAAACCGAACCGAACCGACCGAUACACACCCUUACUUAUGAAGGGAUGCUCAUCUUGGUAAAUAUUUUGUUGAUAAACUUCGUCUCCUAGUAAUACUAAAUUUUCUUCGUAGCAGAAUUGUAUUAUUUGUCUUAGAUUUUGUUCACUAAGACACUGUCCGGUAGGAUUUCCGGGGUUUAUAAUCACCAUUGCUCGUACCUAGGCAAUAAUAUAAACAUAAGAUGAAUGCAUGUUACCAUCGGAUAUGCUAAUUAUUUACACUGGUAGUGUAAAAAAUUGACUACACUAGCUGUGUAAAUAACUUAAAUCCUCGUAAAUAUGUGUCAUUAUGAAGAGACUCAACCCUAUAAAAAGCCUUCAAGUUGCCAAUCCCGGAAAAUAUUUGUUAGUGACAAGUUUCGGAUGUGCUGUAACGGUCCCUUUUCUAUGAAAUAUGGACUCUGGCACAACCUAAAACCUAUUGUUCGGACUCGCCUAAUAUGUUGGAUCCUCCAAAAAUACUUUAAGAGGAUCCGACACACACACGUUGAUAUUUUUUGAACGAGUCCCAGCAACGUAGCCUAAAACUCGCUCAAAAUUUGGAAAUGUACAGAACCAACCAUACAGACGAGAAUGCGUCUGCACGUAUCUGGAAAGCAAAAUUUAGGCAUAUAUACUCACAGUUAUUCCGUUCUGUCGGGCUUGUUCAAUAGAUUGCCGAAGGUCAUUGAUAUCAAGACCCCAGUCUGCAGUCUCUUCAAGAUAGUAUGGAACAAGAGAACCCCCAUACAAUGAUAUUGUAGCAGAGUAAAGCGGAUACUGUGGAACAGGAACCAACACCUAACAAAAAGUAUGUAACAGUAAGGAAUAUUACGAUGCACGUAAAAUCUAGAACCUGAAAGAAUUUUCUGAACAUAUUGGUUAGCCUUUUCCCCCUCUUUUUGGUUAUAUAGUUACCCCGUCAUUUGGGCCCCGAAUGAUAGUAUGUAAUAUUUGCAUUAUUCCUUUGCUGGCACCAUCCGUGAGAAAUAUGUGUUCCGGAUCACUGAUCAAAAGAACAGCCAGAAAUGUAAUCUUAGUAACUUAAUUGAAGUCACCGAAAAGAAACCAGUUAAAAUGAAAAGAGAGAUGUAACCUCGGAUAUCCAUCACGUCUCUCAAUGAAAUCUGCAAUUUCUUUCCUUACACCGGGAAUGCCACGGGAGUCGCUAUAAGCACCUAAUUAACCAGAAAUAUAAAGUUACUCUCAUUUCUCAAGACAAAAGAUCAUAGUAAAGUCGGAGAAUCGAGGCAAAAAGACCUAUAAUGUUGGAGAAAGUGCUAAUCACCAUGGAGAGUUGUUACUUGAGAAGAAGAAUGAGGAAAGUGUGUCCACUGUGAAAGAGAAAACGUUCCAAUUUCUAUUCUUCUUCAUUUGUUUUAUCAUGGUAUCAGAGCAGGUUCUUUAAAUCCUACUCUAUCUGUUUUCGUCUCUCUUCUUUUUAUUGUGUGACAUUCAUCUCUUUUCAUCAACAACAAUGGGUGAAAACACAACCACUGAAGUAACUACUGGUACACAACCAGCAACUAGGGAUUUGAUUAAUCCCUCUCAUCCUUACUUCAUCUCGCCAUCAGAUUCACCAGGUAUGCAGUUGGUGAAUUCUUCUUUUGAUGGAAAAAGUUUUGCUGGUUGGAGAAGGGGUAUGCUGAUUGCGCUUACUGCCAAGAAUAAGGCAGGAUUCAUUGAUGGAUCUUCAUCUGAGCCUGCUGCAGAGUCUGAGUUCCACAAAGCUUGGAGUAGAGCUAACAAUAUGGUUAUUUCUUGGCUUUUGAACUCACUCUCACGAGAAAUUUCUGAGAGUGUCAUUUACUCAACGACGGCAAAGGAGUUGUGGGUUGACUUAGAGGCCAGAUUUGGCCAAAGCAGUGGAGCUAAGCUUUUUCAGCUGCAGAAGGAGCUUAAUGAUUUGGUUCAAGGAUCCAGUGACAUAGCCACUUACUACACCAAGAUAAAAAGGCUCUGGGAUGAACUUGAUAGUCUUGAUGCUUUUGUUCUUUGUCUCUGUAACUGUACCUGUGAAGCAAAAAGGAAAAACAUAAAGGCUAAACAGGAUGAAAGGCUGGUUCAAUUUCUUAUGGGACUCAAUGACAGCUAUUGUGGUGCUAGAGGUAACAUUUUAAUGAUAUCUCCUCUUCCUACUAUUGCUAAUGCUUAUGCACUCUUGAUGCAAGAGGAAAAACAAAGGGAAAUGCAUUCUACAGCUAAGUAUCCGGGUGAAUCCUCUGCUUUCAUUGCGGCUGAACAAGACAUGAAUGGACAAAGACCACCUGGAAAUAAUUUCAGAGGACAAAGGUAUGCUGUUGAUAACAAAAAGUUUGACAAUACUUGCAAAUAUUGCAGGAAACCUGGACACACAGUCGAUAAGUGUUAUAAGUUGAAAGGUUUUCCACCUAAUUUUAAAUUCACCAAGCAAAGAAACUUUCAGAACCCUGUUCAGGGUAACUUUGCCUGUUCCAAUGAAGCAAAUGGUGAUUAGCACUUUCUCCAACACGUCGAUCUUGAUUGUCAUUUUGUUAGACAACAAUUUUUGGCAGGUUUAAUUUCCCUCUCUUUUGUUCCAUCACAGUCUCAGCUUGCUGACAUUUUUACUAAGCCACUCCCUGGUCCUGCUCAUCAGCAUAUCUUGGCCAAGUUGGGGUUGCUGUCUGCCCCCUCCAACUUGAAGGGGGGUGUUGGAGAAAGUGCUAAUCACCAUGGAGAGUUGUUACUUGAGAAGAAGAAUGAGGAAAGUGUGUCCACUGUGCAAGAGAAACAAGACAUGUGUAUACCAAAGGGCACGUGACAAGAAAUACAAAAUUGUUGCAAUCUUAGUGGUUCUAGAAUUCUUUUUGUCAUUAUCCUUUAUGUAGAUAAAUAUCUAUUUUCUUUUAUACAGCUGUAUAGUUUGUUGUUAUUAGGGAACAAAUAGAUAGAUGACAAGUGUAUAGGCCGUUAGACUUUCUUUUCUAUAUAAUGAGCACUGUACAGAAUUGAUGAAGACAGAGAGAAAAACGUUCCAAUUUCUAUUCUUCUUCAUUUGUUUUAUCAUAUAACAACAACGUGGACAAGUAGUUGCUUAUCGAUAGAGCUCAAGAAGCAGGGAUGAUAAAUGCAGGGAUUUCUAUACGAGAUAACAGAAUAGAUCUUUAAGCACAAAGAAGGAACUAUAGUUUUAAUUCACAAAGAAGGAACUAUAAUCCGAUGUUCACUUAAACACAAAAAGGGGAUAGUAACUCUUGAAGAAAAAUUAUGUUUGUGCUUCUCUAUGGAAGAGACAAUUAAAGGAAAUAAAGACGGAGUCAAAGAGGCAUAACAAGUAGAGUAGAGUGCCACAUAAAAUCUAUGUUGCUUCGACUCAUGAAAAAUACCGUCGGAUGUGUGUCGGAUCGGAUCCUCCAAAAGCUAUGCAUUGUCAGAGUAUCUGACAUGGGUGCGACAACAUUUUCCAAGUGUCUGAGUAUCAUGGAUGAUAAAAAUUACUCAAUUCCUAAAAUAAUAUAGUUUAGGUAGGAAAGGAUACCUAGACCUCCGGAAUUCAACGAAAGAUAAUGUUUAGCUUUUGCGAUUGCAUCAGCAGGGAAUAAUUGUCCAACAUUAGGAUCAUCCAGAAAAAAUGGAGCUUGGCAGAGAGCAAUGACCUGAAAAUAAAGAGCGUCAAUGCUUUACGUAUGCCAAAACCAUAAGCCUCUCAUAGAAGUGGCAUUCAACGACUACAACAAACCUGGCGCGGAAACGUCAGCGGCUUCUGUCCGAGGGCAUGAGGAUUACCUACAUUUGUGAAUAUAAUCUGCAGAGCAAGAGGAAUCAUGAGAUUGUUACACAAGUAUAGUGGAGUAACUAAACUAAGUAUUUAUAAGUCAAAAACACACUUGAAGUAUCCCUUUUUUAGAGUUUCAUACCUAAACUAUGAGAUGCGCAAGUUUUCUACAUGAAGUAUCACCAAAUUGUUAUCGAAACACACCUCAACUAUCAAUUUCUCCCUUUUCCUACCUGAAAUAUCACUAUCAUUUAGGUAGGAAAAGGGAAAAAUUGAUAGUUGAGGUAUGUUUUUGAACUCGUAACGUAACGUCACUAAACUAUGUGAUUUUGCCCAAAAAUACACGUCAUCAAAAAGUCAAAUUUCCGACGCUGGCAAAAGACAUGUCAUUGCCACAUAAUCAUUUUCCCACUAUGUAAAUGCUACACAUUUUUUUACUUAAACAUUCACAUUGUCAUAACCAAUAUUUUAAACAUAAACAAUUAACAAAACAUCAAACGAAAAAAAAACAGCAAUUUUGAACCGCAUUUGCCACACUACAAUUAAAUCUUUCCGGGAUGCAAAAGCGUUUAAUUGUACCUUCUUUCCUUCCUUCUGAAGUUGAGAAGCUCGAAGAUAGAGCUCACCUCGUACAGCAUAUUGACACUUCUUCACAUUCUCAUUCAAAUUCUCAUAGUCCAACGGCUUAGACGACAUUAUAAACAACUAAAAAUAGCACCUCCUUAACCUACAACAUGUAAAAAGAAACAAUAUAACUAAUGGUAAGAGUACUACUACUACUACUACUAAAAGUAUAUCGAAACAACAAAAGUCAUCACUAAUCCUAUUUAUCAACAAAUUAUAAAAAUUUCUUCUAAUUACAAGCUAUUUAGCGACAAAUCAGCCACAAACAGUGUGUAAAAAGAAACAAUAUAAUUAAUGGUAAGAGUACUACUACUACUACUAUUAAAAGUCAGGAAUUAGCGACAGACAAAAUUUUAUAUGUAAACAACAAAAGUAAUCACUAAUCCUAUUUAGCAACAAAUUAUCAAAAAUUCUAAUAAUUAUAAGCUAUUUAGCAACAAAUUAGCCACAAAAUUCAUAGCUAAUUUCACUUUUUCUAGUUGAAAACAAGCAAAUUAAAGAACUAUAUAAACAUCAUUUAACUAUACUAAUCUAGUGACCACAAUAAUACAACAAUUUCACAAAAAAAUGAGUACCUCAACAAUUCUAGAUCUUGAACAAAGAAUUCAAAAAUCAAAAUUCAUCACUAAUCCUAUUUAACGUGAAAUUAGCAUAAAUUAUCAAGAACUUUGAUCAUUACGAGCUAUUUAGCAAUAGAUUAGCUACGAAGUUCAUAGUUAAUUUUUAGCGGAAAAUUAUACUAAGAAGGUUAUAUAAACAUCAUUUAACCACUUGUUUUUAAAUUACUUUACUUCUAUUUAGCUCAACAAAAAUAAUUACCUCAAUAAUUCUAGCUCUUGAACAAGGGAAAUUCAAGAAAUGGAAAAACACAAUGGAUUUUGUGCAGUUAUUGUAUAUUUUCCGUGGGUGUUUUUUGUCAUAUUAUUUUCUCCACGUGGCAGGCAUGCAGGUAUGAUGAUUUGUUAUCGUAUAAACUGAUGAGACCCAUUUUAUUGAGAUGUGUGCCCAACCAGAUAAGUUCAUUACUUGUCUUUGGGUAAAAAAAAAAAACUAUUUCCUCUGUCCCAUUUAUAUAAAUUAAUUUGACUUAACACAGAAUUUAAGAAAGAAAGAGAGAUUUUUGAAACUUAUCGUUUAAAAUAAGUAGUAAAUAUUUGCGUGACUAUAAAUCAUUUCAUCAAAGAUAAAAUUGAUAUUUUAAAGAUAAAUUAUUACUUAGUAUAGAAAAAUGUCAUUUUUUGGGACUGGUUAAUGAAAAGGAAACUAAGUCAUAUAAAUUGGGACAGAGGGAGUAUCUGAUUAGAUUUUAGAGUUUUUUUCAUGAAAUAAAUUGUUUUUAUAAGGUUUUUACGCUAUUAUGAGUGGUUUCUGAUGGACCCUCGGUUGAAGAAAAAUAUUUUUGAGAAGAUUUUUGGAAAAAAAUGUAAAAGUAAAAAAUUAUGAUGAAAGUAUUGAUUAUCAACAUAAAAAAUAGUAAAGAUAAUCAAAAUAAAAUAAAUUACAAUAUUGAUGAAGAAUAAUAAUAUGGUGGCAAGAAUCAGGGAAGAAAAAAAUCGCUCGACUAUUUACUAACUAUCUGUUCUAAUUCUUGAUCUCCAUGCUCUCCUAUCUAGGGUCAUGUUUUCAGGUUAGAUGUGAUAUGUUUUGUGUACCUCUCCAUAAAUCUAUCGUAUUACUUGUUGACACCUAAUUUUGACCCUCCCCGAUAAUAAUUAAUUUCGAGCUUCUUAAUUUUCAAAUAUUUUAAAGUAAUUAAUUUUAGAAAUUUCAAAAAAAAUAUAAAAAAAAAAAAAUAUAUAUAUAUAUAAUAGAAUAAUUUGCAAGUUGUUUCAAAUAGUUUGUCAAUUGUUAUAACUUUUAAAUAAUAAUAUGUCUUUUAUAUAAUUAUGUAUAUAAUUAGUGUAUUUUAUAAAUAUUGGAAAAUCGUCUCAAAAAGAUUUUGUUUAAUUAGAUAUUUUUGUUUAGUUAUCUAAUAGUUUACAAUUUUGAGUUAAGUAGUUAGUUUAUAAUUAAGUUAAUUAUUAUAUAAUUAUGUGUCUAAUUAGUAUAUUUUANNNNNNNNNNNNNNNNNNNNNNNNNNNNNNNNNNNNNNNNNNNNNNNNNNNNNNNNNNNNNNNNNNNNNNNNNNNNNNNNNNNNNNNNNNNNNNNNNNNNNNNNNNNNNNNNNNNNNNNNNNNNNNNNNNNNNNNNNNNNNNNNNNNNNNNNNNNNNNNNNNNNNNNNNNNNNNNNNNNNNNNNNNNNNNNNNNNNNNNNNNNNNNNNNNNNNNNNNNNNNNNNNNNNNNNNNNNNNNNNNNNNNNNNNNNNNNNNNNNNNNNNNNNNNNNNNNNNNNNNNNNNNNNNNNNNNNNNNNNNNNNNNNNNNNNNNNNNNNNNNNNNNNNNNNNNNNNNNNNNNNNNNNNNNNNNNNNNNNNNNNNNNNNNNNNNNNNNNNNNNNNNNNNNNNNNNNNNNNNNNNNNNNNNNNNNNNNNNNNNNNNNNNNNNNNNNNNNNNNNNNNNNNNNNNNNNNNNNNNNNNNNNNNNNNNNNNNNNNNNNNNNNNNNNNNNNNNNNNNNNNNNNNNNNNNNNNNNNNNNNNNNNNNNNNNNNNNNNNNNNNNNNNNNNNNNNNNNNNNNNNNNNNNNNNNNNNNNNNNNNNNNNNNNNNNNNNNNNNNNNNNNNNNNNNNNNNNNNNNNNNNNNNNNNNNNNNNNNNNNNNNNNNNNNNNNNNNNNNNNNNNNNNNNNNNNNNNNNNNNNNNNNNNNNNNNNNNNNNNNNNNNNNNNNNNNNNNNNNNNNNNNNNNNNNNNNNNNNNNNNNNNNNNNNNNNNNNNNNNNNNNNNNNNNNNNNNNNNNNNNNNNNNNNNNNNNNNNNNNNNNNNNNNNNNNNNNNNNNNNNNNNNNNNNNNNNNNNNNNNNNNNNNNNNNNNNNNNNNNNNNNNNNNNNNNNNNNNNNNNNNNNNNNNNNNNNNNNNNNNNNNNNNNNNNNNNNNNNNNNNNNNNNNNNNNNNNNNNNNNNNNNNNNNNNNNNNNNNNNNNNNNNNNNNNNNNNNNNNNNNNNNNNNNNNNNNNNNNNNNNNNNNNNNNNNNNNNNNNNNNNNNNNNNNNNNNNNNNNNNNNNNNNNNNNNNNNNNNNNNNNNNNNNNNNNNNNNNNNNNNNNNNNNNNNNNNNNNNNNNNNNNNNNNNNNNNNNNNNNNNNNNNNNNNNNNNNNNNNNNNNNNNNNNNNNNNNNNNNNNNNNNNNNNNNNNNNNNNNNNNNNNNNNNNNNNNNNNNNNNNNNNNNNNNNNNNNNNNNNNNNNNNNNNNNNNNNNNNNNNNNNNNNNNNNNNNNNNNNNNNNNNNNNNNNNNNNNNNNNNNNNNNNNNNNNNNNNNNNNNNNNNNNNNNNNNNNNNNNNNNNNNNNNNNNNNNNNNNNNNNNNNNNNNNNNNNNNNNNNNNNNNNNNNNNNNNNNNNNNNNNNNNNNNNNNNNNNNNNNNNNNNNNNNNNNNNNNNNNNNNNNNNNNNNNNNNNNNNNNNNNNNNNNNNNNNNNNNNNNNNNNNNNNNNNNNNNNNNNNNNNNNNNNNNNNNNNNNNNNNNNNNNNNNNNNNNNNNNNNNNNNNNNNNNNNNNNNNNNNNNNNNNNNNNNNNNNNNNNNNNNNNNNNNNNNNNNNNNNNNNNNNNNNNNNNNNNNNNNNNNNNNNNNNNNNNNNNNNNNNNNNNNNNNNNNNNNNNNNNNNNNNNNNNNNNNNNNNNNNNNNNNNNNUUUACUACCAUAUAAAUAUAUAUAAUUUAUUCAAAUUUAAAAUUUAAAACUAUUUAUUUAAGGUCAGUUAAAAAUUAACUUUUAUAAAAAAAAUUCGUAAUAAUUAUUAAACGUCACUUGCAUUUUGCAGUGAACAACAAAUAAUGCAAAAAAGAGGGGAAAAUUGUUGAAAAAAAUAUAAAAAGGGUUUAAUUGUCCUUUCAAUGCUUUUUUUACUGUUGACCCGCUGAAUUUUCACAUCUGACGCGCCUAAUUUGAGUGUAUUUCACGCAUUUUGCCAGGUAGGAUCCGAGUGUUUUUUUGUUUAAGUUUUGGAUAGUUAAAGUGCCUAUUUGUGCACUUACAAAGUUAAAGGUCAAAGUUAAAAUUUGAAGCCAAGUUUAGGGGUCAAAAUAUGUAUUAUGCCUUAAUAAUACAACAACAAUUUGUGAACAACAAUACCAGCCGACCCCAUUCCCAACAGUCUUUCCCUCUUUAUUUCCUUUAAUUGCCAGCCCAAUUCCCAAGCCAACCAACCCACUUCAAUUCCCAGCCCAUAACUCCUUAAACCCGGCCCAAAUUCCUUUCCCCUUCACAAUAGAAACCCAGGAACCACAGUAUGACAUCCCAGCAUUAGCGGCAGCAACCAAACAGAGUAAGACCACAACGUCUUCACGCUAGCAGGAAAAUGACAGAGCCAUUAAAUGCUCGACAGCAGCCAACGUCUCUCUCUACAGCACUAUAGCAGGCACGCCUCUGUCCUCCUUUCCCCUUUCGGAAUGAACCAAAACCUCAAAGAAAAGGUGUUCAGCCGGAAGGGUGAAAGGUUUUGAAGUUUUUUGAAUUUCGAAUUGGACUUUUUGAAUGGGAUUUUUAUUUCUUUCCCUCCGAAAAAAAAAAAGAAAGGGGAACCCUAGAUAAUCCCUAUAUGUAUUCCCUUUUAUUCACUGUUGAAAGGGGGGAUUUUUUUAUUUUUUUUGGAGUCGAAAUUUUGAGCGAAAAUAUAGAAAGCAACUUGAGUGGAGGUAGUUUGAUAAUACUCUAAAGGGAGGAAAUCAACUCGUUCAGGGUCUUUGCAUUUCCUUUUCUCCUCGUUGACGUUCACUACUCCGUCACGAGUUCCUUGGAACUCGAGGGAACUAUUGGGAUAUUCUUGCCCAUAUUUCUUUGCCGCUGUUUGAGUCCCGGAGUUGGUGGUAAAGUCGCGGUUCUCAUUGCUCGUCUAGUCUCAAAUCGCUGCCCGAAAAGAGGUAAACCCCUCUUCGCUAUUUGUUUUAGCUCUUAAUUUCCUCUGUGAUUUCGUUCAUGUUCUUAACAAGAGUAAUGUUGAAAUUGAAAUUUUAGAAUGAUAAUUUUGACACUUAUCUCUGCCUAAUGAAUGCUAAAUCGUUUCUUAAUGUAAAGUUAGUUGUCGAUUAAUUCUUUAUUGGUUGUGUAACGUUGUUUUUCGGUUAAGACGGGAUGUCGUCUCUAGUUACAUGCCUAGAUUUUUUUUUUGAUUUGUGUCUCUAUGUUUCAUCAUGAGUCAACUUUCUUCUCGUUUAAGUUGAAAUUUCAGAUUAUGGUGUGUUUCAAAGUUGUAUUCGUUUGAAUGUUGGUAUUCAUAGACAAUAAGUAGAGCUUCAUUUAUAUGAUGUUGGUUCAUAGGUUGAUUAUUAUUCUUCAUGUGUUUAUGGUAUGAUCCCCGGACUUUUUUUUUAAAAUCAUUUGCCCCCUCUCCCCUAAAAUUAUAAGAAGGAUGAAUUAAUGAUAAUAGCUAGUGUCUUAUUUAUAAGAUUUAAAUUUGAUCUUUUAUGGGCUGUUUUCAAUUCGAUACCGCGCCUGUUCGAACCUUGAUGCCCUUGCCUGUUUGUCUUGAUUUCGUAUAUACUUCAAAGUCUUGAGCAAUCAAUCUGUGAGAUUUUGAACUUAUCCCUUCUCUGUUUAAAAUACUAAAUCAUUUUUUUCUUCUAUUUUUAUGUCUUGUGUUCUUAAAAUAGCAUGUUCAUUUUUAGUUAUAGGAAGGACUUAAGGUUGGUAAGUUUGGAAAAUGUUUGCUGCCUGUGCUUUUGUCAUUUGUUGUUACAUAUUCUCAAUAUAGUAGCUAUAGUUAGUUGCUUCAUUUAUCUUAUUAAAUGUUUUGUGCAGUAAAUCUUUCAUAUACUAAUUUGUUCUCUUUCUUUGUUGUGAACCCAUCCGAGUCCAUAUUGGACUAAACUUCCGCAUUUCUCCGAGUUGGUUUCCUCUCGAGUCGACCCCCAUCCCUGUUCGGAUUUUGUUUUUUUAGAAGCUGAAAUACAGAGCUGAUGAACAGAUGCACAGAUUUUUUUGAAAUCUCUUAAGGGGCUGCAUACCUGCUGGUAUACACUGGUAUACAGAUUUUGUAUACAUGGUAUACACGGAAAAANNNNNNNNNNNNNNNNNNNNNNNNNNNNNNNNNNNNNNNNNNNNNNNNNNNNNNNNNNNNNNNNNNNNNNNNNNNNNNNNNNNNNNNNNNNNNNNNNNNNNNNNNNNNNNNNNNNNNNNNNNNNNNNNNNNNNNNNNNNNNNNNNNNNNNNNNNNNNNNNNNNNNNNNNNNNNNNNNNNNNNNNNNNNNNNNNNNNNNNNNNNNNNNNNNNNNNNNNNNNNNNNNNNNNNNNNUUUCUUUACAUUGGCUUACCUUUAAUACAUUCUUAUAUUUGUUUUUGUUCUAUCUUACUAAUCAAAUAUAUUGGCCAUGUUUCAUUUUAAUUAAAUCUUUUGUUUUUAAAAGGACAUGUUUUGAAUGCCUCUUCCUUUAAUCAUUUUGCUUAUUUAAAUGGUUUUAAGUUAACACUUUUCUCAAAUGAACUAAAAUAAAAUAAAAUUGUGUGUGUUCUCUUUUUAUCAAUUGAUUUAAAAUGGUCUCAUGCUUUAAUUGGUUCAAAUUAUUAUCUUAAAAAUGAAUUAAAUAAAUUUUAAUUAAUCUAGUUUUAUUGAAAUUCUAAUUACUCGUAUCACAAGUCCAAUGUGUCAUUUUGAAUUCUUUUCUCUAAAAAAGAAAAAGGUGUCGUUUAUCUAAUUAUUUUCUCAAAAUUAAUUAAAUAUUGUAAUUUAUCUAAAUAUUCUUAGUUAAAAUUUCAAAAUUAGUCAAAAAUCAUUUUUUAGUCAAAUCGUCGGUCAACUGCAAGUUAGCGGGCAUUCCGAGGGCCUAACACCUUCUUGGAAUGUACAUUUGAACUCGAACCCGUUUUCAAUUGAUUUUAUCUGUUUAAAUCUUUUUGAAAACUGUAAGUAUUUUUUCUUGAUUUUUUACUAAAAAUUAAGUGGCGACUCUGUUCUUUCGGAAACCCGAUUUCUCUUAAACCAUAAGUUUAAUCGGUUUUUCGAAAACUCAGUCAUUUUCCUUUUAUAUAUCUUUUUUAAAUAAAACAUUACUAUUUGUGCUCCUUCACUUCACAUAUCUGACCAUUUCAAUCUCGUUUCCCGCAUCUUAUCCAUCACAAAGGUCACUCACACCUUGCUUUGUAUAUCUUUAUUUCUAAUCUUUGUCUCUUUCUAUUUACCCACACAAGUAUUAUGAAACCUUGGAUAUGCAUCAUAAUAACCUUAUUCAUUCCAAACUAUCACACAAGACCAGAUAAAUACUACAAUUAUAGUACUUCAAAUAGCUAUGGUUUAUAAUUAAAAUACUAAAUCACAAAUUGACAAGACAUCAUUAAACAUGGUUAUUCCUAAAACAAAAAUUUAACAAAGGUUCUGCAUUUGGAAGAUAGUGUCCUCAAUAUAUGCAAGAUAAAAAGUAGAAUUUAUCAUCUUAAUUUCAAGGAGGUAAAAUGUAGCAAAGACAGAGUGAUUAUAAAUAGAGUUAAUCGUAAAAACCGCACAUCUAAACUAUAGUACCUUUUUUUUGCGAGUUUCAUACCUCAACAACUCAACUAUCACUCCCUUCGGAUUAGAAUAAGACACAUCGAUAUUGAGUUGACCAAGACUUCUUCCCAAUCGACAACAGAAUAAUUAAGGUAGGAAACUCGUGAAAAGGUAAUAGUUUAGAUAGGUAAAUAGAACAAUGGAUUGUUCAAAAACUUACAUUGAGUGCUAUAUAUGGAUGAAGACCUUAAAGACAAUUGUUUCCCAUGUCCUCUUGUUCUUGUUCAAUCUUUCUUGCAGACUCCUCAGCACCAAUGCUGCACUGAUAUAACUCAAUCGACUCGAAAGUACAAAUUUCUCCAAAAUCUGUUGGAAUUUCAUUAAGGUAGUUGCAUUUCUUUAGAGCAAGGCGUUUUAGAUUUGGGAAGCUAUCGCUGCUAGCUUCCCAAAUGCUCAAGAUCUACAUCAUGAAAUAACAAUCAUGUUUUGGUCCAAACACCUUAUCACAAAGUAACUUCAAACUGUUCUCUAAAUUCAAGAGGUUCAUCUCAUGGAUACAUUGCUACAUUUGUUUCCCUAGUAGUCAAUAAGAUUCGACUCCUAUUGUUGUAAUCGGUAGGAAACUUAUUUAUUUUCAUACUAAUCCCCAUGUAAUUCACACUUUUCUUGUAGUGUAACUAGAAGCAUCUCUUAUUAUUUCCUCCAAAGAUUUGAUUUUUUCGAGAUCAAAUCUACUUUUGCUAGCUUAGCUUCUUCAAUAACAUUUUGAAAAUAUUCAGCAGUAUCAUGAAGGAAUUCGAUUAUUUUGACCUUGAACGAGUUCUGGAUAUCUCUGCUGAAGUUGCUCAACAGUUCCAGAUUUUGAUUUCUAUGUAUGUACCCGGUCGAUACUUGAGAUCCUUUCCAAUUCCCUCACCAAAAAACGUACUAAACUGACCGAUAAACACACCUAAGUAUCACGGCAUUUCAAAUUUCAUACUUGAACUAUUAGGUUUCUAAGUUUCCUAUCCACCGGUUAUUUAUCAAAACAAACCUCAACAACAAAAAAGGGCUUUAGUUGGGAUUCGAACCCUGGUUUCAAGGAUGGUAUCUCUAGCUUGUACCAAUAGCACAAGAGCACUUCUAUGCUUCUCAAGGGUGCACUUUUAACUAUAUCCUAAUUUCAACCAGUUUUUCAAAAUAGAUAUACAUAUAUACAUAUGAUUUUUUCGGAAGUUAGCGAGUGCACGUACACCCUCUCUCCAUAGUGUGGGUCCACCUCUGGAUAGUUGAGGUGUGUUUUGAUAAAUAGUUCAGAUAUGAAACUCAAAAAUUGAAAUACUUUUGACCAUUAUAAUUAGAAAAAAGCUGAAAAGCUAUAAUCCCCACACGCUUAAAAUUUGCUGUGAGACACAAUGCCGGCCACAUCAGAUACUUGUGUUUGAAAGACACAUUUUAGACGAGUUGCUUCACAAGUUUUUACAACUAUUUAACAAGACGUGUCAAGUUUAAGGGGCUAUCUGAGUAUUUAGCCAAAAAAACGAAGAAGUUAUAUAUAAACAAAAGAAAACAGAUCCAAGUAUGAAUAGCUUUCUCAUACGCAAUGAACAAUAGAAACUUUAUUCAUUUCAAACUCCUAUUGCAAAUCGGCAAGACAUGCAUUAACCAUGCUUGUUUCCUAAAACAAAAAUUUAACAAAGGAUAUGAACAUAAAAGAAAGAUAUUACUAUUCAAAAUCUAAAUUAAAUGGUUGUUCAUUUGCUAGUUAACGCCAGAUCGUCCCUCAAAAUAAGCUUCAAUCCCCUGCAUAUAUGCAAGAUAAAAAAGUAGAGUCAUCGUCUUCAUUUCAAGGAGGUAAAAUGUUGCAAAGACGGAGCAAUUAAUGAAUUUUUUUAUUUUGGAGAAAUCUAAAACUUACAUGGAUGAAGAUCUUAAGAAAAUUGUUUCCCAUGUCCUCUUGUUCUUGUUCAAUCUUUCUUGCAGACUCCUCAGCACCAACGCCACAUUGAUAUAACUCAAUCGACUCCAGAGUACAAAUUUCCCCAAAAUCUAUUGGAAUUUCAUUAAGUUUGGUGCAUUUCUUCAGAACAAGGCGUCUUAGAUUUGGGAAGUUAUCGCUGCUAGCUUCCCAAUACUUAAGAUUAAGGCCAUGAAAUAACAAAAACUUAAGGCUUUCGAAUUUGGUUUCAGCACUUAAUCUCCAUACAUGAUCGUUGGCUGCGUGAUCUUUAAGUUUGAGCUCUUCAAGAUUUGGCAACAUGACAAGAAGAGUUGAAAUAUCGUCCCAAGGAAAACAAAACCCGCCGUCUAAAGUCAACCUCUUAAGUGAUUUUGGGAAAAAAGACUGCUUGAUGGAGAUCGGAGGCGUUGAAAACCAAAAGUACUCGCUAACACACUUCAAUGCUUCGAGUUUUGUCAAGCUGGACAUAUCAGUGAUGUCAUUGACUGAAAAAGCAGAUGAAUAUCGAUGAUGGACGAUCAAUCUCUUUAGAUCGGGAAUGCCAGAAAAGAUUUCAUUUGUACAACAGGAGAAACAUAAGUUAGAAAGUUCCUCUAAAUUUAAGAUACUAUUCCUACUAGGAAGUAGUAAAGUGCAGGCUUUCCUCACAUGUAAAUGCCUUAAAUUCCUCAUCAUCCAUAUAUUCUCUGGUAAAACUGGUGUAUAUUCAUGUUGACUCUCAAAAAUUAGAGUUUGCAAAUUCCGAAGCUUUAAGAUUGAUGCAGGAAGAAAAUGAUCAUAAGAUCGAAAUUGGAGAUAUCUCAAAUGACAUAACUUUGUAAUUUCAGGUGGAAAUGAACAAGAAGUUCCAUAUUCAUGGAAAACGGCCAAUACCCUGAGAUGGUGGAAAUGGGGGAAAACUUUAAGAUUUGCAAAAUAUCGAUUUUUUGGAUAUAAGUAGAUAGAUCUAGCAACGGAGGGUAAUAUCUCGAAACAAUGAUCAUCUAAGUUACUGUGAAUCUGAAAACUGAAGCGAUUAUGCUUUUGUGUUGAAAGAGUAGUAGGGACUAUGUCACUUGUCUCAACAUGCAUAAACUUUGUUCUUUCAACUUCAGUCAAACAGAAUUCACGGAGCAGAUCAUGCAUUCCACAUGCUUUUAUCUCACCGUUGAAUCUUUUUUUUCUAACCAUUAUCAAGUUCCUGCUGAUAAGAUCCUCCAAAUAAUCUUCUGCCGCUUCCUCUAAGCUUUUUUCACUUCCCGGCCUCUUAAUAAAACCUUCAGCGAUCCAUAAUCGAAUCAAUCUCCAAGUCUCAACCUGAUAAUCCUCCGGAAAACCACCAAUAGAAAGAAAGCAGGGUUUGAGGUGAUUAGGCAAAUGGUGGUAACUCAAACCGAGCACUCCUAAGCAUUUAUCUGGAUGACUAGCAAUGAUUUCACCUAAAGUUCGAGCAACAUCCAUCCAACUUCCUAAUGUCCUGGCCACUUUUGAGAGAUGUCCCGCAAUCACUGAAAUUGUUAAGGGUAGUCCUUGACAUUUUUCUGCUAUUUUCUUUCCGAUUUCUACCAACUCUGGAGGACAAUCAUGUUUUGGUCCAAACACCUUAUCACAAAUUAACUUCCAACUGUUUUCUAAAUUCAAGAGGUUCAUCUUAUGAGGGCUAACAGGAUUUGCAUACAUUGCUACAUUUGUUUCCCUAGUAGUCAAUAAGAUUCGACUCCUAUUGUUGCAAUCGGGAAAUAUUCCUCUUAUGUUAUCCCAAACAUCCGUACUCCAAAUAUCAUCAACAACAAGAAGGUAUCUUGGACCCUUUAGUUUUUUCUGCACCAAGUCAGCUAACUCGUUGUCAUCCUUCUCAUCAUAAUCUUUUCCAAUGUCAAUAUUUUUUUGUUUUGAAAUGCAAUGUAAAGCUUCUAACAACACAUUUCUACUUCCAUAUUUUUGAGAUACUGUAAUCCAAACACGAAUGUCAAAAUGAUACCUGAUUGUUAGAUGAUCAUGAGCUUUUCUAGCGAGUGUUGUUUUGCCAAUCCCACCCAUGCCUGAUAUUGUGACAACAUCUAGAUCCGACAUUGCUCCUUUCAAUCUUUCAACUAUUAUCUCCAAGUCAUCAUCAAGUCCGUGCACGAUACCAUCUUCCAAAUGUUGCAGCAUUCGAUUACUUCUAGAAGAAGUGUCACUCAAUGAAUCCCCGGCAGAUUCAAGAAUAUGAUCAUCGUCAAUAUCAUGAGUGCUAGUGCUAAAAUCAGAAACAAUCUCCAUCACUUCCUUCUUUAUUGUAUCGAUUCUUUCAACAACCGGUAGAAAAUUCUUGUUUAGUGAACUUUCAGAUGCAUUUCCACAUGUCCAGCUCAUUUCAAUAACAUUUUCUGCAUAACUAACAGCAUCUCUUAUUAUUUCCUCCAAAGACUUAAUUUUUUCGAGAUCAAAUCUACUCUUGCUAGCUUCAUCAACAACAUUUUGAAAAUAUUGAGCAGUACCAUGCAGGGAUUCGAGCGUUUUAGCAGUUUGACCUUGAACGAGUUUUGGAUGUCUCUGCUGAAAUUGCUCAAUUGUUUGUAGAAGAGAAAUUACCGCUAUAUAAGCUGCCAUCGACUACUCAAGAUAUCAAAUACACAAAGAUUUUCACUUGAAAUACCUUUCACAAGAUGAAAAGGAUAUCAAUAUAGAGAGAUUUGAACUUAAUAUUCACAGAUAACACAAUAUAAAGCUCUUUAACAUUUUUUUGUCACAAAUUUUUAAUCCAUCAACUAGUUGUACAACGUCAGAGGAGUAGGUGUAAUAAUACAAUAAUUCUUCCAUUUUAUUUGUCAUUUCAUAAUAUAUUCCCUUUAUUCUGAUGAACAACUUUUACUUAAUUGAAAAGGCAACAAUUUUUUUAAAUAAAUUAAAACAAAGUUAGAUAAGAGGAGUAGGUGUAAUAUAAUAAUCUCCCCAUUCUUUAAGAUUUUCCCUUUCUUCUGAUGGACAACUUUUACUUACUUGAAAAGGCACCAAUUAUUUUUAUUUGCCCUGAUUGGACUAGACACCAAUAUCGAAAACAUUGAAAUGAAACUAAUUUAUAUAUAGCGACCCCACUCCCAACUCUUGCUGAGAAGUAUAAGAGUUGAAUAUGAUUAUGAAAGCUCGAGUAUUAUUAAUACAAUGUGUGAUAUUUAUACAUGUACAAGUAUAGAUGAGAAAGGAGUUUGCUGGACAUAAGAGACCUAAAGAGAAGAGGAAAUAACUAUGUAUAGCUCAAACAUACUAACGUACUAGGACUCUACAUCCUUAUCCUUAUCAUGCCCCUUCAACAUUGGCUCAAUUUGCUUGAGACCAAUGUUGCUGACAAAGGACCUUCUGGGAAGUGCUUUAGUUAAUGCAUCUGCUAGUUGAGCUCCAGUUGUAAUGUGAUGAACUGAAAUUUGUCUAUUUUCCACUUGGUCACGGACAAAAUGAAAGUCAAUUGCGACAUGUUUCAUUCGACUGUGAAAAACUGGAUUACGACAUAGGUAAGUGACACCAAUGUUAUCGCAAAAAAGCUUAGGAGGACAAGGCAGCUUGACCCGAAGUUCUUGACGUAGGUUGGUUAACCAGUUCAACUCAGCUACAGCACUUGCUACAGCCUUGUAUUUUGCCUCUGUGGAAGAUCUGGCAACAGUGCGUUGCUUGUUGGAGCACCAACUAAUGGGAUUCUUUCCAAGAAAAAUAAUAUAAGCAGAAGUGGAGUGUCUAGUGUCGGGAAUACCACCCCAAUCUGCAUCUGAGUAGGCGAGUAACUGAGAAGAGUUGCCAUGUUUGAAGUGAAGUCCAUAGGUUAUCGUUCCUUUCAUAUAACGAAGAAGCCUCUUUGUUGCUUGCCAAUGUUUAGCUGAUGGAGAGUGUUGGAAUUGCGCGAGCUUGUUUACUGCAAAGCAUAUAUCAGGCCGUGUGAAGCUGAGGUAUUGCAAUGAGCCAAUGACCUGCCUAUAAAGUGUAGCGUCUGCUGAAGGAGAACCGUCAUCCAAGGAUAAAACAUCACUUGUGGACAGAGGAGUGCUCACUCUGUUUGCAUCCAGCAUAUUGAACUUGCUGAAUAUGUCCACAAUGAAGCUACUUUGUGUGAGAGUCAAUCCAUGAGCAUGCUGUAUAACUCUUACUUACUUGAAAAGGCACCAAUUAUUUUUAUUUGCCCUGAAUGGACUAAACACCAAUAUCGAAACAUUGAAAUGAAACUAAUUUAUAGCGACCUAACUCUAGCUGAGAAGCACCAUCCACCUACAUUCAUUUUUCAUGUGUAAAAAUUCCGCUCAACCAAUAUUUGAGAUCCUUUCUGAUUCACUCACCAGAGAACGUGCCAAACUGACCGAUAAACACUCUAGCUUGACAUAUACCAAAUGUUUAGUAUUAGGACAUGAUAAGAUAAGACAAGCUUGUGUUUGAAAGACACAUUUUAUACGAGAUCAAGUGUCUAACUGGUCACUUCAUAAGUUUUUAUGACUACGUAACUAGACGUGUCAAGUUUAAGGGGCUAUCUGAGUAUUUAGCCAAAAAAACGAAGAAGUUAUAUAUGAACAAAAGAAAACAGAUCCAAGUAUGAAGCUUUCGAUUCUUAAUUAUAUCCAUAGACAAUGAAUAAUAGUAACUUUAUUCAUUUCGAACUCCUAUUGCAAUACAUCAAUAGCUAUGGACUAUGGUUUACAAAAUACUUAAUCAGAAAUCGACAAGACAUGCAUAAAACAUGUUUCUUCCUUGAACAAAAAUUCAACAAAGGAUAAGAACAUAGUCCUUUUCUCUGUUUUUGUUUGUUUGUUUUUGCCUGAGUUCAACUAGUUGUUGAGCAAGAUUUGAUAUAUACGUACGUAAACUAAUAUUUGACCUAUAUGUAUACACACAAUAUAAUUUUUCGGCAAAAGGUGAUGGUUGUAGCUCCGCGUCUACCUAUAUAAGAGAUUUGACUAAAAAAAAUGCUUUUGUGUAAAAUCACAAGAAAUCUUACAUUUUAAACUUUAACUUAUUACUGAAAGAUAUUGUUAAGAAUUUCUACACUAGUUAGGUAAGACUCGGGGCCGGAGCUAGGAUUGUGGUUAUGGAUUUGGCAGAACCUAGUAACUUUUAGGCUCAAACUCUAUAUUUUUGUUUUAAAUCUGGUGAUGCAUUUGCGAUGCACCAGGUCCAUGAUCUGCACUACAUAUAUCGAAUUUUCAGUCGACUUCAACUUAUAUAAACCAACAAUGUAAUGAAAUUUUACACUAUAUCAGAUCGACACUAUUUUCUGAUUUGCCCUCGAUUUGUCAAGACUAAACCAUAUCAUAUAUACGCGAAAGUUACUCCUAGUCCCAUUUGUUGAGAAUAUAAUCAAAUAAUAAAAGUGUGCUCUCUCUAACAGCUUAAGCUUUUAGAUGAGAUGGCCACACACUUCAACAUGGUAUCAGAGCAGGCAGAGGUCCUGAGAUCAAAUUUCACCGCCACCCAAAUCAAAAAUAAAUAAAUCACGUGUUUGGCCCAUGAAAAAAGAAUCAGGCCCACUGCUUAUAGAACCACACAUGAGAGGAUGCAACAAGAAAAAUACAAAUAAAACGAAAAAAUUCUCAAGUGAAAUAGGAAAGUAAAAAAAAAUCUUCAUUUCUCGUUCGACUAGGUCCUUUUUUUUUUGUCUAUGAUGAUGUUUUGACUGAGCAAAUUACAUCUUCUUGCACCGAUGGCGAAAAAAGAUAUAUGAAAAAAAUUAAUCAUCCAAAUUGUGAUACAUAUUUAGAGCAUUGUCAAAUCAGAGUCAAUCAGUCAGUGUAUACAAGUUAAACUCUUAUUAUAAGUUAACAGCUCGACAUUGUUUCCUGAUUUCCCCUUGGUUUCCGGUGAGCACCUCUACCGCCCCAAGCUUGUUCAUGGCCACGCCGAAUUUGUUAAACCAUCCCACUUCAUCAUUACUAAAUCUUUGGACAAAUCCCCUUGUUCUUAUAUCUUGUGUCAAAACUUGAUCGGAUUCGAGUAAGCCUUUUUUCAUCAACAAUUGCUUGUAAAAUACUGAGUCCAUUUUGUAUUGUGUUGUUGCAUCAAACGCUAUUGUACUCAUUUGGCUAGUACAUGUAAAUUUCAUAACACCACCAAGUCGCGGAUCAACCAUUUGCGCCUUCUCGGGUGUGUCCAUUCGAUAAAGAAAGUUGAAACAAUGAGCUACUCCAAUUGAGUGUGCACCAAUUAAGACAACUAAAUCUUCAGCAUUUAGGCCUUUUCUGUUGAAAAGUUGAAUCAUUUGGUCUACUGUAUCAUCAGGCAAUGGGAGGUUGCCAACGACGUUUUCUACGCGCGAUUCCAUGCCAUCACGUCGGCCACCAGACACCUCGUAAUGCGGGAGUCCCGAUGCAACAAAGGCGUCACGAGAUAAAUAGGCUAAAACAUCAGAGCACGAGACAAUGCCCGGGCAGUUCUCUUCGAGUUCUGCUUUGAUCUCGUCAAUGAGUUCAAAUCCCUUGACUGUAAUGCCAUUUGACGGAGAUAACUUCUCUACUUUCCCACCACUUGGUGUUGUAUCGAGAAAUAUUGACCCGUCGCAACCCUGUAUAUAUGAUAAGUUACAUACACUAACAGUAUAAAGAAUUUUUAUGAUCAUCUCUGUAAUUUAAUAUGUUUUUGUAGUAAGUUAUCAAUGAAUUUUUAUUAAGUCUUGAGUUGUCAUUUAGAUGACCUAAAUAUUUCUUACAUCGCCUGUGUAUAAAACUUAAACUCUAUUUUCAUGGUUGCAAACAUCAAAAUUAAAGAUUGUCUUAGGAUAUGUUUGGUAUAUAAUAAAGGGAAAAAGGACAAAUAUAUCCCAAACAAUCGUAAAUAGUAUGUAGAUACCCUUUGUCAUACUUGCCGUUCAAAAAUUAGAGCAUAUAUGUCCUUCACUCUAACCGAAGACACUAAAUAGGGACACGUGGCACAAUCUUAUCCGUCGAUUCGAUAUUUAAUAAAUGUCGGGUCGGUGGAUAAGAUUAUGACACGUGUAUGUCCGUUAAUAUAACGGGUAUAUGUGCUCUAGUUUUUGGACGGCAGGGACCCCAAUGUUCCAAAAGUAUAACGGAGGAUAUCUGCAUACCAUUUACAAUAGUUCGAGGGUAUAUUUGUCCCUUUUCCCUAUAAUGAAAUAUUUUUCGAAAGAUAAUAGUCAUUUUCUGGUGUUUGGUUGUCCUAAACUAUUUUUCACCUAAAGAUAAAAGAAAAUCAUUUACUUUUCUUCAUCAAUUCUCUCGAAUGCUAAUAUACUUAUCAAUUUUUCGCUCUCUUUAACCAAACACCUGAAAUAUUUUUUUUCAUUUUCCGAAAAAAUGUGCAAAAUAUUUUUUUAGAAUUUAUGAAUAAUUGCGUAGAGUGGUGAGGAACUUACCUUGACAAAGCAAUCAUGCAAGAAAAGUCUAGGGAUGGCAGCAGCAAUAGUAGAGUCAUUUUGAAAGGCUCUAGUUAGGCCAUUUUUGAUAAUUUGCUCUGCUUGAGGACAUGUAUUUUGAUAAAAUCCCUCUCUUAAUCCACCUAAAAUCUCUGGUUGUUCGUGUUCUUCUGUAAUCGGAUCUACGUUAUAUCCAGGAAAAACAUGUGGAUAUCCAUGGUGGCCACCUCCUAUUAGGGGAUGCUCAAAAUUGAAAGCCUCAAAACCGUGUUCAUGAGACUUCAUUUCCUUUUUGUUCUUCUUGUUCUUAUUCUUAUUCUUGUUCUUAUUCGACUUUUUCUUUUCCUUUAAGGACCUUUCGUUCCUUGUCUCAUAAUUUGAGCUAGGAAUCGCGAUGUCAUUGACAUUGGCAUGAACAACAUUGUUAUUGUCACCAUGGAUCGUUACGUCUGUCUUACUAGAAUCAUGUUCUAGAAAUUCAGGACGAUGAUUGGGAAAUGAUGAGGCUAGCAAAGGUAAUAGGAUCGCGCAAACUAGUAAAAUAGCUGCAAAAAUCCCAACCUUAGCUGCCAUAAUUUGUUUAAGGUGAUAUGAUGAUAAAUAUUUGUUCAAUUUGAGCUUUUUUGGAUGGUCUUAUAAAUAAAUAAAUUUUAGAGAACAAAAAAAAGGCCUUUUAGGUUAUUGGUGGUAAAGAUCUUUCUUGUUAGUUAUUUCAGUUAAGGAAAUAAAUGGUUAAAAUUUUGAGAACCAAUGAAUUCAAUUUAACUAAUUAAAGAGAAAUUUCACCCUCACAAUAGGGAGUUCCUUAUAAACUUCUUUAAAGUUUUUUAUUGGAAAGGAAAUGGGCGGAAAAUACUUCUGAACUAUUCGAAUUAGGUUAAUUUUACCCUUCGUUAUGUUUUUUAGUCAAAAAUGUUCACGUUGUCGGUCAACUAGCUUAAAAAUGCGCUCUAACUAGUCAAAUAGUUGAAAAAUAUAUGAUUAUACUAACGGUUGCUCCAAAAUAAGGAAAAAAAAGUCGUUUUUAUUUAGUCAAGUCCCCUAAAGGUCUCUCCUUCUCUCUCCCUUUUAUUCAGAAGAAAAUUCAAGAUUUUAACUUUAUGGAUUCGACCUCUUUUAUUAGUGGACUCGCUAUACUUUUAAAAUUAUGAGUUUGGAAUCUAACAUUUGUUGUUUCACGCUCUCACAAAUACUGGUGUUGAUCGAACCCAUAGCAUUACGGAUACAUCCACCACCCGCCGCAUGUGGAUGAGGAGGGUCUACUUUUUCUUUACAUUUAGUUGAUACUAUUAUGAGAUAAUGGUCAAAAACACACCUCAACUAUCGUUUUGUCACGGGUUUCAUACAUUAACUAUCAAUUGUUUCCUUUUCCGACCUGAACUUCACCAUGUACUCAACUAGGUGUUUAUAACACAUAGAGUGUUAUAGUUCAAAUAGAAAAGGGGGAACAAUUGAUAGUUGAGGUGUGAGACUCGCGAGAAAGAUGCAUCACAAAGUUGAAAACUUGAAAUCACUAUUCAAGGAUAGUAAUCAAUCCCUUGCAAGACAUUUACAGAAUUGAGAAGAAGAAAAUCAUCAUAGAAAAUCAUUGAGUUUAUUGUGAAAGUAGAAAAUUUUCCUUGUGGAAUUCUAUAUUCAUCUUUUUACAGCAAAUCAAGUGUCACUUACAUCUCUAUUCAAGUCACAUCCCCCCCCCCCCCCCCCCCGAAGACCCCCCCCCCCCCCCCCCCCACAACAGAGUUACAAAUUACAUACAGACGAACAAUGUGAGAGACAUUGACCGUAAAAUCCAUUUCAAUUGCGAAAUAGAUUUUCGUCAGUGUGUAAAACAAUUACAAAGAAUGUGAUAAUGCAGAAUUUUAUAAACCAAUGAGAGAAGUAUCUUGCUGACUAUUCAGGAGGUACUUGGUUUGGCAGUGUUGUUGUCUUUCUUAAGACAUGUUUCCUGCAGCGCUCGAAUAUGCUGUCAUAGAUCAAAUCAAAUUGAACUCCAGCUCUUUCGCGAUUCACAACGAAAAGAAUGUGGUCGCCUUCUAUAAUUUUAUAGUACCUGCACAUGAGAGGAAUUAUCAAUACUGCUGCCUUAAACACCAUCAUAUCAACACGAGUGAUAACCUGAUUGGCAUGUGUUGCUCAGACUCUCCAAAAUGUUGUUGUACCCGUAUUGGAUCCUUAAAAAUGCACUACUUAUGGAAGACCCGACACACAUCCAAGCCAUCAUUUUUAAAGAGUCCGAGCAACAUAGGAUGUAUCCAUCUAAUUGAUAUCGGUACCUAUGGGGAAGGUAGAGUGUAUGCAGACCUUACCCCUAACUUGGGAGCUAGAGAGGUUGUUUCUGAUAGACCCUCGGCAUAAAUGUUCACUAAAAUCUGACACCAAAAUGAGUAAGGUCACAAAACUAAUGCCACCUUCACAUGAUAUCAUAUUACUAGAUUCUGCUCUGAAUUUCUAUAGAAGUAUGAUCGAUGCUACAUUGAAUCCUAAUGAGAAGAAAGGAUCACAUUCGAGUUAAGAUUCCUCUCACAAUGAAAAGAUGGCUAUAACAAUGGCUUAUCAUAAAACAAAAUUCCAAAUUUCCAAAACCUCAAUUCUUGAUAACCAGAAAAACUAUGACAUGAAUGAAGACAAUAACAAUGAGAACUGUCUAGUUUAUCUAUGGACACAGAAUUAGAAGAGGAACUCUAUAUUGGUAAUUUUUCUAAAUAAAUGCAAGAGCAGAAUCUGACUGGUCACCUACCAGAUGCCGGGUUGCAAUGGCUGGCAAUCAGAAUCUUUAAUAACAAGGCAACUAGGGUGUUCAACCGGCAAACGAGGGUGUGUCAUAGAUAUGGUGUUGAGAGCACCGUCAUUGUCCCACCAAUCUUCAUCCCUGCAUGUAUUAGAUGAAAUAAAAACAAUGAGAUGAUGAAAAAAGUUAUUGCUAGUAUUGAAUCAGUUAUUUGUCGUUCCAUAAUGCUUCUGCAUAUGAUGAUUACAUAUAUAAUUUUGAUUGAGAGUACUUAAUGGUGCAUUUGAGUAACUGGUUUUGAAAAUUGUCAGAUAUUAAACUUAUGACUCUAAACUGAUCAUAAACAGAUUGUUCAAAGGAUGAAAACCUACAUCAUACUAAGGAAAUUAAGCAAAAAGUCUUGAGGUACUAAAAUUAGGAGAACCGGAAAUCAACUGAAAGUGAUGUUACAAGAUCUCUAUUUUGGCACAGUGUACAUCAGUCAUUCAUGUAAAUCUACGAACUAGUCUAACAACCCACAAGAACUUGUCAUGAGAAUAUAACCCCAUGGGGGUAGGAUCUCAGUGCAAAGCAGCACGGCAUAACACACAGUCCCUCAAUUACAAUACUCGAUGCUUCAGAAAUUUUUUACUAACGGAGUUUCAAAAUUUUGCUGACUCAUUAGAAAUUAGACUGAAGUGUAUAGGGCUUGUACUAUAAUGUAUCUUCAUCUAUCUAAGUAGAUUGGCAACAGAGGAGUAAUAGACACUAACCUAUAGCCCUUAUACGGAGGAGAAACAUCUUGAGGAUGCCGCCAUUGGCUCAUUUGCAGGACUCUAAUGAAUAGCAGAGGAUGUAUCCCUCGAAUGCCAGAAGGAACUGCAAAACCCGUAACUUUUGUGGUAUGCUUGGUAGCAUAGCUGAAGUAGUAUGUUUGCGGAAAUGUACGUAAGUGUCUGUUCAACUUGAUUGACCCCUGGAUGGUAAGAUCAGGAAGUAUCCAGUCCCCUGAAGCAAAUGGACCAGCAUUCCCUAAAAGGUAAUCAAGAAGACCCCGGAUACCAACUUUCCCCCAGGUCAUACUGAAGUGAUCAAACCCAAAGUUGUAAUAGUCCUUCAUCCAAGGAAUGUCGAGCCACUCAUAAACUAUUACUCCAAUGCGGCAAAGUUGGAGCAAACUUACAGGCAUUAUCGACUUCUCGUCUUCAGGUCUGUAGAAGAAUACAGUCAAAUUCAGUAAAAUGCAGUUUUACAAGUCUAAGUAAACUGGUCAAAACAUGAAAUUUAAGAAAGCUAAAAACAGAUGAUAGCGUUGACUGUAGAAUUCAUGCAAAUCAUCAUAAUGUAAUGGAGUAAUUACAUGUUCUGUGCAUUGGGUGCCUCCUCAAGAACUAUGUACUCAAAAAUCAUAUAGGAAAUCAAAGCUAAAAACAUGAUAUAUUAACUCAGAGCUCGAUCAAUAACUAAGAACUAUCAGAAACUUACUGCAUUCCAUCGAAGUAUGUCCUGGUUGUCCCGUUAAGUGCUCCAGAUAAUGAUGUUAUGCUUAAGAUCCAGUUCUCUGAAGUGUUCUCAUAACCCUUGAAUGCCUAUCACAGUAAGCUUGAGGUUAACAUCGAACAGGUUAUUUUAGAUGUCACAAUUUUUCAAUUGAACGUGCACUAAUUUACCUUGUCAGCCAGCAUCUGGUGCAGAACUCGAACAACCUGUGCUCCAGCUGAAUGCCCCACAAAAUGAAUAGGGUGAUCUUCAUCCCACUCGGGGUAGUGCCCUGCUUCAUGUUUUGUUAAGUGAGGCAUUGAUCCAGAAAUAUGGAAAUGCGAUAGUCCUUUAAUGGCUUAGUUUGACACAAAGUUUAAGAAAGAAAGAACGAUUUUUGAAACAUGCAAUCUUAAACAUGUCAUAACACUUGUGCGUCUAUAAAAAAUUGUCAUUCAUUAGUAUAAAGUGAAAAGUUCAAGUCAAAUUGUUUCAAAAUUUACAAAUGUGUAGUCAUUUUCAUAGCGGACUUAUAAGGAAAUAAUAUCAUUGGGAGUGAGUAAUAUAGAUGAAGUAGAAGAUUUUGACCUUGUUCAUAAACUCGUCCAAAUUGGGAAUGUCCACAAGCCUUACUGUGUUCCUCCCCAUAAUCAACCUGCCCUCCUUUCAAAUAAUAGAACAAUCCACGAGCCCUGAAAUCUAAAAUCCAUCAAUUGUUGCAAAAACUAUAGAACAAGAAGCAAUACUAUAACUAUUGACAUAUGUGGCAAUCUCAUCUAAAAGUUUAAGCUAUUACGGAAAGCACAUUUUUAUUUAUUUAGCUAUGUUUUCAAAAAGCCCAUCACGUACAAGAGCUCGUUGUUCAAACAACUUUCAGAGUUCCUAGAGCUCCUCGUAAGGUUAGUAGGAAAACCCGUUUGGUUAGGUGUAUUAUUAUUCAUAUGAAGUGGAUAGCUCAUCCUCAAAAACUAAUUCAUGAAGUGAACAGCUCAUCCUCAACCAAUAUGCGACGCUUAACAAUAACACAAUAUAGCAAAGAGAAGAUAAUCAAGCAUUAAACCAAAAAAAAUAGAAAAUAUUCACCUGUCAUAUAUGCUAGUUAGCGAACCCAAAUCUGGAACAAGAACCUUGUCAUCCCUUUUCUCUGCACCAGCAAAAUACGAAAGUCCUCCCAAUCUCUACAAAAAAAAAAAAUUACAUUUCCAAGCCCACAUGACAAUAAGAACAAAUAAAUGUAGCAUCUGUAUAGGGAAGAAAAAAGGGUCAAAGUUCCCUCUAUAUUAUUCGAAAUUGAGCAACUUUAUACUCUGGAGCUAUACAAAGGUUUGAUUUUUACCUUUAACCCCUAACGGAACUCCAACUUGAGUAAUUUAAAACCAUAAUCAAAGCAUAAAUUUUGACCCUUUUUCUCGAAGAAUUUGAACACGUGGAGUUCACUCAUUUCAAGCUAAAGCUCCAGUAAAGACAAUGGCAAAUACGAGACUGAUUUGUUAAUGACAAGACUAUGAAUGAACCAAAUGUGUGAACAGAUGACAAAAUUGAUCAAUUUCCUAUACUACAUGGACAAAUUAGGAAAAAAGCCUGAAUAAAUUUUGAUCCUUUUGAUCAAAGAAUUUGAACACGUGGAGUCCCCUCAUUUCAAGCUGAACUCCAUUAAUGACAAUUGCAAAUACGAGACUGAUUUGUUAAUGACAAGACUAUGAAUGAACCAAACGUGCAAACGGAUAAAAAAAUUGAUCAAUUUCCUUUUCUACAAGGACAAAUUAGGGGAAAACCCAAACAAAACAACAACAUACACAGUAUAAUCUCACAAGUGGAGUCCACUCAUUUCAAACUGAAACUCCAUUAAUGACAAUUGCAAAUACGAGACUGAUUUGUUAAUGCCAGGACUAUGAAUGAACCAAAACGUGCAAACGAAUAACAAAAUAGAUCAAUUUCCUAUUCUACAACGACAAAUUAGGGGGAAACCUAAACAAAACAAAGUAUAAUCUCACAAGUGGAGCAUGGAGAAGGUGAUGUAUACGUAGCCUUACCCCUACCUUGCGAAGAUAGAGAGGUUAUUUCCGAUAGACCCUCAUCUCAAGUGAAGCAAAAAAGAGAAAAGAACACUAGCAGCCACAAAUAGUACAACAAACAAAGCAAAGAAAACAACAGGUAACACUAAAAUCGAAAAAUACUAGUAAUAGAGGAAAACCCCAAAUGUGAAAAUGUGAAAAGGGGCAUUUACCCCUUUGCCAAAACCAAAGAUUCCAUGAACCAAAACAAUAGGAGGCAAAUCAUUUGAACUCUUUAUCUCUUUGUUACCCUCAAAUUUUGGCUUGAAAAUCCAAUUGUUCACUGACUGAGAAACAUCACCGGCGACGGCUGUGCUAAAUAAGUAAAACCCAUAACUCAAAUGAACCAAAGAACUCACAAAUAGCUCUGUCAGUUGAAAUGCUGUUACCCACCAUUUCACUAUCAUUCUACAGAUCCUUAGUGGAAAUUUCUCAAAAAAAAAGUUGUAAAAAUGCUCAAAUUGAGAGAAAACAAGAACACCCCACAACUUUUUGAAGCCCCUAGAAUGAAUUAAAACAGAAAAAAAUGGAGCUUUUGUUUCUUCAAAAAUGGUGAUUCUUGGAAAGAGGAGAAAGAAAUGAAGAAAAACACGUUUGGGUUUCCAUUUCUUUGGGGUUUUAUAGAGCUUGUUGAGAAUUGUUUCCACCACUUUCACGUUUCCAAAAUUGACCAAUCAAAUCCUUGCAUUUGUUUGGAUUGUCGUGUUAUAUUAUAUCGUAUUGUAUUAUAUUGUUAUUAUUGUGAAUAUAACGUGUGUGUAGAUCUUUUGUUAUUUUGAUAUGUUUUACUUGACGCGAGCGUCAUUCAAAAAUAGUUGCUCUAUACAGUAUCCUCAUCAUAUCCCACUUGUGUGAUAACACUAAAUAUAUUAUUGUUAUUAAAUUUUAUACUCCCUCCGUCCCUAUUUAGUUGUCCAUAUUUUCUCUUUUAAUUGUCCCUAUUUAGUUGUUCAUUUUGACAAAUCAAGAAAGGACAACAAUUUUUUUCUUAUUAUACCCUUAUUUAAAUAAAGUUGUCAUAAAUAAAGUAAAUAAACUUAUGAACUUCCCAACAUUGAUUAGUUGUCUUGAGUUAAUUUAUUUUGAAAUUAUAAAUUGUACUAUAAGGGUAAAAUUGUAACUUCACUAUGCUAAUCAUUGUUGCCUUAAUCUGUGUGUCAUUUCUAAAGUGGACAACUAAAUAGGGACGGAGGGAGUAUUGUGUAAUGAUAAAAAAAAAAAAAAAGUCAUUAUAUGGAAUGAUCACGUUGUUCUCCUGUUUUUUUCUCAUCUUGUCUUAUUUGUUUGUACUAGCGGUAGAGUAAGAUUUUUCUCUAAGAAAUGUCAAAAUAUAAAGAAGUAAAUCUACGAAGAAGUCAAGGGGUGGAAGUAUUUUAUCAUGCUAUAUAGUACUCCCUCCGUUUCACAAAGAAUGACCUCCUUUCCUUUUUAGUCAGUUUCAAAAAGAAUGACCUCUUUCCUUUUUUGGUAACAUUUUACUUUUUACUUUCCACGUGACAUAUUUAAGACCACAAAAAUUAAGGACAAUUUUGUACAUUUGACAUAACUUUAAUUUAGGACCACAAGAUUCAAAAGUCUUCUUUAUUUACUUAAACUCCGUGCCAAGUCAAACCAGGUCAUUCUUUGUGAAACGGAGGGAGUAUAAUUUUUCGACGAAGAGAUGUCGAUUGAGACACCUUAAGUAUUGGUGGCUCUGCCACUGGUUAGUACUUUAUUUGUCUCAAUUCAUGUGUCAUAAUUUGAAUUUUGAGAGUUAAACUUGUUAAUAAAAUUUAGAAAUACUCAUUUGACUCUCAAAAUUUAAAUAUUAUUACGUAAGUUAAGACGGAUAAAAUAUUUUGAAAAUUUUAUUUUCCCUUUUAACAUUUAGGGAGGGAAACAGUACAAUAACAAAGAGAACCAAAUUAUUAGUUAUAGAUUUGGAUUACAAUCCAAAGAUUAUGCCUAAAAUCUAGUGCAAUGAUUGAUUUUUAAGGUUUAUAGUUUUUGCAUUAUCCAAAAGACACCAUACAUAAACACGUUUUUUUACUUGGCUUCAGUUGACACAUUUGCCCUUCAACUUUGAUAUGCAUAAGUCGAUACUUAAAUUUAUAUAAAAUUGAAUAAGUAGACACACGCGUUCUACGUGACAUAAUACACGUAGAACACCAUAGGUGACACAAAAUUGUCAUGUAGGACGUCACGUAGGAUAAAUGUGUCUAUUUAUUUAUACAAGUUUAAGUGUUUACUCGUGCAUAUCCAAAAUUAGAUGAUAUAAAUAUCAUCUGAAGCUAAAUUAAAGAAUACGUUUAUAUAUUAUACAAAUCCAAAGUUUAGUCAUAAGAGGCGCAUCAAAAUGUGAACUUCAUCGAUUUUUACAACAACCUCACAUUAAUAUAAUUAUACUAAUAUUUUAAUAAUUAUAAAAUAUUAAAAAUUAAAUAUUCAUAAAGUUUAUGUCAAUAUGUCUCGAAACUUACAUCUUGACUCAUGUAUCAAAACUCAUGAAUCCUUUUAAUUGAGUAACCAUCCCAAAUUGAAAUUAGUAGCGUAAUUUUUUUAAUUAUAUACCGUAUUUACAAUAAAUCAAUAAAUAUAUAAAUUUAGUUAAGAUCAAAAAAUAUUUGGUCGUUGAAAUACCAUUGUUAUACUUGUACACUAAAUUAAUACUUAUCUUUUUUGUGAAUACGAAGGAGAAUUCAACUUUGAUUUUGAGAAAUUCAAUUAAUCUACUUCAAGUUAUCAACUUGGCAAAAUCAAAAUGAAAUUUGAAUGAUCCUAAAAUUAGUUGACCUGAAAAAAAUACAUAAGGAAAGCAAAGGAAAUUUAUGAGUGUGGUAAAGAGCUGCCUAAAAUUGUGGAUGUCUUUUUUUGUUUCAAUUUAUAUGAUACAUUUUUUCUUUUGAAAAUUAUAUAAUUUUUGCAAGUCAUCUCAUCUUUAAUGACAUGAUUGGUUGAAAUUUUACCCGGUCAAUACUACUCAUUUAAAACAAAAAAACAUGUGGAAUUCUUCAUGAUAUAUUUUUGUAAAUUUGGCAUACAUAUCAAAAGUCUUAGGUCUCAUUUAAAACAAAAAAACAUGUGGAAUUCUUCAUGAUAUAUUUUUGUAAAUUUGGCAUACAUAUCAAAAGUCUUAGGUCUCAUUUAAAACAAAAAAACAUGUGGAAUUCUUCAUGAUAAUAUUUUGUAAAUUUGGCAUACAUAUCAAAAGUCUUAGGUCUCAUUUAAAACAAAAAAACAUGUGGAAUUCUUCAUGAUAAUAUUUUGUAAAUUUGGCAUACAUAUCAAAAGUCUUAGGUCUCAUGUAUCUGUUUUAAUAAGAUUUAGACGUCUGAAUUUGAAUACAUAUUUAAGUAUUACGAUGUACAUAAAGAUUUAGAUAUCUAAAUAUAACUAUUUUAAUAUUGAGAUAUUAUAUUAAGAUCUGAAUAUUGAAUAAUCAAAAUUGUUUGUAAACAUUUGAAUAUAUAAAUUUUAUAUUUUUAAGAGAAAUUAAUAAAUAGUAAAUUUAAUAAUACUGUAUUAAUCUAAUAUAAUAUUAAUAAAAAUAUUUUUUAAUAAUUAUAUGGNNNNNNNNNNNNNNNNNNNNNNNNNNNNNNNNNNNNNNNNNNNNNNNNCGGUUGGAGAUGGUAAGGGCUAGUGGUAGUGGUUCUUGUGGGUGUUGGAUUGGGAUGGUGUCGGAUAAUGAUGGUAUUAUAGUUAUGUAAUAGCUAGUGGUAUUGGUGGUUGGCAAUUGUGAUUAAUAGUUGUAUGUAAUGGAUGAUAGUAAUAACUAAUAAUGGUGAUAAUUGUCAGUAGUGAUUGGUGAUUGUUGUGGCAAUAAUGAUCGGUGUGAUGAUUGUAAAUGGUAGCUAAUGAUGAUGACGACGGAUUGUAGUGUUUGAUAUUUGAUAGCAAAAAUGGUGGUGGUUGUGGAUGAUGCAUAGUGGUGAAUGAUGAUGGUUAGUGAUAGUGGUACAUAAUAGUUGAUAAUAACGAACGAUGACAAUAGUAUAAACAAGUGAAAUUGAUGAAUUGUUACCUUUGUAGAAAUUUUUGAAAACACAUCUUAAUGAAACUAAUAUUUGAUACAGAUCUAAAAAUAAAUAAAUCUAAUGACUGAGCUCAUAAUAAUUAAGAUUAUGAUUAUCAUUAAGUGCAGAUAAUAAAUAAAAAUAAUUUGACAAUAUAAACAUUUUCUUAUACUAACGAUUUAUAUAUAAGUCAAACACAUUAACAAAAAAAAAAUGGAUGAUUGAAUCCAAGUCUAAUUGGCUGACAUUGUUGAAGUCAUACCACUUUAUGCAUAUGUAGCAUGUGCUUUUAUUAAAUAACAAUAUAAAAUGAUAAUCAUAAGAAAAAUUGUUUUUUAUUCAUAGUAUAAUUACUAUUUAAGUCAAUAAUCUACAUUAACUAAUCAAUAGAUUCUCCUCGUAUUGUUUGAAACUAAUUAUAUUAUUAAUCAAUUGUUCAACAAUGAUUAUUCAACCCUACCUUUGAUUUUGAAGGUUUGAGUUAAAUCUAAUAAUUAAAAUAAAAUACUGAUACUGAUAUUAUAAUAUUGGAUAUCAAAUUAGGAAUAAUUUAGAUCAUUUUCGAAGCAAAAAUAUGUUGCUCAAAAUUCGACCACAAUAAGUUACGACGAUCAAUUCGAAUUAUUAGAUUUGUAGCCAAUUUUUGGUUAUUGUCAAGAUUUGUGACUAGACAAUCUGAUGAAUUUUAUGUCGAUCCACCAAAAUUAUCAAGAUUUGAUAGUUAAUAUUUGACGAUCGUUGAGAUUUAUGACAAAAAAAUAUGACCAAUUAUCAAGAUUUGGUAGUUAGACUUUGAGUUUGUUCUUGGACCUCUAGUUGGGCUUCUCUUAAUUGAGCCCAAAAUCAAGUGGGCCAGUCCAUACCAAAAUCAAAGCACCUUUCAAAGGGGUUCCAAAUUUCAAGCAACAGAAUAAAAAGUUCAAAAAUGUAAUAUAUAUAUAUAUAAAAAAAAAAUUAUUCCUAUGUAUACAGUGUAAUUUCUCGACUAGCUCCGUUACCACCAAGGAUUUGGUGAAAUUCCUUUACCCUUAAUUAGAAAUAUUGGUCUUAAGUUUGCGGAUAAGAAAACCCUGGUACAGAGCGUUUCCCCUUCGGGAAUGUCAGGAUUAAUUAUGAAUUUUGAACUUGCCAUCAAAUUCAUAGCAUGAUUUAAUUAUUGGGUUACCUCCAUCUUCAGUAAGAGAUCUCGAGUUGAAGUUUUGAGAAUGAACAAGUCUCUGAUAGAGACACCUUCCUCCAAAGAAGAAGUCAGUAUAUGAAGUUUAUGAAUUCUAUGACUAACGUGUAAAUUAAGUUGAUAAAAGAAACUUCUACUAUCAACAAAAACUUCUUGACUUUCUACAACAUGCAUGUAAUGACCUAAUUAAAUGCAAUUCCUUGGACCCUCAAAUGGAAUAAUAUUUACUUCCUUCAUUUCAUUUUAGGUAUUUUUAUUUGAUUGACCAUAAAAUACUUAAAAUAAAUAAAUUGUAAUCAUAAAUUAAACAUUUGUAUAAUGUAUCAAAAUAUUUCUUGAAUUCGUGAUCUUAAAUAAUAUUGUGAGAUGCUUACUAUUUUUCUUUGUCAGAAGUGCUUUCCAAAUAAGUAUUUCCAUAGAGUAGCAAUUUGUUUUUAACUAAUCAAUUUGAAAAAACGCAUUUAUCAAUACCGUUGCCUAGUUUUUGUUUGGCAAAGAUUCCAAAGAUAUUUACUACUCCCUCCGUCCACUAUUGUUUGUCAGGAUAAGGUCAUGCACAACCCUUAAGAAAAAUUUAAUAUAAGGUGCAAUUUGAUAAUAUAGCCCUACUAUCAAUCAUUAUUAAAUGGUUUGUACUUUUUGAAAAUUGUAAAAACAACUUUUUUCAUAUUAAAUUAGUCUUGUAACUUUAAAAUGACUACUUUUUGAAAUAAGUAGUUAUGUAAUCAUUAAGGGUAGAAUUGGAAAAAAGUGACUAAUUAUUUCUUGAUUGUUUAAAUUGACAAUUAAUUUUGGACAUCUAUUUUUAGUAUACCUGACAAACAAUAGUGGACGGAGGGAGUAUUUCCAGAGAAAAUACACUUUUUUCAACUUCUUCUCUUCUCAAUAACAUUUAUUAUUUUUUCCUAAAAGUUUAACAAAACAUUCUAACUCUUUAAAAUAAGCACCUUUAAUUUUCUAAAAACUUAGCCAAACAUUCUUCAAGUAUAAAAAUGAUCUUAUUUUUUAAAACAAAAAAUAAACACGUAAAUUGAAACAGAAGUCCUAAAGAAGACUUUGAAAAUAUUAUUUUCUAGUCCACAAAAAUAGUUUACUUUGAAUAGUUAUUAAUCUUAGUUUUCUACAGAAACAAAAUAUAGUUGUUCAACAUUAAUGCACUUUAUCAUGAUUAACUAAUAAAUAAUUAAGGCCAAAACACAAAUUAAUUGAUUAUAGUUAGAUAAUACCUUCUUAAAGUGAAAAUCUUAAGCGAAUGAUUAUACACCUUUAAUAUGGUAUUAAAUUAGACACUACAACAAAAAUAGCUUUUAGUGGCAACAAAUAUACACAUUAUCAAAGAGUAAUACAAAUUUUACCAAAAUUAAAAUAUGUUUUUAAUGACUAUUCAAUUAUUGUUGUUAAAUAAUUACCGCUAAAGAUCAUUACAUCAUAACUCAUAAGUCUUGAGGUUGUCUAACAAAAAGAGAUUUGUCUAUGCUUUAAAGCAUAGAAAAAAAACCAUUUUACAUAUGAAAAUGACAUGUUAGAGACAUAAUUAAAAAAAAAUAUCUAUAUUAUAUUAUACUACUAUUAAAUUGAAGUUUAGUUGAGAUGGAUGACAACUUAGGUAAUGGUUUGUCUUUCUACCAAAACUUCUUCUUGGUCAAAGAGCUCUCUUUUGACAAGUAGAGAAUUUUUUAUAAACACAUAAAUAUUUAUGACGUUUAAAAACACCAGUUUCAACAAGCUUAUAGCCUAACAAAAUAUUUUUAGAUCACACAUUUAAAAAAGGCAUAAUACAUAAAUGUGCCCUUUAAUUUGGCCUCAUUUUACAAUUAUGUCCUCCAACUUUGUGUAUGCAUAAGUAGACACUUAAAUUUGUAUAAAAUUGAACAAGUAGACACAUGAGUCCGACAUGAUACAAUACACGUAGGACACCAUGUGAUAUGUAGGAUGUCAUUUAGGACAUGUGUGUCUAUUUGUUCAACUUUAUACAAAUUCAAGUGUCUACUUGUGCACACCCAAAGUUGAAGGGCAUAUAUGUGAUUUGAAGCCAAGUUAAAGGGCAUGUAUUAUACCUUUAAAAACUACUCAUUUUUUAAAAAAGAUUUAUGUUGAGACAAACUAUGUCAGGUUAAUUAAAAGGGAGUAUCUUGUUUUCUUUUCCUAAUACAUGGAUAGAUGUCUUAACUUGUCCUUAAUUAAUAACUAACACAUAUUUAUAAUAGGCAUAAUACAUAAACAUGAUCUGUAACUUAGUUUUAGCGGACAAUUAUGCCCUCCAACUUUGAGUGUGCACAAGUAGGCACUUAAACUUGUAUAAAACUGAACAAGUAGACACAUGUGUCCUACGUGGCAUAGUACACGUAGGACACAAAAUUGCCAUGUAAGGUGCCAUGUAGGACGAAUGUGUCUAUUUGUUCAAUUUUAUACAAGUUAAGUGCCUACUUGUGCAUAUAAAAAACUAAAGGUCAUAGUUGUCAGUUGAUGCCAAGUUAAGAGUUGUGUUUAUGUUAUUAUGUAUUAUGCCUUUAUAAUAUGACAUUUAACUUGGCUUUGUUUGACAUCUAUGCCCUCCAACUUUGGGUGUGCAUAAGUAAACACUUAAAUUUGUAUAAGAUUGAAGAAGUAGACAUACACAUCCUAUGUGGCAUAAUGCACGUAGUACACCAUGUAGACACAAAAUUUCCAUGUAGGAUGCCACAUAAGACGAAUGUGUCUAUUUGUUCAAUCUUUUACAAAUUUAACUGCCUACUUGUGCAUACUCAAAAUAGGAGAGCAUAAAUACAAAAUAAAGUUAAGUUAAAAGGGCAUAGAUCCAACUUUGAGAUUGCACGGUUAGACACCUCAACUCAUUCCCACAUCAUCCCACUUAUGUCUAAUGGGAUGUUCCUAAGUUCUAAGUGUUGCAUAUGGUAGGAUUUUUGGUCAUUCGAGUAAAUUUAUUGUCUUGAAAUAUCCUUAACGUUUGCCUUAUGGACAAAAAUUAAAAUUUCCUAAAGGAAAGACUAAUUUUAACUUUUUUUUUUUGGUUAAAGCAGGAUUUAACCCAGUUUAUUAACUCGAUCUAUUUUGAUUCGACGAUAUAAAACUUGUAGCCCCACCCAGUGGCGGAGCCACAUGUAGUUGAGGGGUGUCGACCGACAUUCCUUCGUCUCAAAAUUACACUAUGUAGCUAGAGUAAAAAUAUUUUUUAUGUAUAUAUAUUACAUAUUGACACUCCUUAACUUCUACGUGAUUUUACUUCUUUAUAUUUUAACACCUCUUAGUUAAAGUUCUGACUCCGCCACUGGCCUCACCAUACCAAUAUAAUAAGGAGGGGAAGUUUCUGUUAAAAGAGGCGCGUCCUUUCAAAGUCUUCAUAGCUGAUUUGCAACUGUUUUUUUUUUAGUCUUUUCUUUAGAAAAAAAUGCACACAAAUAAUCUUCUUUUUUUUCACUUCUUUUUUCUAGUUGACUUCUCUCACAAAUUUAUUAAUAUAAUCGACAUUUUCAUUUCCAUUUUGAUUCAUUCAUCAAAAAAUAAAAAAUUAAAAAAAUUCCCUUCUUUUUUAUACCUUCAUUUUCUCUCUGUUUCUUCAUUACUCUGUUUCUACAACUUUGACAACAGCUGAUCAGUUUGCCUCGACGAUCUCUCUUCGUCGAGUCUAAAUUCGACAAAUUCUGAGCGCUCAGUGCUCAGAGGAUCGAACUUUGUGAGUGUUGCUUUUUUUUUUCUUCCUUAUUCUGUUUUUAUCACUGAUAUGCAAAUUAUGUCUUAGUUUCUGAGCUGAGGGUCUAUCGAAAAUAGUUUCUCUACUUUCAUUAGUUAAGAGUAAGGCUGGAUACAUUCUACCAUCACUAGACUCCACUUGUGGGAUUACAUCGAGUAUGUUGUUGUUGUUGUUUUAGUGCGGAACCGUUAUUUAAUAUUGGGAAAAUGCAUAAGUACCCAAACCUAUGCCCAAAAUUCCAGAGACACACUUAUACUAUACUAAGGUCCUAUUACCCCUGAACUUAUUUUAUAAAUAAUUUUCUACCCCUUUUUGGCCUACGUGGCACUAUCUUCUGGGCCCAGCGCGUGUUGACAAUUUUUUCAAGCUAUCUGGUUGAUAGUGUCACGUAGGCCGAAAAGGGGUAGAAAAUUAUUUAUAAAAUAAGUUCAGGGUAAUAAGACCUUAGUAUAGUAUAAGUGUGUUUCUGAGAUUUCGAGCAUAGGUUAGGGCUACUUAUGCAUUUUCCCUUUAAUAUUUGUUAAUAAAAAAAAUACUUGAAAUUUUCCUAAGGAGUAAAUGAACAUAAGAGAAAACCAUGUUUCCGGUGGAUGUUCUGUCUUUAACCAGAGGUGUCGGAUUUUGAACUUUAGGAAAUAAAAGAGAAAUCUGUUCAGCUGUGUGAAAAAACGAUUGCUCAUUUCACUGGUAUUGAAGAUUUUUGUAUAAAAUCUGCAAAAAUGAAGAUUAACAAUAAUACAGUUUUGACUUAAAUUAAAUAGAACCAAAUUUUCCAUCUGAACGCUAAAUAUUUAAUAUUGUUUGUUUGCUCAACACCUGAAUAUAUAAAACUUGUCAAUAUUUAAAAAUUAAUAAACGAUAUUAUUGUUGGAUCUAACUCAACCCCAAAAGUCAGCUCAAGCAGAAAGUAUUAUCCAAGUCCAUAUAAACAGGUCUAACUCAAUGUAGGAUUCUAAUAUUCCCUUCAUGCCCGGGCCCAAACUGGGGUGUGGAUCAGGUGCCUGAACAUGAAUGAAUAUGACUUUGUUACCAUGUAAAAAUAUGACAUCUGGGCUUAACUCAAUCCCAAAAGCUAGCUCAAGAGGAGAUGGUUGCCCAAAUCCAUAUAAACAUGUCACUAGUCUAUUCCCCAACCAAUGUGCCUCGGUCCAAGAUGUGCACUCACCGAACUGGUUUGGGCCCGUUAUAAGGCUUGAACAAUCUCCUCCCUUUGACCUAGCUUUUGGAGUGUGAGUUAGGCCCAAGGCCUAAUCCAUGAAUGUGCACGCACUGGACUUGGUUGGGCUCCUUGUAAGGCGUGAACAAUCCUCUUCUCUUUGAGCUAGCUUUUGGAGUGUGAGUUAAGCCCAAAGCCUAAUUUGACAAUUACAUAAUUCAUUUAAUACUAUAUCAAGAAGAGAAGUGGUUUGUGGUGGUCUUGGGUAGUAGUUAACAGUAGUGGUUAACGAUAGUGGUUGUCAGUUGAUGGUGGUAGUUGGUCGUGGUUACGGAUAAUUGUGGUUGAUAGUAAUGAUAGCUAAUGAUGGUAGUGACUAAUAUGGUGAUUAUUGACGAUAUAUAGUAGUGACUGAUGUAAUGAUUGGUGUCUAUUUUUGUCAGUUAAAUGUUACAUCAAUUAGUCCUCUUACAUUGUUUUCUCUGUUGUACAGUUCAUUUGGCAAAAUGGAGAUACCAUCCCCUUCAAUUUUAUGUAGCCUCUUUGUUAUUGUGUUGAUCCUACUUCUACCAGAUACAUCAGUGUGUGAACCAAGAUCGCAGACCGUCCAGAUCACAUGUAGUACUCAACUCGAGCAUAAUACGACAGCUUUUGUCCCAAAUUUUGUUGCAGUUAUGGAAACUAUAAGCCAACAAAUGAGAACUAGAGGAUAUGGAGUUGCAGUUUCUGGCACUGGACCAGACACUAACUUUGGACUUGCCCAAUGCUAUGGUGAUCUUUCUUUACUCGACUGCGUGUUAUGCUAUGCUGAAGCACGAACGGUUCUGCCCCAGUGCUUCCCUUAUAACGGAGGGCGAAUUUAUCUUGAUGGAUGCUUUAUGCGAGCGGAGAAUUACACAUUCUAUGAUCAGUAUUUAGGUCCAGAGGACAGACAUGUAUGUGGAAACAGGACGACAAAGGGUACAUUGUUCCAACAGAACGCUAGGCUAGCCAUUCAGCAAGCAGUUGUAGAUGCACCGACUAAUAAUGGUACUGCACGUGCUCAAGUGUCGGUGCCUGGUCCUUCUAACGAGACAGCUUAUGUUCUCGCUGAUUGUUGGAAGACGCUGAGCGUGAAUUCCUGUGCAGCGUGUUUGCAAAAUGCAUCUGAAUCCAUGUUGGGAUGCUUGCCUUGGUCAGAAGGUAGAGCUCUGUACACUGGAUGCUUCAUGAGGUAUUCCGAUACAAAUUUUCUCAAUGCUAUUUCUGUCAGUGAAGGUUCGUCAUCAGGAGGUAAUUUUUGCUCACCUUCUGUCCUGGUUUGCCAGUUUUUUAUUGACUGAACGCGUAAUAUAUCAGAUAAGUGGUCUGUUUUUCUUUCAAAUGACGAUAUUGUAGGAAGUGUUGUUGUCAUUGUAAUCAUUGUUGUUAGCUCCAUGGUCGUAUUGGGAGUAGGUGCUGUCAUUGGUAUUUAUGUCUGGAAGAACAAACAAAUCCAGAAGAAGAGAAAAGGUAAAUCCUUUUGUGUCAAAUAUUAGUGAUUAAGUCAUUAGGAUAUCAAUGAUGAACAUGUAUUGUAUCUUUAUGAUAAUAUUUACCUGAGAAUAUAGCGCGCGAUCAUUUGCACACAACUGUACUGAAAGCAAUUUUCAAGAACUAACUCGAGGCAUUAUGGUCUACUCAUGCUUUUCCGGGAAAAUUUGAACUUUGUAGGUGCAAAUGACGCGGAGAAAUUAGUGAAGAUCCUUCAUGACAACAGCUUGAACUUCAAGUAUUCUACGCUUGACAAAGCCACAGGGUCAUUUGACGAGGCCAAUAAGCUCGGGCAAGGUGGAUUUGGCACCGUUUAUAAGGUAUGAAAUGGUUGAAAAGUUGUAAUGCAAUACUAGAAGUGUUAUGUUAAACAAAGUCCGAGGCGCGGUUUAUUGCAGGGUGUUUUGGCAGAUGGCAGAGAGAUUGCUGUCAAAAGGCUGUUCUUCAACAACAAACACAGAGCUGCAGAUUUUUAUAACGAGGUUAACAUAAUCAGUAGCGUUGAGCACAAGAAUUUGGUAAGGUUAUUGGGAUGCAGCUGCUCAGGACCGGAAAGUCUUCUUGUGUACGAGUUCCUCCCUAACCAGAGUCUUGAUCGCUUCAUAUUUGGUAAGUAACCGGACUUUGCAACAACACAACUACUCCUCGGUCCCAAAAAAGUUGGGAUCAGCUAUAUGAAUCUAUACUAUUCCAUUUAAGCAAAACUCAUUUCAUAUUUGGUUCAAAUCUUUAAAUUGACAGAUUCUAUCAAAGGUAAAGCUCUAAACUGGGAGAAAAGAUUUGAGAUAAUCAUAGGGACCACGGAAGGUUUGGUAUACCUGCACGAAAACACAAAGACACGAAUAAUUCACAGAGACAUAAAAGCAAGCAACAUCCUGUUGGACUCGAGGUUCCGUGCAAAGAUUGCUGAUUUUGGGUUGGCAAGGUCAUUCCAAGAAGACAAGAGUCACAUAAGCACUGCCAUUGCUGGCACAUUGUUAGUAUUUCUUCGUCUCGUCUUCUACUUUUGUCGCGUAAAAGUAUAUGAAAACUAAUAUGGUACAAUAUGUGCAGAGGAUAUAUGGCUCCAGAAUACAUAGCACAUGGCCAAUUAACAGAAAAAGCAGAUGUUUACAGCUUUGGAAUUCUUCUACUCGAAAUCGUUACUGGAAGGCAAAAUAACAGGAGCAAACACGUCGAAUACACAGACAGCUUAGUUUCCAUUGUAAAUUUUUAUCAUACUACAAUAUUUUCAAUCUUGAAGAACUUAUUGCAUAUUGGUCUUAACUCUUAUAUUCGAUGAAAUUAACAGGCGUGGGAGCACUUUCAACGCGGGAUAGUGGAGAAGCUGUUUGAUCCAAAUCUCAUGUUGAAUAACAACCAUACAAUCAAUGUGAAAAAUGAGGUCGCGAGAGUCUUACAUGUGGGACUUUUGUGCACUCAAGAGAUCCCAACGUUACGUCCAUCCAUGUCUAAGGCAUUACAAAUGUUCGUCAAGAAAGAUGAAGAGUUGCCUCCUCCUACUAAUCCGCCAUUCGUGGAUGAGAAAACCAUGGAACUUCACGACCCUUGGGACAAGUACUUGCUUAAACAAGGCGAUUCUGCUUCGAUUGCCAACUUAUCUCACAGUUCUUUUUACCCCAGAUGAUGAUAUCUCUGUGCUCCUGAACUGAAAGUGAUGUAAAAAUUAUAGUUAUCUCAAGCAUAUAUAUCAUUUCACCUCGUGUUCUUGUAGGAGACUUCAUCGUUAUCGAGCAGUUAGUUACAACAACAACGACAACUAUGUUUCUGUCUCAAACAAGUUGAGCUCGGCUAUUUUAGUUAAUUAAAAAAAUACAUGCAAAUGAUCUCAAUUUUUUGUUGAAGUUAUCUAAGAUUCUAUGUUAUCUUGGUAGAGGUUAAAAGAUAAACUAUGGGAUGUAACAGAAUCAAUGUAAUGCAUUUUGGGUAGAAAUAGAAUAGAUGUAAACUCUAUUUUUAUGACAAUAAGAAACAAUUAUUAUAUGUACAUUGUGAAAUCAUGAAAUGCUCAACUUUCUUUUGAUUACACGUGUUCAAGGCACAUAUUGACAAGAGGUUUAAGAUGUCAAAUCUUCAAAAACGCUUUGUCGGAAAGGUAAAGACUAAAUAACCCCAAUAUUUCAUACGUAUAGAUUUUUUUCAUAUAUAUAAAAUAAAAAUUAAUAAAUAAAUUCCUAUUUUUCAUCAUAUGUUAUAGUGAUGGUAAUUAUUAAGCAAUUUUAAUUUAUUUUUGACUUAUGAUAAGAGUACUGAUUCUUUUGUAAUAAUUUUCACAAAUUUUUUCAAAAUUAAAUGCAUUAUAAUAGAAUAUUCCUUGCGAUUUUGAUAUAUUGUAAUGCUAUUCAUUGAUCAAUUGAAAAUUAACUAUGCUAUCAUGACACUAAAAAUGUAUAUAUAAAGUGCAUAACACAAAUAUAAUGUGAUGCUAUUUAUUGAUUAAUUUAUUUGACCAAUAAUAUAAAGUUAAUAAAUAAUAUUAAAGAAUUGAAAUAAUAGAUAACGUGAUAACGAUAUGCAAAAACUAUUUGUUUUAUAAUAUUCAAAGGUUAUGCACAUGACGUUACAAGAAUAUUAUUAUAAUUAGUAAAGAUAAUGAUGAAUUUAGAAAAACAAAUUUAAAAUAAGGAUUAUUCCAUUCCAAGUGGCAGCCUAAUACCAAGGCACUUGGUAGUUUUAGAACAAGACUAAAACAAAAAAUAAUGAUUUAUAAUUAAAAAUUCAUUUAAAAAUGUCAUGACAAAAAAUGAAAGAAGAAGAAAAUAUUAUAAAUCCGUAUUUUGCAACAUAGUGCCACAUGUUAUCAUCAAGAUAAUUCUCGACUUUUCAGUUUGAAUAUUUUAAAAGAAGAUUAUCUUCAAAACAAAUAAUUUUAUAGAUAAUUAUAUAAAAAUUUGUCAAAUAAAAUUGUAAGAAACACCAACGGAAAGUUAUAUAUUAUUAAUAAUUUGCAGAUUUUCUAAAGAAAUAAAUUUAUUAAUUAAAAAAAAAACUAAAAUAUUUCAUCAAAUGUUUUAUUUUUUAAAAUCUACAUCGAUAAUAAUUUGAAAAUUAAAAUAUAUUAAACAAAAAUAACGUUAUAGACAAAAAAUAAUAAUAUCAAACACAAUUGAUUUAAUCAAAAUAAAAGAAGCAAAAGAUAUAUUUCAAAUUUUGUUUUGCUUCUUUAAUAGAAAAAAUAGAACAUUACUAAAAAAAUGGAGCAAUUUUAAUUUUGAUUUACGAUAUUUAAAUCAUAGGAGAAGACUUAAAAAUUACUAUUACUCUCAAUUUUUUCAUUUACUCUCUGCAGAUAACUAAAUUCUUACUCAUAUAAUUCUCUAUCUCAAAUUUUUUUGUUUAUAUAAUAUGCAUUAUUUUUAUCUUUUGUAGUGCCUAAAUUUUUCAUAAUUCUUGAUACUAACUAUUCAUAUGAGGAGGUUGAACACUGCAUUUAUUAUAUCGAAACGUGUGAAUAAUAAAAUAUAAAAAUAUUAUAAGUGAAUAAUAAAAUUUAUACAAUAAUUUUAAUUCUAAAAUUAUGAUAUUUAAAAAUAUCCGCACAAUGCGCGGGUAUAAAUACUAGUAGUAUAAAAAGCCACUUUGAUAAUUUUCAUCAAUAAAACAAAUUUUACUUUCUUUUUUAUUCCUUCAUCUUCUCCUCUUUUAUCUCUGUUUCUACAACUUUGACAGCAACUGAUCAGUUUUCACCGGCGAUCUUUCUUUUCCGAUUCAAAAUUCCGGCGAAAUCAGAUCGACCAGUGCUCCGAAGGACUUUGUAAGUUUUGUUUCCUCCUACUUAUUCUGUUUUCAAUUUUAUACAAGUUAAAAUGAUAUAUAUAUAUAUUUAUUUAUUUAUUUAUUUAUUAUGCAUUUUGCAAAGUGUUUUGUUUUUUUGGAUAAGGCACAAUAAUCCUAGAUUAUGAUCGAAAGCUUAAAGAAACACUUUAAUUAAAUUAUGGUCCUAUUACCUCCAAACUAAUUUUUUUUGUAAUUUUAUACACUUUUUAGCUUACAUGGCACACUCCAUGACUCUACGUAGUUGAGGCGUGUGGGAGAUGUUUAGAUGCCACAUAAGCAAAAAGGUGUACAAAAUUAUAAAAAAAAAGGUUCAAGGUAAUAGGAUCUUUUACCUUAAUUUAGUUAAGGUGUGCUUAUGAGAUUUUGAGAAUAAUUGUGCCUUAUUGUUUUUUUAAAAAAAGAGCAUUUUUGAUGAGAAAUCAUUUGUGUUUGGCCAAGUAAUGUUGAUCAAGAAGUGUUUCUUGGAUGAAGUUAUCUUUCUAAAACCUUUUAUUGUUUCAAGGGAAAAAGUACAAGUACCCCUAGCCUAUGACCGAAAUCUCAGAAACUCCACACAGUUGAGGCGAGUGAGAGAUAUUUGGAUGUCAUGUAAGUCAAAAGGUGUAUAGAAUUACAAAAAAAAUGAGUUCAGGGGUAAUAGGACGUUAGUUUAGUUAAGGUGUGUCUGAGAUUUCGGUCAUAGUCUAGGGGGCACUUGUACCUUAUCCCUUGUUUAAAAGUUAUUUUGACUUAAAAUCACCUGAAAUAAGUCAAUACACACAUGUUGUAAGUAAGUUUUCUCAAGAGUGUUUUUCAAAAAAGUAGUUUAAAUUUAAAACUUUUUUUUAAAUUUUCGAAAAACAACUUCUGUUGCUCCUUGAAAACACUUUUUUUCUUCUAAAAGUUUGGUCAAAUACUUCAGUUAUAUAAAAGACACUUAACCUUGUAUAAAAUUGAACAAGUAGACACACAUGCCUUUGUAGCAUAAUACACGUAGGACGCCAUGUAGGACAGAAAAUUGCUAUAUAGGAUGCCAUGUAGAACGAAUGCGUCUAUUUGUUUAAUUUUAUACAAGUAUAAGUGUCUACUUGUACACAACCAAAGUUAAAGGUCUUAGUUGUCGGCUGAAGUCAAGUUAAGAGUCAUGUUUAUGUAUUAUGCCUUUAUAAAAUAAGCAAUUUUGACCUUCCAAAUCUGCUCGUUUCUUUUCUUUUUUCUUAUUCAGUUUACUUGAAAUUUGGUGGAACACCUAAAGACCAACCUAAAUUAAGCAUGAAUUAUUAGUUGAAUGCCUAAACUAUCAUAGUCUUAAUUACCCUAAAAGGAUGGGAUUGUGCAGGAUAAAAACUAUCAAAUAGCCAAGUUCGGGGGUGAUUUAGAAUUCUAAUAGUUCAGGGUGCAACUAAUAAUUUGUGUAAAGUUUAAGGGGCCACAAUUAUUCUACCUUGGAAAAAGAAUAUUUAUUAGCCAUCAACUAUUUUGAGUUGUGUAUUACAUCUUCUUCGAACCAACAACGUAAAAGAAAAAUUAGUUGAAACUCCAUUACAUUUAGUCAAGUAAAAUUUCUAGCCUAAACAAUGGAGUUCAAAGUUUAGACGAAGUUCUGAGGUAUUAUGCCAUUUGAAUUACCCCGUCUGUUUUUACUAAUAUUAAGACAUCCAAAUUUGAAUACACAUCUCAAUAUUAAGAUAUGUAUUAAGAUUAAGAUGUUUGAAUAUAAAUAUAUAUUGUCUUAUUGAGAUAUGAAUACUAAAUAACUGAAUUUAUAAAAUUUAUCUUUAAUUAAAAAUUAAUAAAUAUAAAAUACUUUAUCAGAACAUAUGUGCAACGCACGUGUUGAAAAACUAGUUAUCUAAUAAGUGAGAUAUCUCGAUCCCUAAUCACUUUAUCAGAACAUAUGUCCAACACGCAAAUUAAAAGAGAAGUAUCUUUUUUCUUUCUCCUCUUUAUUAUUUUAGUUUUGGCAUUAAGUAAAGUAGAUUACGAAAGCAGCCCCACAAAUAUCUUUUAAAAGUCUUUCAAAGAAGUACUGGUUUUAGUCUUGAGUUUGAAAAAUUCUAACAACAAUUUUUUUUUACUUUUCAGCUUUAAUUUGUUUGUCUAAUUUUGUCUUGAUAGAAAAUAUUUAAAAAAUUAUAUAUUUUUAAAAUAUUGUGAUUUUAAAUUAAAAAUAGAUAAAAUAUACCAAAUAAGGAGUUGAUGGACUAAAACAAAAAAUAGGACAAACAACUUGAAAUUGAAACGGAGAGAGUUCAAAGUUUCUUGUUCGAUUUUUAUUGAGUAUAAAAUCAUCUCUAUCAGGAAAUAUUUUACCACAACAUACAUUUUUUAAAUAUGAAUUCAAAUUUAAUCGAUUUCAAUACAGAUAAGAUAACGUUAUUUUGACACCAAAUUGGGAUGCCAAAAACAGUAUAAAAGGACUUCUCUCACAAAGCCACUUAGAUUCAUUUUCAUCAAUAAAACAAAUUUUCCUUCUUUUUUGUUCCUUCAUUUUCUUCUCUUUUCUCUCUAUUUCUUCAUCACUCUGCUUCUAUAACUUUGACAGCAACUGAUCAGUUUUCACCGGGCGAUCUUUCUUUUCCGACUUGAAAUUCCGGCGAAAUCAGAUCGUUUAGUGCUCAGAAGGACUUUGUGAGUUUUUUUUCUCCUCCUGCUUACUACCUCCGUCCACUUUUAAUUGUCAUGAUUUCUUUUUUUAGAGUCAAACGAUUUGUAUUUUUUCAUCAUAUUGAUAUACAAAAAAUUGCAAGUUAUAAUACUCUUCCUAUAGUUUUUGAAUAUCUAAAUUUUUUACUUAAAAUAUUGAAUUAAUGUAAUCUAAUUUCACUUUGAAAAUUAGUUAAAUUGACUUUCGAAAAAUGCAAUAUGACAAUUAAAAGUGGACAGAGGGGUAUCUUGUUUUCACUAAGAUUAUUAGGCUAUUUGGCCAAAUUUAUAAAUUUAGUUAAUUUUUUAAGGUACAAUACAUAAACGUAUCCUUUAACUUCACCUUAGCCAACAUAUGUAUCUUUAACUUGUAUAAAAUUGAAUAAAUAGAUACAUUCGUUCUACGUGGCGUAUUACAUGACAAUGUUCUAUAUGUAUUAGGGCAUAUAGAAUACAUGUUUCUUGUUUAAUUUUAUAUAAGUUAAAAGUGUCUAUUUGUUCAUAUCCAAAAUUACAGUGCAUAGAUAUAAGUUAAGGGCAUAUGUAUGUAUUAUGCCUUUUGUAAAUUUAUUUAUUUUUUAGAAAAAUAAAGUAUUUUUUGAUGAGAAAUCAUUUGUGUUAGGCCAAUUAAUGUUGAUCUAGCUUUUAGAGGUGUUUCUUGGAUGGAGUUGUCUUUCCCUUUUUAUUGUUUAAAAGUUAUUUUAGCUUAAAAUCAUCCGAAAUAAUUCAAUCCAUACAUGUUGUAAGUUUUCUCAAGUGUUUUUCAAAAAAGUAGUUAAAUUUAAAACUUUUUUUUUUAAUUUUUGGAAAACAACUUCUGUUGUUCCCUGAAAACACCUUUUUUCUUUUAAAAAGUUUGGUCAAAUACUUCACUUUUAUAAAAGGCAUAAUACAUAAAUAUGUUUUUUAAUUUGGCUUCAACUGACAUUUAUACCCUCCAACUUUGAGUGUGCACAAGUAGACAUUUAAAUUUGUAUAAAAUUAAACAAGUAGACAUACGUGCCUACGUGGCAUAAUACCACAUAGGACGCCACGUAGGACACAAAAUUGUCAUGUAGGACGAAUGUAUUUAUUUGUUUAAUUGUAUACAAGCUUAAGUGUCAACUUAUGCACACCCAAAAUUAAAAGUCAUAGUUGUUCGCUGAAACCGAGUUAAAGGUCAUGUUUAUAUAUUAUACCUUUAUAAAAUAAGCACUUAUUUUUUGAAAAAAAGAAGCACUUGUGACCUUCCAAAUCUUCUCUAUUCUUUUCUUUUUUCUUAUUCAGUUUACUUGAAAUUUGGUGAAACACCUAAAGACCAACCUAAACUUAGCAUGAAUUAUUAGUUGAAUGCCUAAACUAUCAGUGGUCUUAAUUACCCUAAAAGGAUGGCAUUAUGUGGGGACUAUCACAUAGACAAGUUCGAGGGUGAUUUAGAAUUCUAAUAGUUCAGGUGUGCAACUAAUAAUUCGUGUAAAGUUUAAGGGGCAACAAAUAUUCUACCUUGAAAAAAGAAUAUUUAUUAGCCAUCAACUAUUUUGAGUAGUGUAUUACGUCUUCUUCGAACCAACAAUGUAAAUUAGUUGAAACUCCAUUACAUUUAGUCAAGUAAAAUUUCUAGCCUAAACAAUGGAGUUCAAAGUUUAGGCGAAGUUCUGAGGUAUUAUGCCAUUUGAAUUACCCUGUCUGUUUUUACUAAUAUUAAGACAUCCAAAUUUGAAUACACAUCUCAAUAUUAAGAUAUAUAUUAAGAUUAAGAUGUUUGAAUAUAAAUAUAUAAUGUUGUAUUGAGAUAUGAAUACUAAAUAACUGAAUUUAUAAAAUUUGUCUUUAAUUAAAAAUUAAUAAAUAUAAAAUUCAAAUAAAAUGUUGAUUAAUCUAAUACUAUAUAAUCAAAUUAUUUUAGAAACUUUAUAUGAUUGUUGGUGGUGAUGGUGAUCAGGUGAUGGCUAAUAGUGGUGAUUGUGGGUGUCAAUUGCGGAUUGUCAUUGGCGAUAAUGUUGGUUGAUGCUAGUGAUGAUGGUGGCAAUAAAGGAACAACCGUACUUAACAUGAGUGAGAUCUGAAUGGUUAAGACUUAAACCUUAAAAAGGCACAUAUAAUGACUAAAAUCCAAAGGAUUAAGACUCAGACAUUCAUUAAAUGCAAACAGACGCGGCCUAUGUUGUUUUUCUUACACUGUUUUCUAUGCUUUACAGCUCAUCUGGCAAAAUGGAGGGAGCUACCCCUUCAGUUUUAUGUAGUCUCUUUGUUGUCAUGUUGAUCCUACUUCUACCAGCUACAUCAGUGGCUGAACCAAGAUCCCAGAUAAUCCAGCUGAUACGUGGCAACAGAUUGACAGCUUCCGUCCCAAAUUUUGUUGGUACAAUGGAAACGUUGAGUGAACAAGUGAGAGCUAGAGGAUAUGGAGUAGCAGUUACUGGCACUAGACCCGGUGCUACCUAUGGAAUUAGCCAAUGCUAUGGUGAUCUAUCAUUACUCGACUGUGUCUUAUGCUUCUCUGAAGCUCGAACGGUUCUGCCCCAGUGCUUCCCUUAUAACGGGAGAAUUUAUCUUGAUGGCUGCUUUAUGCGAGUGGAGAAUUACAUGUUCUAUGACCAGUAUUUAGGUCCAGAGGACAUGCAUGUAUGUGGAAACAGGACGACCAAGGGUACAUUGUUCCAACAGAACGCUAGGCAAGCCAUUCAGCAAGCAGUUGUAAAUGCACCGACUAAUAAUGGUACUGCACGUGCUCAAGUGUCAGUGCCUGGUCCUUCCAAUGAGACAGCUUAUGUUCUCGCCGAUUGUUGGAAGACGCUGAGCGCAAAUUCCUGUGCAGCGUGUUUGCAAAAUGCAUCUGCAUCCAUGUUGGGAUGCUUACCUUGGUCAGAAGGUAGAGCCCUUUACACUGGAUGCUUCAUGAGGUAUUCUGAUACAAAUUUUCUCAAUGCUAUUUCUGCCAGUGGAGGCUCAUCAUCAACGGGUAAUUUUAACUCUUUUUUCGUCCUGGUUUGCCUGUUAUUUACCGACUGAACUGUAAUUUUGCUGAUAAAUGGUCUUUUUUUUUUACGUUCAAAUCACCAUAUUGCAGGAAAAGUUGUAGUCAUUGUCAUUGUUGUUGUUAGUUCCGUUGUCGUUUCGGGAGCAGCUGCUUUUGUUGGUUUUAGUGUCUGGAAGAACAAACAAAUCCAGAAGAAGAGAAAAGGUAAAUACUUUUAUGCGAAAAUUUAGUUAUAAAAGUCAUUAGGAUAGUUAAAUGAUGUACAUAUAUUGUAUCUGUAUUCUAAAACUUAGAAUUAAAAAAUUGAACUUUUUAGGUGCAAAUGAUGUUAAGAAAUUAGUGAAGAUCCUUGAUCAAAACAACUUGAACUUCAAGUAUUCGACACUUGACAAAGCCACGGGUUCAUUUGAUGAGGCCAACAAGCUCGGACAGGGUGGAUUUGGCACGGUUUAUAAGGUAUGUAAUGGUUGAAUGUAGUGUGAUUAUGUUAACAUCAAUGCAAGAAGUGUUGGCAAUUAGAUAGAGUCUGAGUCACAUUUUGUUGCAGGGUGUUUUGGCAGACGGGAGAGAGAUCGCUGUCAAAAGGCUGUUCUUCAACAACAAACACACAGCUGCAGAUUUUUAUAACGAGGUUAACAUAAUCAGUAGCGUCCAGCACAAAAAUUUGACAAGGUUAUUGGGGUGCAGCUGCUCAGGAACGGAAAACCUUCUUGUAUACGAGUUACUCCCUAACCAGAGUCUUGAUCGCUACAUAUUUGGUAAGUAACUGGACUUUAACUACGUGUCCGUCCCAAACAAGUUGGGGUUUAGCUAAACAAACCCUCACUAUUCUAUUUAAGCUAAACUCAUGUAUAUCAUUGCACCAACUAAAAAAAAAAGUACAAAUAAGUUAAACAUAGGUAACCGACUUUGCAUUAAGCUAAGACUAAGUGUUGUGUUUUCACAUAACCAGCACAUGACUUUGUCAUGUAUAUUGAUUCUAACCUUAAAAUUUGACAGACCCUAUUAAAGGUAAAACUCUAAAUUGGAAGAAAAGAUUUGAGAUAAUUAUAGGGACAGCAGAAGGAUUGGUAUACCUUCACGAGAACACAGAGACACGAAUAAUUCACAGAGACAUAAAAGCAAGCAACAUCCUGUUGGACUUGAGGCUCCGUGCAAAGAUUGCUGAUUUUGGGUUGGCAAGGUCAUUCCAAGAAGACAAGAGUCACAUAAGCACUGCCAUUGCUGGCACAUUGUUAGUAUUUCUUCGUCUCGUCUUCUACUUUUGUCGCGUAAAAGUAUAUGAAAACUAAUAUGGUACAAUAUGUGCAGAGGAUAUAUGGCUCCAGAAUACUUAGCACGCGGUCAGCUAACAGAAAAAGCAGACGUUUACAGCUUUGGAGUUCUUCUACUAGAGAUUGUUACUGGAAGACAAAAUAACAAGAGAAAAAAUGACGAAGAUACAGUUAGCUUAGUUUCCAAUGUAAUUUCUGAUCAAUCACUUCUCUGAAGAACCAAAAUUUCAAUCUUGGAGAACAUAUUUGUCCAUUGAUCUUAACUUUAUUGAAUGAAUUCAACAGGUGUGGGAGCACUUUCAACGCGGUAUAGUGGAGGAACUGUUCGAUCCGAAUCUCAUGUUGCAUAACUACCAUACAAUCAAUGUGAAAAAUGAGGUUGCGAGAGUGUUACAUGUGGGACUUUUGUGCACUCAAGAGAUUCCAUCAUUACGGCCAUCCAUGUCUAAGGCAUUACAAAUGUUCGUGAAGAAAGACGAAGAGUUGCCUCCUCCUACUAAUCCGCCAUUCGUGGAUGAGAAAACCAUGGAACUUCACGACCCUUGGGAUAAGUACUUGCUUAAACAAGGCGAUUCUGCUUCGAUUGCCAAACUUAUCUCACAGGUUCUUUUUACCCCAGAUGAUGAUAUCUCUGUGCUCCUGAACUGAAAGUGAUGUAAAGAUUAUAGUUAUCUCAAGCAUAUCAUUUCGCCUCGUGUUCUUGAAGGAAACUUCAUCGUGAUCGAGCAGUUAGUUACAACAACGACAACUAUGUUUCUGUCCCAAACAAGUUGAGGUCGGUAAUAUGAAUUCUCAGUAUUCCACAACUCAUGAUCAAGCAGUUAGUUGUAAGUUCAAAACUUCAUAAUACAUUUUUCAAUUUUUUCAUGUAUUAUUUGUCAAUUAGGAAAAUAUUUUAUCUAGGAAAACAAGCUCCACAAGACGCAAGUGACAACCCAACUAUGCGUAAGUGCAAGGGCAGAGGUAGGUAGGGUCGAAGGUGUUCAUCUGAACCCCCUUCAAUAGAAAAUUAUUCUAUUUAUACAUGUUUUAAUUUUUAUUUUUUUUAUGUAUAUACAAUAACCUCUUCGAUUUCUUCACAGGGGCGGAGCUAGGUGGGGGUUCGUGGGUUCGGAAGAACCCAAUAGCUUUUCCGUAGAUCUUGUAUUUGUACCAAAAAAUUCAAUAAAUAUAUAUAUGUAUAUUAACUCGUGAACCCCUAACAAAACUGAUUGACAACUUAGUGGUAAGGAAGAGGCUGUGAAAAUGCUUUCCACACUAGAGUUGUGGGCUCAAAUCCACUAUCAACAAAAAGUUUAGAACCUCCCAAUUCCUAAUCCUAGCUCCGCCUCUGUAAUAAAUUCUUCAUGUAUUUACUUUUUUUAUAUUUUGAAUUCUUGGAUGAAAAUGCUAGCUCCGCCACUGCCUAAUAAGUGAGAUAUCCACAUUCCUAAUCACUUUAUCAAAACGUAUAUCCUUACAUGUUAAUUUCGUGUCAAAUCAAACAACGUCACACAAAUUAAAAGGAGAAGUAUCUUUUUUCUUCUCCCCUCUUUAUUAUUUUGGUAUGGGCAGUAAGUAAAGUAGUUAGGAAACCGGCCCCACAAAUAUCUAUUAAAGUCUUUCAAAGUAGUAUUCAAACAACAAUGUCUUUCCUCUUGUUGACUUCUCUCAACAAUUUUUUAACUUUCUCCGUAUUAAUUUGUUUGUUUAGUUUUGACUUGACAUUAAGGGUCCAGUUGGCCAUGAGAUAUAAAUUAUGAUCUGAAAUCAUUAAAUAGAGUUGGAGUUUUGUUUGGACAUGUGAUUUGGACUUUUUAUGUUGUUUAUUUUAUCAUAAACAUAAAAAUCCUAUAAGUUAUAAAACUAUUAAAAUUGUCUCAAUUCUUUAUUCAAUCUUACCAAAUAAGCAAAGUUUAUAAAAUUCCAUAAUACAUCACAAAGAUAUUUUUAAAAAUACAGUAUUUAUUGAUCAAACUUUAAUUCAAUUAAAAAAAUAAAAUUAAACAUAUAUAAGUUGUGGUGUACUAGGCUUAAAUAUAGUUCAGCCACAUAGUACAUUCAAUCUUCUCAGUUGAACUUGCAUUUCUCGUUCAUAUGACUGAUAAGACAAACCAACAUUGCUACUUUGAGCCAUUUAUGGUCAAUUUGGUUGGUAAAUUAAUUUGAUAAAAAAUAAUGAAUUUGGUGAAUAUAAAUGGUAAAGUAGAAACUGAUUUGAAGUAGUAAUAAAUUAUAUGUUAGUGAGAAUAAUCAUUAUAUGAGAUGUAUAUGAUUUAAAAAGUAAUGAUAUGAAUUAUAAAUUUUAUUUACAUAUGAAAUAAAUGGUUAGCAGUAUAAAUGUGAUGUUUUACAAAAUAUAAAUUUGUGAGUCAAUUUUUGUAUUUGAAAAAUCUCAAAUUUUGAUUUUUGGAAAAUUUUAGAUUUCAUCUCGAGAUGAAAUAAACAGGAAAUCAUAUGUCCAAACGCCUACCAAAUUUAUUAUUGUGAAUAUUAUGAACUUAGAUUAAAAAUAUAUAAAACAUACCAAAAUAUUGUUUAAUCUUGUGGCCUUAUAUAUAUCGUAUAGAAAAUUAGAAAUAAAGAGUUGACAGACUAAAAUAGAAAGUUAGACAAACAAAUUAAAAUUAAAACAUAAAAUUCAAAAUGAUAAAUACUUUUUCAUCCUAAACUAAAAGUUUCUUGUUCGAGUUUUAUUGGGUAUAAAAUUAUCCUUGUUAGAAAAUAUUUUAGCCCAAUAUAAAAAAUUUCAACACAAAUCAGAUUUAAUCGGCUUCAAUAUAGAUAUCGUACACCAGAUUGGGAAACCAAAAAUGAGUUAAUACUCCCUCUGUCCCAAUUUAUGUGACACAUUUCGAAUUUCGAGAUUCAAACAAGUCUAUCUUUGACCGUCAUUUUUUCAUUUAUCUUUUAAUUAUUUUGAAUUAUCAAUUAUUGAGACUUAUAGUACUUUUUAUGUAGUUUACAAAUAUAUAAAUUUUCAUUUUAAAAAAUUUGAAGAUUCCAUGAGCAAAUUCUCGAUCAAACUUAAACUGUUUGAUUUUCGAAAAGCGAAAUGUGUCACAUAAAUUGAGACAGGGACUUCUUCACAAAGCCACUUUGAUUCAUUUUCAUCAAUAAAACAAAUUUUAUUUCUUUAUUUGUUCCUUUCAUUUUCUUCUCUCUUCUCUCUGUUUCUACAACUUUGACAGCAACGGUUACUUUAUUUGUUCCUUUCAUUUUCUUCUCUUUUCUCUCUGUUUCUACUACUUUGACAGCAACUGUUUCUUUAUUUGUUCCUUUCAUUUUCUUCUCUUUUCUCUUUGUUUCUUCAACACUCCGUUUCUACAACUUUGAUAGCAACUGAUCUAUUUUCACCGGCGAUCUCUCAGUUUCGACUCGAAAAUCGGGUGAAUUCAGACUGUUUAGUUAUCACAAGGAGUUUUGUGAGUGUUUCUUUUUUUUUUCCUUCUUCUUCUGUUUUCACUAAUUAUUAAGUUGUUUGAUCAAAUUUCUAAAAUUAGCUGGUAUGGAAAAGUGUUUUUUCAAAAAAAUAUUUUUUGGUGAGAAAUAAUUUGUGUUUCAUAAAAAUAACUUGAGCAGCAAUUAAUAUUCAUCAAACUUUUAAAAGUGUUUUUAAAUUUGUAAGCCUAACUUAAUUUAUGACUUUUUGAUUUAUUUUUGUUAUUUGGCUUUAAAAAGGAACUUAAAAUCACUUCUUUUAUACACUAUUAUAAAGACAUAAUACAUAAAUAUGUUCUUUAAUGGGUUUUAUUUCACAUUUGUGCCCUUUUAAAUAUGUAAGGCAUAAUACAUAAACAUGACCCUUAACUUGCCUUCAGCGGACAACUAUGCCACCAACUUUGAGUAUGCACAAGUAGACACUUAAACUUGUAUAAAAUUGAAUAAAUAGACACGCGUACCGUAAGGCUAAGUUAAAGGGCAUUUAUGUAUUAUGCCUAUUAUAAAAGUGUUUAAAAACUAUUUUCACUUUAACAAAUCUAAAAUAAGUCAAUCCAAAUAAGCUCUAUAGUAAGUUUUCCUCAAAAGUAUUUACCAAAAAAUUACUUUAUGGAAAAACUACUUUUUUUAGCUUCUGAAAAAUAGCUUCUGUUACACUGGAGAACUUUUUUUUUUCCCCUCAAAAGCUGGACCAAACACCCCAUUUUUGUAAAAUAAUCAAUUUUUACCCUCCAAAUACUUGGCCAAACAGACUAUAUAUUUGUUUGAGUGCAAAUUUGGUAGAACACCUAAUGACCAACCUAAAACUUAGCAUGAAUUAUUAGUUAGAAUGCCUAAACUAUCAAUAGUCUUAAUUACCCUAAACGGGACGAGAUUGUGCGGGGUAAAGACACUAUCAAAUAUCUAAGCUCAGGGGCUUAUUCAGACUAAUAAUAGUUUAGGUAUGCAACGAAUAAUUUGUGUAAAGUUUAGGGGGGUCUUUAUAUUUUCUACCUUGAAAAUUUGGUAAGGAGUAUAUAAACAAAAGAGAACCAUCAGCAGUUGUGGUGGACGGUAAGUACUCCCUACAUUAACAGUUGUAACGGUACUGUGAACACCCAAUAAUUUAAGUACGAAAGUAGCAAAAAGUUAUAAUUUAGCCAAAUAAUAUGUUUUAAGCCAAAAUUAUGAUUUUCAACUACUUAUUUCUUCUCUAGAUGCAAUGACAUUUGUUUGAGUUGUGUAUUUCUUCUUCUUCAAACCAAAUCCGUAAAAGAAAAAAUAGUUGAAAGUCCAUUCAAAUAAAAGUUCCCGCCUAGAAAUGCAGUGCGAUUAGGAGUGAAAGUGGAUGGAGUAGUGUUGGAAUAGCAUCUUUGUAGAAAUUCUUAACAUCUUAAUGAUAUUAAAAUUUUGUUAUAGGUCUUAGUUAUUUAGAUAUACUCAGACUCGUUAAGCGGUGACAAAACAAAAGAACAAAUGAACUUAACGAUUGAUUAAGAUUUAGCCAUUAAAAGGCACAUAUAAUGACUAAAAGAUGAAGAAUUAAGACUCAGACAUUCAUUAAAUGCAAACAAACGCGGCCUAUGUUGAUUUUCUUACAUUGUUUUCUAUGUUGUACAGCUCAUCUAGCAAAAUGGAAGGAGCAACUACUUCAGUGUUAUGUAGUCACUUUGUUGUCAUGUUGAUCCUACUUCUACCAGAUACAUCAGUGGCUGAACCAAGAUCCCAGAUAAUCCGGCUCAUAUGUGGAAACAGAACGACGGUUUCCGUCCCAAAUUUUGUCGGUACAAUGGAAACGUUGAGUGAACAAGUGAGAGCUAGAAGAUAUGGAGUAGCAGUUACUGGCACUAGACCAGAUGCUACCUAUGGAAUUAGCCAAUGCUACGGUGAUCUAUCAUUAGUCGACUGUGUCUUAUGCUUUUCUGAAGUACGAACCCUUAUUCCCCAGUGCUUCCCUUAUAACGGAGCACGAAUUUAUCUUGAUGGCUGCUUUAUGCGAGCGGAGAAUUACAGUUUCUAUGACGAGUAUUUAGGUCCAGAGGACAGGCGAGUAUGCGGAAACAGGACGACAAAGGGUUCAUUGUUCCAACAGAAUGCUAGGGCAGCUGUUCAGCAAGCAGUUGGAAAUGCACCGAGUAAUAAUGGCUAUGCGCGUUCCCAAGUGUCAUUUCCGAGGGAUUCCAAUGAUACAGCUUAUGUUCUCGCUGAUUGCUGGAAGACACUGAGUGCAAAUUCCUGUGCAGCGUGUUUGCAAAAUGCAUCUGCAUCCAUGUUGGGAUGCUUGCCUUGGUCAGAAGGUAGAGCUCUGUACACCGGAUGCUUCAUGAGGUAUUCCGAUACCAAUUUUCUCAAUGCUAUUACUACCAACUGAGGCUGGUCAUCAAGGGGUACUUUUUUCUCUUUUUUCGUCCUGGUUUACCUGUUAUUUAUCGGCUGAACACGUAAAUUUUACUUGCAAAUCACCAUAUUGCAGGAAAAGUUGCAGUCACUAUCAUUGUUGUUAGUUCCGUUGUCGUUUUGGGAGUAGGUGCUUUCAUUGGUAUUGGUGUCUGGAAGAAUAAACUAAUCCAGAAGAAGAGAAAGGGUAAAUACUUUUGUGCCAAAAAUUAGUCAUUAGGAUAUCAAUGAUGUACAUAUAUUGCAUCUUUAUUCGAAAACUUAGAAUAAAAAAAUUUGAACUUGUUAGGUGCAAAUGAUGCCGAGAAAUUAGUGAAGAUACUUCAUGACAUCAGCUUGAACUUCAAGUAUUCGACGCUUGACAAAGCCACGGGGUCAUUUGAUGAGGCCAACAAGCUCGGGCAAGGUGGAUUUGGCACGGUUUAUAAAGUAUGUAAUAGCUGAAUGUAGUGCAAUUCAAUAUAAUACUUGAAGUGUUGGCAAUUAAUCCGAGUUUGAGGCGUGAUUUGUUGCAGGGUGUUUUGGCAGAUGGGAGAGAGAUCGCCGUCAAAAGGCUGUUCUUCAACAACAAACACAGAGUUGCAGAUUUUUAUAACGAGGUUAACAUAGUCAGCAGCAUUGAGCACAAAAAUUUGAUAAGGUUAUUGGGAUGCUGCUGCUCAGGACCGGAAAGCCUUCUUGUAUACGAGUUCCUCCCUAACCAGAGUCUUGAUCACUUCAUAUUUGGUAUGUAAGCGUCAUCCUCCCAAUUUUAUUUACGCUAAACUCAUGUUAUCAUCACACAAACUAAAAAUAAAAGUGAAAAUAAGUAACCGCCAUCGCGUUAAGACUAAAUGUCAUGUUUUCACAUAGCCAUGCCAGAGUGAUUCUAACUUUAAAAUUUGACAGACCCUAUAAAAGGUAAAGCUCUAAACUGGGAGAAAAGAUUUGAGAUAAUUAUUGGUACAGCAGAAGGAUUGGUAUACCUUCACGAGAACACAAAGACCCGAAUAAUCCACAGAGACAUAAAGGCAAGCAACAUCCUGUUGGACUCGAGGCUCCGUGCAAAGAUUGCUGAUUUUGGGUUGGCCAGGUCAUUCCAAGAAGACAAGAGUCACAUAAGCACUGUCCCUGCUGGCACAUUGUCAGUAUUUCUUCGUCUCGUCUUCUAUUUUUUCGCGUAAAAGUACACAAAAAAUGCAAAGACUAAUAUGGUCCAAUAAUGCAGGGGAUAUAUAGCUCCAGAAUACUUAGCACAUGGUCAAUUAACAGAAAAAGCAGAUGUUUACAGCUUUGGAGUUCUUCUACUAGAGAUUGUUACUGGAAAACAAAAUAACAAGAGAAAAAACGACGAAGAUACAGUCAGCUUAGUUUCCAAUGUAAUUUCUGAUCAAUCACUUCUCUCUUGAACCAAAUUUUAAAUCUAGGAAAACAUUUCUGUUCAUUGAUCGUAACUUUAUUAGAUGAAAUUAACAGGUGUGGGAGCACUUUCAACGUGGGAAAGUGGAGGAGCUGUUCGAUCUGAAUCUCAUGUUGCAUAACUGCCAUACAAUCAAUGUACAAAAUGAGGUUGCGAGAGUGUUACAUGUGGGACUUUUGUGCACUCAAGAGAUCCCAAUGUUACGUCCAUUCAUGUCUAAGGCAUUAAAAAUGCUCGUGAAGAAAGACGAAGAGUUGCCUCCUCCUACUAAACCGCCAUUCGUGGAUGAGAAAACCAUGGAACUUCACGACCCUUGGGAGAAGAACUUGCUCAAACAAAGCGAUUCUGCUUCGACUGCCAACUUAUCUCACAGUUCUUUUUACCCCAGAUGAUGAUAUCUCAGUGCUCCUGAACUGAAAGUGAUGUAAAAAUUGUAGUUAUCUCAAGCUGUCAAGCAUAUACUUUCGCCUCGUGUUCUUGAAGGAGACUUCUUCUUGAUCGAUCGAGUAGUUUGUUACAACAACCACAACAACUAUGUUUCUGUCUCAAACAAGUUGAGGUCGGCUAUAUGAAUUCUCAGUAUUCCAUUUAAGCGGUUAGUUGUAAGUUUAAAAUUUCAGAAUACAUUUUUCAAUUUUUUCAUGUAUUAUUUGUCAAUUUGGAAAAUAUUUUAUCUAGGAAAACAAGUUCUUUAAAAAGGAGGAAAAAAUGAUUUUCCUAGGUUGAGAAAACGAGUUUCGCAAGUGACGAAGAAUUUAUCUUGAUGGAUGCUUUUUUCGAGUGGACAAUUACAUGUUCUAUGACCAGUAUUUAGGUCCAGAAGACAGGCAUGUAUGCGGAAACAGGACGACAAAGGGUGCAUUGUUCCAACAGAAUGCUAGGCUAGCCAUUCAGCAAGCAGUUGCAAAUGCACCGAGUAAUGACGGCUAUGCGCGUGCCGAAGUGUCAGUACACGGUCCUUCCAACGAGACAGCUUAUGUUCUCGCUGAUUGUUGGAAGACACUAAGCGCGAAUUCCUGUGCAGCGUGUUUGCAAAAUGCAUCUGCAUCUAUGUUGGGAUGCUUACCUUGGUCAGAAGGUAGAGCCCUUUACACUGGAUGCUUCAUGAGAUAUUCUGAUACAAAUUUUCUCAAUGAUACUUCUACCAGUGGAGGUUCGUCAUCAAGGGGUACGUUUAGCUCUUUUUUCGUCCUGGUUUACCGGUUAUUAUGAACUAAUUUUUACUUUCAAAUUCACCAUAAUGCAGGAAAAGUUGUAGUCAUUGUCAUAGUUGUUGUAAUUAGUUCCGUUGUCGUUUUGGGAGCAGGUGCGUUCGUUGGUUUUGGUGUUUGGAAGAACAAACAAAUCCAGAAGAAGAGAAAAGGUAAAUACUUUUGUGCCAAAAAUAUCAAUGAUGUACAUAUUGCUGAGUAUAUAUCUUGCGAUUUGCACACAACUGUACCGAAACAACUUUCAAGAAUUAACUUGAGGCGUUAUGGCUACUCGUGCUUUUCCUGUGAAAUUUGAACUUGUUAGGUGCAAAUGAUGUUGAGAAAUUAGUGAAGAUCCUUCAUCAAAACAGCUUGAACUUCAAGUAUUCGACACUUGACAAAGCCACGGGGUCAUUUGAUGAGGCCAACAAGAUCGGGCAAGGUGGAUUUGGCACAGUUUAUAAGGUAUGUAAUGGCUGAAUGUUAACAGCAAGGCAAUUAAACAGAGUUUGAGAUACAAUUGUUGCAGGGUGUUUUGGCAGACGGAAGAGAGAUCACCAUCAAAAGGCUGUUCUUCAACAACAAACACAGAGCUGCAGAUUUUUAUAACGAGGUUAACAUAAUCAGUAGUGUCCAGCACAAAAAUUUGACACGGUUAUUGGGAUGCAGCUGUUCAGGACCGGAAAGCCUUCUUGUAUACGAGUUACUCCUUAACCAGAGUCUUGAUCGCUUCAUAUUUGGUAAGUAACCCGACAUUGCAACAACAAUUACUAUACCUCAGUCCCAAACAAGUUAGGGGUCGGCCUUAUGAAUCCUCGCUAUUCUAUUUAUGCUAAACUCAUGUCAUCAUUACUCCAACUAAAAAAAAAGUGAAAAUAAGUUAAACUCAAGAAACCGACGUUGCAUUAAGACUAAGUGGAAUGACUUUGUCAUGUAUAUUGAUUCUAACCUUAAAAUUUGACAGACCCUAUCAAAGGUAAAGCUCUAAAUUGGGAGAAAAGAUUUGAGAUAAUUAUAGGGACAGCAGAAGGAAUGGUAUACCUACACGAGAACACAAAUACACGAAUUAUUCACAGAGACAUUAAGGCAAGCAACAUCCUGUUGGACUCGAGGCUCCGUGCAAAGAUUGCUGAUUUUGGUUUGGCCAGGUCAUUCCAAGAAGACAAGAGUCACAUAAGCACUGCCAUUGCUGGCACAUUGUUAGUAUUUCUUCAUCCCAUCUUCUAAUUUUUCGCGUAAAAGUACACAAAAAAUGGGAUGAUUUACCCUUUUUAUGCAGAGGAUAUAUGGCUCCAGAAUACUUAGCACACGGUCAGCUAACAGAAAAGGCAGACGUCUACAGCUUUGGAGUUCUUGUUACUGGAAGUCAAAAUAACAAGAGAAAAAACGCCGAAUAUGCAGUCAGCUUAGUUUCCAAUGUAAUUUCUGAUCAAUCACUUCUCUCUUGAACCAAAUUUUUAAUCUUGACAAACAUUUACGUUCAUUGGUCUUAACUCUUAUAUUUGAUGAAAUUAACAGGCGUGGGAGCACUUUCAAUGCGGGAUAGUGGAGGAACUCUUCGAUCCCAAUCUCAUGUUGCAUAACUACCAUACAAUUAAUGUGAAAAAUGAGGUUGCAAGAGUGUUACAUGUGGGACUUUUGUGCACUCAAGAGAUUCCAUCAUUACGGCCAUCCAUGUCUAAGGCAUUACAAAUGUUCGUCAAGAAAGACGAAAAGUUGCCUUCUCCUACUAAGCCGCCAUUCGUGGAUGAGAAAACCAUGGAACUUCAUGACCCUUGCGAGAUGUACUCGCUUAAACAAGGCGAUUCUGCUACGACUGCUGACUUAUCUCACAGUUCAUUUUACCCCAGAUGAUGACAUCCCAUUGCCCUGAAACUGAAGUGUAAAAUUGGCCUCAACUGGCAACUAAACACUCCAACUUUGCCUAUGCACAUCUAGACACCUCAUUUCUAAAAGUAGGGGGGGGGGAUUGAAUUAUUUUUGUAGUUUGUCUAUAUAAAAUUAUGAGUUUGAUUUAAUGUGGAUCUGAGGCCUCAUUUGUUUUCAUUAAGAUUUAGACGUUUGAAUCUGAAUACAUAUUUGAAUGAUUAAGAUUGUUUGUUUAAACAUCUGAACGUACAUAAUAUUAUAUAUAAUUCAAACAAAAAUUAGUUAAAUAUUAAUAAAAUAAUUAUUUGAUUUUAAAAGAAUAAAACAUUUUUGCUUGCUAAUGAUGAUGAAGAUACUUUGUAGUGGUGGUGGUAAUAGUUGUUGUUAGUGUCUAGUAAUGAUGGUGGUGGUAGUUGUGAUGGUGGAGGUGGUUGGUGUUGUGGUGAUGACUAUCAUAAUGAUGGCAAUUGGUAGUUGUGUUGGAGGUUGUAAUUGUGAAGUUGGUUGAUGUUAGUGGUUGUCGGUGAUAAUGGUGGUGAUUGAUUAUGUGUUUGUGGUAGUUAGCGGCGAUGCUAGUUAUGAGAUGAAGGUGGUUGGUAGUGGAGAUUGACCACAGUAAUGGUAGUGGCUGAUAGUAGUAGUGGAGGUGGCGGUGGUGGGGUUGUGAUAGAAGAAUGUAUGGUGGUAGUUGGCGGCGGUGCUAGUGUGAUGGUAGCAUUUGUUGGUAGUAGGAAUUUUCUUGAAGACUGAAGUGGUGGUAGUGGUUAAGAGUGGUAGUUGAGGUAGCGGGGGAUGUAGAGACGGGAGGUGGUGAUGACAAUUGAUAUAAUUAUAAUAUGGAGGAGGUAAGUGUGGUAGCAGCUUCCAGUAGUGGUUAGCAAUGGUGAUGGUUGUGAUGACAUAGGUGGUUGGUGGUAGACGACAAUAAUUGUGGUUGGCAAUGGUGGUAGUAGCGGUGGUUGUGAUGGCAGAGGUGAGUAGUGGGGGUUGGUGAUUGUGGAUAGAGUGAUGGUGAAUAUUAUCCUCACAAGAAUACUUUAUGAUGUUAAGACUCGGUUCUAGAUCUUAAUAAUUAACACCAAUUUAAACCAAUUAAUUGCUUAAAUCUUAAUGAAAAUAUAUGUUUUUAAUGGUCUAAUGUUUGAACCAUUCAGAUUCAGACAUCAAUUAAGUGCAAACAAAUGAGGCCUUAUCCUAGUCCCCUUGGGUUGCAAGUUCUCCGUACGUUCUUGAAAUUUGUCUUGUUCUGUGAAGUGUAUUUCCUACGGUAUCUUUUUUCUCUUGAUUAAUCCAAUGCCUCACAACAAUAUUUUUCCUCUCUUACCCUAUUUUGAUUACACAGUGUCACAUUAGUGUCGGGUGUUCAUGAAACACAAUGAGGAUGAGUUGGAUGGUAUAGUUGUUUGUUGAGACCAAGUUGAGGUGUCUAGAUGUGUAUUCAUAAAGUUAGAGUGAUGAGGUCAAAUUUGAGUGAUUGUUUAUGUAUUAUAUCUAAAUGAUAAGCAUCUUUUUGCCUCGUCUUCUUGAAAUAGACUUUAUCACGAUCGAGUUGUUAGCUACUUUAGAUCCUUACGCGGUGCAAAUUUAUAUUAGUUGAAUUUUUGAAUUUCAAAUAUCAUAUAAAAUAUACCAAACAAUCAAGCAAGCAACUUGUAAAUAAAUAUAUUUCUAAAAAGUCGUACAUCAACAUCUUAAAAAGUCCUGCACUUGUUUUUCCUUCUAUAAAUUGAAAGUUAAAUCAAUUUCUAAUAAGAACGCAUGUGAAACCUUUAUAGUACCAUAAAUAUUAGUAUAUCUUUUUUUCAAAGACAAACUUCAAAAUUUUUACAUCCACACAUAGAAUUAUAACAUGUCAAAGAUCACAAAAAUAUUUAUUUUCUUGUUAAUUUUCGUAUCAAAUUAAACUUUAUCAUAUAAAUUUGAACAGAAGAAUAUGUUUCUUUCUUCUUCUUUUCUUCUUCUCCUUUGGCAGUAAAUGUACAGUAGAAAAAGACCCUUGUAGACUUCCUAGCCUUUAUUUUGAAAAAUUCAAACAAAUAAUCCUUCCAACAAAUUCUUCCUCUUGUUCACACACAAAAUAAAAUAAAAUAAAUUAUGGUAGAGUAAUAAAUAUUCUUUAUUUUUAAUUAAAAAUUUUAAAUUCAAACUCCAUAGCAUCGUUUUUGUCAGAGAAUAUUUUCUUCACCCCCAAUAUAAAGUUUUUCGGCAUGAUAUAAAUAUGGGACACCAACUUAUCUCCUUUCUACGAUGUAAAAUUUUUCAGCAUGCAUUCAAAUUUAAUCCACUCUAAUAUAGAUAUCAAAUAUCGCCGCCUCGAAAAAAAAAGUUGGAAGUAAAAAAACUUCCCUCACAAAACGACCCACUAAUUAAUACUACCUCCGUCCACUUUUAAUUGUCAUAGUUUUCUUUUUUAGAGUCAAAUUAUAAAAACUUUGACUAACAUUUCACAAUAUAUUCAUAUUGAUAGGUAAAAAAAAUUGCAAUUUAUAGUACUUUUCGUAUAGUUUUUGAAUACCUAAAUUUUUUGUUCAAAAUAUAAAAUUAAUGUAAUCUAAUUUAACUUUAAAAAUAAGUCAAAUUGACUUUCGAAAAGCCCAACAUGGCAAAUAAAAGUGGACAUACGGAUUAUAAAUUGCCCUUCAUUUUUCCUGUUUUCUCUGUUUCUACAACUUCGGCAGCAGCUGAUCAGUUUGCACCGGCGAUAUCUCUCUUUUCCGACUCAAAAUCCGGCGAAUUCAAACCGUUCAGUGUUCACAAGACUUUGUGAGUGUUCUUUCUAUUUUCAGUGAGAUUCAAUGAUUGUGGCAGGCGGUAAAAAAUCCUUCGUACUUAAUAAGUAAGAGUUAUCAAGUUCGAGCUUUAGAAAUGAAGUUAGCUCUUUAAUUUGAGCUGAAUUUGGGCGGGUUAAAUCAAUGAAUGGGUUAUUGUCUGGGUUAAACAACGGGUCAUAGCUCAAUUCGUCUUACUUGACCCAUUACUUGUACAAAUUUCAAACUCAUAUUCUAUGGUAUUUCUAUGGUGUUUUACAUAUAUAAAUAAGAAUAGCAUUUGAUAUCUGGUAUUGUUUUGUUUUGUUUUUGUAGUGAAUAAGAUUCAAUAAUUGCUUAGUUUUCCUGUUAUGAAUUGUGCUAUGUUUAAUUUCAUGGGAUAGAUGAUAUUUAGUUACUCCCUUAGCCUGAAAUGGGCGGGUCAAUAAUCAAUCCAAACUUGGGGAGGUUUGGCGGGUUAUGAUUUCAUGGGAUAAUUAUGUCAUCCUUAGUGAUGGCGGGUAGUAGCUAGUGAUGGUGAUGGUUGGUGGGGUGGUUAACAAUGGUAAUUGAUGGUGGUGGCUACCGAUAAUUGUGAUGGAUGGUAGUAAUAGUUAAUAGGGGUGGUGACUAAUAGCGGUGAUUGGUGAUGGUGGCGAUUGCCCAUAAUGAUUGGUGAUUAUUAUGGUAAUGCUAAUUGGUGGUGAUAGUUGUAAAUGAUGACUGACUGCAGAGAUUGAGGGAAUGGUAGCUGUGGAUGAGGAUGGUGAUUGUGGAGUUGUGAUAAUUGAUAUGAGUGGACAACAAUGAUGACAACGAUUAGCAGUUGUCCCGCCUUUGUUAAAAAAUAUUUUCAUAUUUUUCAAGAUCAAAAGGGUUAUCAACAUUGAAAGUGACAAAAUUGUGUUUCUAAAACAAGUCCAACUCCAAAUGACUUAUCAUCAAUAGAGAUUUCGGUUAAGAAAUUUGGUUGACUGAGGGGAAGGUGUUGGGCACCCUCAAGUAUCAUGGUUCUGGCAUGGAAGAAAACUUUAAUUUCUUUCUCUUUAUGGAUAACCAAUUAAUUUCCAAAUAUAGUUGGGAGAAUUUACCCAAGAAAUGGGCCAAAAAAAUGGAAAGAUCGGAACAUGGGAAUAGAUCUGAUACCAAUACAGACUACCUAUUUCAAUUGUUGUGCUUUAUGAACCUAUACAAGGGUUCAAGUUUCAAUCGAUAUUUGCGGAGUUGAUUAUCCCUCUCGAAAACAAAGAUUUGAAGUGGUCUAUAUGUUUACUGAGUAUUCGGUAUAACUCACUCAUUCGUGUACAAACCAGUGCAGACGAAGUAACACGAAUAUCUCCGAUGGUCAGUCUAUUUCCAUCAGCCGGCCGGUGGGAGCGAGAAGUUUGGGACAUGUUUGGUGUUUCUUCGCUUUACUGACUCGUAUUGGCUUAAAAUAAAAACUUAACUAAACAAACUCACACACACCCAAGUGUGCGCACAAACAAGGUGUUCUAAAACAAUGUCCGAACUAUUACAGUCCAAAACAAACUAUUUUCUUAUGUUUUUUCUCUAAUAGUAGUUCAAUUAGUCCUCUCACAUUGUUUCUGUGUUGUACAGCUCAUUUGGCAAAAAUGGAAAGAGCAACCCCUUCAAUGUUAUUUAGUCACUUUGUUAUUGUGUUGAUCCUACUUCUACCAGAUACAUCAGUGUCUGAACCAAGAUCCCAGAUAGUCCAGCUCAUAUGUGGAAACGAAACAACAGGUACCGUCUCAAUUUUUGUUAAUGGAAUGGAAACUAUAAGUGAACAAAUGAGAACUAGAGGAAAUGGAGUAGCGGCUACAGGCACUGAACCAAAUGUUAGCUAUGGACUUGGCCAAUGCUAUGGUGAUCUUUCAUUACCGGACUGUGUCUUAUGCUUCUCUGAAGUGCGAACCCUUUUUCCCAAGUGCUUCCCUAGUGGCAAGUCGCGAAUUUAUCUUGAUGGCUGCUUUAUGCGAGUGGACAAUUACAAUUUCUAUGACCAGUAUUUUGGUCCAGAGGAUAGGCAUGUAUGCGGAAACAGGACGACAAAGGGUUCAUUGUUCCAGCAAAAUGCAAGGCGAGCCAUUCAGCAAGCAGUUGCAAAUGCACCGAGUAACAAUGGUUACGCGCGUGCUCAAGUGUCAGUGCCCGGGUCUUCCACCAUGACAGCUUAUGUUCUCGCUGAUUGCUGGAAGAAGCUAAGUGCAAACUCCUGCGCAGCGUGUUUGCAAAAUGCAUCUGCAUCCAUGUUGGGAUGCUUGCCUUGGUCAGAAGGUAGAGCCCUUUACACUGGAUGUUUCAUGAGGUAUUCUGAUACAAAUUUUCUCAAUACUAUUUCUACCAGUGGAGGCUCGUCAUCCAGUGGUACGUUUUUCUCUUUUUUCGUCCUGGUUUACUGGUUAUUUAUAAACUAAUUUUUACUUUCAAAUCACCAUAUUGCAGGAAAAGUUGUAGUCAUUGUCGUUGUUGUUGUUAGUUCCGUUGUCGUUUUGGGAGUAGUUGCAUUCAUUGGUUUUGGUGUCUGGAAGAACAAACAAAUCCAGAAGAAGAGAGAAGGUAAAUACUUUUGUGCCAAAAAUUAGUUAUAAAAGUCAUUAAGAUAUCAAUAUAUUGCUGAGUAUAUAUCUUGCGAUUUGCACACAACUGUUCCGAAGACAACUUUCAAGAAUUAACUUGAGGCGUUAUGACCUACUCGUGCUUUUCCUGGGAAAUUUGAACUUGUUAGGUGCAAAUGAUGUUGAGAAAUUAGUGAAGAUCCUUGAUCAAAACAGCUUGAACUUCAAGUAUUCGACACUUGACAAAGCCACGGGUUCAUUUGAUGAGGCCAACAAGCUCGGGCAAGGUGGAUUUGGCACAGUUUAUAAGGUAUACAAUGGCUGAAUGUAGUGUGAUUAUCUUAACAGCAAUGCAAUACCAGAAGUGUUGGCUAUUUAACAGAGUCUGAGGUGCAUUUUGUUGCAGGGUGUUUUGGCUGACGGGAGAGAGAUCGCGGUCAAAAGGCUGUUCUUCAACAACAAACACACAGCUGCAGAUUUUUAUAACGAGGUUAACAUAAUCAGUAGCGUCCAGCACAAAAAAUUUGACAAGGUUAUUGGGAUGCAGCUGCUCAGGAACGGAAAACCUUCUUGUAUACGAGUUACUCCCUAACAAGAGUCUUGAUCGCUUCAUAUUUGGUAAGUAACCAGACUUUGCAACAACAACUACGCCUCAGUCCCACACAAGUUAAGGUCAGCUAUAUAAACCCUCACUAUGUUAUUUAAGCUAAACUCAUGUCAUCAUUGCACCAACUAAAAAGAAAAGUACAAAUAAGGUAACCGACUUUCAUUAAGACUAAGUGGUGUGUUUUCACAUAAGCACGCCCGAAUGAUUUUGUCACGUAUAUUGAUUCUAACCUUCAAAUUUGACAGACGCUAUCAAAGGUAAAGCUCUAAAUUGGGAGAAAAGAUUUGAGAUAAUUAUAGGGACAGCAGAAGGAUUGGUCUACCUACACGAGAACACUAAGACCCGAAUAAUUCAUAGAGACAUAAAAGCAAGCAACAUCCUGUUGGACUCGAGGCUCCGUGCAAAGAUUGCUGAUUUGGUUGGCCAGAUCAUUCCAAGAAGACAAGAGUCACAUAAGCACUGUCAUUGCUGGCACAUUGUUAGUAUUUCUUCGUCUCAUUGUUUAUUUUUUUCGCGUAAAAGUACACAAAAACAAAUAAUGGAUGAUUUACCCUUUUUAUGCAGAGGAUAUAUGGCUCCAGAAUACUUAGCACGCGGUCAGCUAACAGAAAAAGCAGACGUUUACAGCUUUGGAGUUCUUCUACUAGAGAUUGCUACUGGAAGACAAAAUAACAAGAGAAAGAACACCGAAUAUACAGUCAGCUUAGUUUCCGAAGUAAUUUCUGAUCAAUCACUUCUCUCUUGAACCAAAUUUUAAAUCUAGGAAAACAUUUCUGUUCAUUGAUCUUAACUUUAUUGGAUGAAAUUAACAGGUGUGGGAGCACUUUCAACGCGGGAUAGUGGAGGAACUGUUCGAUCCAAAUCCAAUGUUGCAUAACUGCCAUACAAUCAAUGUACAAAAUGAGGUUGCGAGAGUGUUACAUGUGGGACUUUUGUGCACUCAAGAGAUCCCAACAUUACGUCCAUUCAUGUCUAAGGCAUUAAAAAUGCUCGUGAAGAAAGACGAAGAGUUGCCUCCUCCUACUAAUCCGCCAUUCGUGGAUGAGAAAACCAUGAAACUUCACGACCCUUGGGAGAAGAACUUGCUCAAACAAGGUGAUUCUGCUUCGAUUGCCAAGUUAUCUCACAGUUCUUUUUACCCCAGAUGAUGAUAUCUCAGUGCUCCUGAACUGAAAGUGAUGUAAAAAUUAUAGUUAUCUCAAGCUGUCAAGCAUAUUCUUUCGCCUCGUGUUCUUGAAGGAAACUUCAUCGUGAUCGAUCGAGCAGUUUGUUACAACAACUAUGUUUCUAUCUCAAACAAGUUGAGGUCAGCUAUAUGAAUUCUCAGUAUUCCAUUUAAGCGGUUAGUUGUAAGUUCAAAACUUCAGAAUACAUUUUUCAAUUUUUUCAUGUAUUAUUUGUCAAUUUGGAAAAUAUUUUAUCUAGGAAAACAAGUUCUUUAAAAAGGAGGAAAAAAUGAUUUUCCUAAUGAAAGUUGAGAAAACGAGUUUCGCAAGUGACAUCCCAACUAUGUUGACUUCCACAUGUCUUUUUUUUGUUGCUUUUAUUGUUUCCACUUCUUUGUUGCAUAAGUGCAAGGGCAGAGGUAGGUAGGGUCAUAAGUGUUCAUCUGAAUCCCCUUCGAUGGAAAAUUAUACAUCCUCCGUUUAGAAAAGAAUGACCUCGUUUCACUUGACACGGAGUUUAAAAAAUAAAGAAGACUUCUCAAUCUUGUGAUUUUAAAUUAAAGUUAUGUCAAAUAUAUCAAAAUGUCCCUUAAUCUUGUGGACAUAAACAUGUCACGUGAAAAUUGAAAUUAAAGUGUUACCAAAAAAGGAAAGGGGUCGUUCUUUUUCAAACCGACUUGAUAGGAAAACAAUUGAAAUGGAGGGAGUACUAUUUAUACAUGUUUAAAUUUUUAUUUGUUUAAGGUAUAUACGGUAGAUGGUGAACAUUGUAUUUCCAUCCCUAGUCACUUUAUCAAAAUAUGUAUUCAACAUAUUAAUUUCAUUUUAAAAUUUCAUGUCAAAUCAAAAUCAUAUCACGCAAAUUGAAAGAGGAGAAGUAUCUUUUUUCUUCUCCUCUUCUUUAUUAUUCUGGAUUGGGCAGUAAGUAAAGUAAUUACAAAAAAGGCCCCACAAAUAUCUAUUAAAGUCUUCUAUUGUACUGUUUUAAGUUCGUUUGAAAAAUUCAAACAACAAUGUCUUUCCUCUUGUUGACUUCUCUCAACAAAAAAAUAAAAUAAAAUUACUUCCUCCGUAUUAAUUUGUUCGUCUAGUUUUGAUUUGACAUUAAAUUUAAAUUAUUAUUUUGAAUAUUAUGAUAUCAAUUACUGUUUAAUCUUAUGGUCUUAAACAUGUCAUAUAGUAUGUUAGAAAUAAAGAGUUGUCGGAGUAAAAUGGAAAGUAGUACAAACAAAUUGAAACGAAGAGAUUAUAAAAUAAUGGGAGUUGCCCCAAAAUCAUCUUAUACUCUUUCAUCCUUAGCUAAAAAUUCCAGAUUCGAGCCUGUUUAUUUUAUCCCAAUAUAAAAAAUUUCAACACGAAUCCUAAUUUAGUCGGCUUCAAUACGGAUAUCAUCAUACUUGACACCAGAUUAGGAAACCAAAAAUAGUAUAAAAGGACUUCUCUCACAAAGCGACCCAUUAAUUCAAAGCCACUUUGAUUCAUUUUUCAUCAAUAAAACAAAUUUUCUUCUCUUUUCUCUCUAUUUCUUCAUCACUCUGUUUCGACAACUUUGACAGUAGCUGAUCAGUUUUCACCAGCGAUCUCUCUGUGCCGACUCGAAAAUCCGGCGAAUUCAGACUGUUUAGUGAUCAGAAGGAGUUUUGUGAGUGUUUUUUUUUCCCUUUUUCACUAAUUAUUAAGUUAUUUGAUCAAAUUUCUAAAAUCAGCUUAUAUUGAAAAGUGUUUUUCAAAAUAAAAAUAAAAAUUGGUGAUUAACAGUUAGAGUUCAGCCAAUAAACUUAUAAAAAUAACUUGAGCAGCAAUUAUAACUUAUGGCCCCAUAUGUUUUUACUAAUAUUCAGACGUCCAAAUUUGAACACACAUCUCAAUUUUAUUGUAUUAAUCUUAAGAUAUCUGAAUACGAAUAUAUAUAUCUAUAUAUAUGAAUAUAAAAUUGUUGUAUUGAGAUCUGAAUAUUAAAUAAUUAAGAUUGUUCGUUUUUUCAAUAUCUGAAUGUACAAAAUUUGUCCUUAAUUAUAAACUAAUAAAUAAAAAAUUCAAAUAAAAUACUGAGUAAUCUAAUACAGUAUCAUCAAAUUAUUUUAGAAAUUUAAUCUGAUUGUUGGUGGUGAUGGAUGGUUGAUAGUGAUGAUUGUGAGUGCCAAAUGAUGAUUGUGGUUGGUGAUGAUUGAUGUUGGUUGAUGUCAGUUGUUGUGGGUAGAGGCUAGUGAUAAUGGUGGCUAAAAGUUAGGGGCAGAGCUAACAUUCCGAUUAUGCGUUUGGCAGAACAUAGAAGGUUUUUACAUAGAUCCCAUAUUUGUGUUAAAAAAUUACUUAAUAUGUAUAAAUAACUUAUCAAGAACGCAGUAACUUUCUUGUUGUGGAAUCUAAAAUUCGUAAACUCAAAAUUCUAACUCUGUCUCUGCUGAUAGUAGUGGCUAAUAAUGGUUGUAGAUGGUGGCCGGUGGAUGAGAAUAAUAGUUAAUGGUGAUGAUGAGUGAUCACAAUGAUUGAUGAUAUAUAGUGGAGACUGUCGGUAGUGAUUGGUGGUGAUGAUCGUAAAUGAUGACUAGUGGUGAUUGGUGACGACGUCAGUUGUGGUUAUGGAUGGUGCUCAAUAGUACUCACAUUGUUUUCUAUGUUGUACUUGUACAGCACGCGCCCAUCUAGCAAAAUGGAAGGAGCAACUCCUUUAGUGUUAUGUAGUCACUUUGUUGUCAUGUUGAUCCUACUUGUACCAGAUACAUCAGUGGCUGAACCAAGAUCCCAGAUAAUCCAGCUCAUAUGUGGAAACAAAUCGACGGUUUCCGUCCCAAAUUUUGUUGGUACAAUGGAAACGUUAAGUGAACAAGUGAGAGCUAGAGGAUAUGGAGUAACCGUUACUGGCACUGGACCAGAUGCUACUUAUGGAAUUAGCCAAUGCUAUGGUGAUCUUUCAUUAAUUGACUGUGUCUUAUGCUUCUCUGAAGCGCGAACCCUUUUUCCCCAGUGCUUCCCUUAUAACGGAGCGCGAAUCUAUCUUGAUGGCUGCUUUAUGCGAGCGGAGAAUUACAGCUUCUAUGAUCAGUAUUUAGGUCCAGAGGACAGGCGAGUAUGCGGAAACAGGACGACAAAGGGUUCAUUGUUCCAACAGAAUGCUAGGGCAGCUGUUCAGCAAGCAGUUGGAAAUGCACCGAGUAAUAAUGGCUAUGCGCGUUCCCAAGUGUCAUUUCCCAGGGAUUCCAAUGAUGCAGCUUAUGUUCUCGCUGAUUGCUGGAAGACUCUGAGUGCGAAUUCCUGUGCAGCGUGUUUAUGAAAUGCAUCUGCAUCCAUGUUGGGAUGCUUGCCUUGGUCAGAAGGUAGAGCUCUGUACACUGGAUGCUUCAUGAGGUAUUCUGAUACCAAUUUUCUAAAUGCUAUUUCUACCAACGGAAGCUCGUCAUCAAGGGGUACUUUUUGUUCUUUUUUCGUCCAGGUUUACCUGUUAUUUAUCGACUGAACACGUAAAUUUUACUUGCAAAUCACCAUAUUGCAGGAAAAGUUGUAGUCACUAUCAUUGUUGUUAGUUCCGUUGUCGUUUUGGGAGUAGGUGCUUUCAUUGGUAUUGGUGUCUGGAAGAAUAAACUAAUCCAGAAGAAGAGAAAAGGUAAAUACUUUUGUGCCAAAUAUCAAUGAUGUACAUAUAUUGCAGCUUUAUUCGAAAACUUAGAAUAAAAAAAAUUGAACUUGUUAGGUGCAAAUGAUGCCGAGAAAUUAGUGAAGAUACUUCAUGACAUCAGCUUGAACUUCAAGUAUUCGACGCUUGACAAAGCCACGGGGUCAUUUGAUGAGGCCAACAAGCUCGGGCAAGGUGGAUUUGGCACGGUUUAUAAAGUAUGUAAUAGCUGAAUGUAGUACAAUUCAAUAUAAUACUUGAAGUAUUGGAAAUUAAACCGAGUCUGAGGCGUGAUUUGUUGCAGGGUGUUUUGGCAGAUGGGAGAGAGAUCGCCAUCAAAAGGCUGUUCUUCAACAACAAACACAGAGUUGCAGAUUUUUAUAACGAGGUUAACAUAGUCAGCAGCAUUGAGCACAAAAAUUUGAUAAGGUUAUUGGGAUGCAGCUGCUCAGGACCGGAAAGCCUUCUUGUAUACGAGUUCCUCCCUAACCAGAGUCUGGAUCGCUUCAUAUUUGGUAAGUAAGGGUCAUCCUCACUAUUUUAUUUACGCUAAACUCAUGUUAUCAUCACAGAAACUAAAACUAAAAGUGAAAAUAAGUAACCACCAUCGUGCUAAGACUAAACGUCAUGUUUUCACAUAACCAUGCCAGAGUGAUUCUAACUUUAAAAUUUGACAGACCCUAUAAAAGGUAAAGCUCUAAAAUGGGAGAAAAGAUUUGAGAUAAUUAUAGGUACAGCAGAAGGAUUAGUAUACCUACACGAGAACACAAAGACACGAAUAAUACACAGAGACAUAAAGGCAAGCAACAUCCUGUUGGACUCAAGGCUCCGUGCAAAGAUUGCUGAUUUUGGAUUGGCCAGGUCAUUCCAAGAAGACAAGAGUCACAUAAGCACUGUCCUUGCUGGCACAUUGUCAGUAUUUCUUCGUCUCGUCUUCUAUUUUUUCGCGUAAAAGUACACAAAAAAUGCAAAGACUAAUAUGGUUCAAUAAUGCAGGGGAUAUAUGGCUCCAGAAUACUUGGCACAUGGUCAAUUAACAGAAAAAGCAGAUGUUUACAGCUUUGGAGUUCUUCUACUAGAGAUUGUUACUGGAAGACAAAAUAACAAGAGAAAAAAAGACGAAGAUACAGUCAGCAUAGUUUCCGAUGUAAUUUCUGAUCAUUUCUCUCUUGAACCAAAUUUUAAAUCUAGGAAAACAUUUCUGUUCAUUGGCCUUAACUUUAUUGGAUGAAAUUCACAGGUGUGGGAGCACUUUGAACGCGGGAUAGUGGAGGAGCUGUUCGAUCUGAAUCUCAUGUUGCAUAACUGCCAUACAAUCAAUGUACAAAAUGAGGUUGCGAGAGUGUUACAUGUGGGACUUUUGUGCACUCAAGCGAUCCCAACGUUACGUCCAUUCAUGUCUAAGGCAUUAAAAAUGCUCGUCAAGAAUGACGAAGAGUUGCCUCCUCCUACUAAGCCACCAUUUGUGGAUGAGAAAACCAUGGAACUUCAUGACCCUUGGGAGGAUUACUCACUUAAACAAGGCAGUUCUUCUUCAAUUGCCAACUUAUCUCACAGUUCUUUUUACCCCAGAUGAUGAUAUCUCAGUCCCCUGAAAUUGAAACAUAGAUUAUUGGCAUAUACAUAGACACAGUCUAGUCCCCUUUGGUUGCAAGGGUGUUCUAUGUGAGUUCGUGAAGUUUGUCGUGUACAAGAUAUGUGAAGUGUAGUUCCUAAGUCUAUAUACACUUAAACUUGUAUAAAGUUGAAUAAGUAGACACGUGAGUUCUAUAUGACAUAAUUAAUGCACGUAGGACACAAGCGUAGGACGUGUGUGUCUAUUUGUUCAACUUUAUACAAGUUUAAGUAUCUACUUGUGCACACCAAAAGUUGGAGGACAUAAAUGUGAAAUGACGCCAAGUUAAAUGACAUAUUUAUAUAUUGUGCCCUACCUUUGAUGGGUUCUUAUAUGGUUUCUUUGAACUAGUCAUUUGAGGUCUUGGACAGAGAUGACAACUUUGAGUAUGCACAUUUAAACGCUUCAACUCGUCUCCACUGUGUCAGUUGAGUCGUAACAUUAUUGGUUGACUUAAGCCUUGUAAUUUAUCAUGGUUAAGUAAUAAUAAGGUCAAAAUUCACAUUUGUAUUUAGUUUUUAUUUUAAAUCAAUAUAUUUUAUCCUGAAUAAGUAAUAACAUGUCAAAGAUCACAAAUUCUAAAUUCUUUUUCAUUCUUAAACCCGUAUCAAAUCAAACUAUGUCACAUAGAUUUAAACAGGGGAGUAUCUUUUGUCUUCUCCUUUUUUUUUUUGGCAGUAAUGGGAAUUUUCAUAUAUAAAUCCAAUAAUCAAAUAGGCAGUAACUGUUACUCUUUGAAAAAUUCAAACAAAUGAUCUUUUCAACAAAUUAUUUCCUCUUGUUGACUUCUCUCUCACAAAGAAAAACCAAUAAAAAUUGCGGUGGAGGGGUAACUACUUCAUCUAUAAUUAAUCAGAAGGUUUGGGUUCGAGCAUUCUUGGGUAUAUAAUUGUCUUUGUUAGAAAACGUAUUACCCCUAAUGAGGAACUACUUCCCGAUAUCAAUUCAAAUUCAAUCUGCUUCAAUAUGAAUACCGGAUACUCGACUGAAAAAACAAAAAACAAAAGUGAAAGAAAAAAAGACUUCUAUUACAAAACUGCUCUUACCAUUUCCUGUUUGACCCAUUAAUUAAAAAAUUCCCUUUUGUCUCUUUUAUUCAACAUUUUUCUUCCCAUUAUCUAUCAGCCUCAUCUCUUCUGUUGACUUCUCUCACAAAAAAAUAAAUAAAUAGUCGCGGUGGAGUGGUAAGUACUCUUUCGUCUUUAAUCAGAAUUUUCGAGUUCGAGUGUAGUUAGGAAAAAAGUUGUCUUUAUUAAGCUUUAUCUCAGAUACAUCAGUGGCUGAAUCAAUAUCUCAGAUAGUCCAGAUCAUAUGUGGAAAUGAAACGGGGGCUUCCGUCACAAAAUUAUAUGGAUACAACGAAAAACAUAAGUCAACAAAUGAGAACUAGAGGAUAUGGAGUAGCAGUUACCGGCACUGGACUAGAUACUAACUAUGCACUUGCCCAAUGCUAUAGUAAUCUUUCUUUAGUCGACUGCGUCUUAUGCUUCUCUGCAGCGGAAACUCUCCUGCCCCAAUGCUACCCUUAUAACGGACGAAGAAUUUAUCUUGAUGGAUGCUUUUUUCGAGUGGACAAUUACAUGUUCUAUGACCAGUAUUUAGGUCCAGAAGACAGGCAUGUAUGCGGAAACAGGACGACAAAGGGUACAUUGUUCCAACAGAAUGCUAGGCGAGCCGUGCAGCAAGCAGUUGCAAAUGCACCGAGUAAUGAUGGUUAUGCACGUGCCGAAGUGUCAGUACCCAGUCCUUCCAACGAGACAGCUUAUGUUCUCGCUGAUUGUUGGAAGACACUAAGCGCGAAUUCCUGUGCAGCGUGUUUGCAAAAUGCAUCUGCAUCUAUGUUGGGAUGCUUACCUUGGUCAGAAGGUAGAGCCCUUUACACUGGAUGCUUCAUGAGGUAUUCUGAUACAAAUUUUCUCAAUGAUACUUCUACCAGUGGAGGCUCGUCAUCAAGGGGUACGUUUUGCUCUUUUUUCGUCCUGGUUUACCGGUUAUUUAUGAACUAAUUUUUACUUUCAAAUCACCAUAAUGCAGGAAAAGUUGUAGUCAUUGUCAUAGUUGUUGUAAUUAGUUCCGUUGUCGUUUUGGGAGCAGCUGCUUUCGUUGGUUUUGGUGUUUGGGAGAACAAACAAAUCCAGAAGAAGAGAAAAGGUAAAUGCUUUUGUGCCAAAAAUAUCAAUGAUGUACAUAUUGUUGAGUAUAUAUCUUGCGAUUUGCACUCAACUGUACCGAGACAACUUUCAAGAAUUAACUUGAGGCGUUGUGGCCUACUCAUGUUUUUCCUCGGAAAUUUGAACUUGUUAGGUGCAAAUGAUGUUGAGAAAUUGGUGAAGAUCCUUCAUCAAAACAGCUUAAACUUCAAGUAUUCGACACUUGACUAUCCUUGAAAAAAUUGCCAACACGCGCUAGUCCCACAAGAUAGUGCCACGUAGGCCAAAAAGGGGUUGAAAAUUAUAUAUAAAAUAAGUUCAGGGGGGUAAUAGGACCUUAGUAAAGGUUAGGUGUGUCUCUGGGAUUUCGGGCAUAGGCUGGGAGGUACUUAUGCAUUUUCCCUUAAAAGAAUGAACUAAUAACUUAAAUGUUAAAUUAUUAUAAUACCCCCAACUUAAAACACCAAAUGUAGUAUAUCUUCUAUAUUUUAUAUUGUAUUAUAUUUAUUUAUGUGUAUUAUAUUAUAUAUUAUAUUAAAGUUAGACAACUUUUCACAUUGAAGGGUUGUGAUAUUUUCGAAGAGUUAUAAAUUUUCCGAUGAGUUGUGACUUUUUUGAAGGGUUGUGACUUUUCUAUAGGGUUGCGACUUUUCCGAAGAGUUGUGACUUUUCUGAAGGGUUGCGACUCCGAAGAGUUGUAACAUUUCCGAAGGGUUGCGACUUUUCCGAAGAUUUAUGACUUUUCCGAUGAAUUUUGACUUUUCUGAAGGGUUGUGACUUUUCUAAAGGUUUGUGACUUCUUUUUGAUAAGGCACCACGAGCAAUUUUUCAUACACUACCCUCUGUUGGCCAUAAAAAAAAAGGGGCUUCAUCACUUCUAUAUUUUUAUGAUAAGAAACAAUAUGCACAUACUAAUACCACACAUGUUUAACUAUAAAUGGACAGGUUUCCUCACAUUUUUAAACUACGGUUUUUUAUGUUUUCUAUUCUUCUCUUCUUAAAACCUCAAGUUUGAUUUAUAAACGUUGACAAUCUCAAAGUUCAGUGAAACUAGAACACUCCAUAACAUGAAUGUUAAAUUAAUCUAAUACUCCAGCUAAAACAUCCAAUUUAGUAUAUCUUCUAUAUUUGAUAUCAAUAUUUAUUUAUAUUUUAUUAUAUUAAAAGUAAGAACACCUACAAAACAAUAAUAACAAAGUAAUGCACUAUGGGGAAGGGAGUAGAAAGUUUAUUUAAGAUGUGUAACUAAGAGGUUUUAAGAGUGACUAAUUUUUUAUUUAGCAAUAUUCAUAUUAUUUUUUUAAAAUAGUGUGGUACAUGGUUUGAUUUUCACAUGCAACGCACGUGUGUCAAAACUAGUAAUUAUAAUGAUAGAGGAGGUAGGUGUAGUAUCAGCUGCUAGUAGUGAUUAGCAACGAUGAUGAUUGUGAUUGUAGAGGUGGUUAGUGAUGGUGGUUGGUGAUUGUGGAUAUAUAGAAUGAAAAGUAUCUCGUUUGAUCCGUUUCUCAAAAAGCUUUGUAACAAUUUUCUAAAAAGAUUUGCAAUCAAGCAAGCAAUUUGUAAAUAAAUUUAAAAAGUCUUACAACAACUUCCUAAAAUGCCUUACUCUUUUUUUCCUUCAUAAAUAGAAAGUUACAUCAAUUUCUAGUAAGGACGCAUGAGAAGCCUUUAUAGUACCACAAAUUUUAUAUCUAUUUUAAGACAAACUUCAAAAAAAUUGCAUCCACACAAAGAAUUAUCACAUGUCAAAGAUCACAAAAAUAUAUAUUUUCUUGUUAAUUUUAUAUCAAAUCAAAUUUGUCACAUAAAUUAGAACUGAAGAAUAUAUUUUCUGUUCUCCUUUUUUCUUCUCCUUUGGCAGUGAAAAUACAGUAGAAAAAGACCCUUGUCGACUCGUCUUUAUUUUGAAAUUUCAAACAAAUAAUCCUUCCAACAAAUUUUUCAACAAAUUUUCCUCAGGUUCACACUUCACACACACACAAAAAAAAAAAAAUGGUAGAAUAAUAAAUAUUUUUUAUUUUUAAUUAGAAAUUUUGAAUUCGAACUCUUUCUUAGAAAAUAUUUUUUUCCCCAAUAUAAUUUUCUUCAGCAUGAGUUUAAAGUUAGUCCACUCCAAUAUAGAUAUCGGACUGAAUUACUUUCUUUCCGCGAUAUAAUUUUUUUUUCAACAUGGUUCAAAUUUAGGUCACUCCAAUAUAAAUAUCGGACGUCAACUCGGAAAACCAACAAAAGUUGGAAGUAGAAAAGUCUUCCCUCACAAAACAACCCAUUAAUCAAAUAUGAAAUUGCCCUUCAUUUUUCCUAUUUUCUCUCUGUUUCUACAACUUUGACAGCAGCUGAUCAGUUUGCACCGCCGAUCUCUUUUCUCGACUCAAAUCCGGCGAGUUCAGAGCUCAUAAAAACUUAGUGAGUAUUCUUUUCUUCUUUCUAUUUUCACUGAGAUUCGAUGGUUGUGGGGGCGGUAAGUAAUGAUUCGUCCUUAAUAAGAGGUAUCGAGUUCGAGCUUUAGAAAUGAAGUUCUCAGUGAGCUCUUUAAUUAUGUGAAAUGAAUAAAAAUGUCGUCCCCUAAUAAUUUGAUCCAAAAAUACUCUUAUGGUUACUUAAUGAGUUAAAAAUGUGCUUGCUUUUAUUUUGCAUUACAAUUAUCUAUCAUUCACUUAAUAAAAUAGCCUGUGGGGCUUGAUUUAAAAAAAAAAAAGAGUCCCUUUUCAAAUAAUUUUUUUUUCUUUUUAAAUACAUUUUUUCGUAAUGAUGAGUUUUUAAUUAGAAAACAUUCAUCCUACUUAAUUUGAAAAAAAAUUAAGAAUAAAAUAUUUUCUAUUUUACUAGAUUUUUUUUUAUGGUUAUCUCAAUAAAAGUGAUGACAAGGUUACUAUGAGAGAAUACAAUAAUUAUUAUGAAGGAAUACUGAUAAAAAGAUUACUUUUAAAGAAGACUAGAUUAUAGGUUUAGCAAACAUAAAAAUCAUAUUAGCACUUUAUAGCUAUAAUUUUGUUAAUUGCAUUGCUAUGGAGCAUCAGAUUUGUAUAAACUCGCAGGCAGCAUCUGAUUGUAUAAAAUCGCAGGCAUCUGAUUUGUAUAAAUCACAACGAUUUGUAUAAAUCGGGUGUCUGUGUCGAUGAAAACUGUGUUUGUAUAUGUAUAUGUUCUUUGUGUUUGUAUAUCUACAUAAAAUUUGAAUUUGUAUACAAUUGAAUCGAGUUAAAACAAUUGUAUUUGUAUAUCAAACCUCUCUCUCGCUUUAUACAAACACAAACCAUAUGUUGUAUUUUGUAUAAUUUGUGUUUGUAUAAAGUGAGAAAGAGAGAAAGACAAAAGAGAAUUGGACAUGAGAAGAUUUGUAUUUGUACAAUUAUAAUUGUUUAAGACGAAAAGAUAUGUAUUUGUAUAUACAGUUCACUCUCGCUUUAUACAAACACAAACACAAUUUAUACAUUUAUAUUUAUAUAAAGUGAGAGAGGCGAUGGAGAGUGGCAAGCGAAAUUCAGGAGAGUGGCGAGCGAGAUUCAGGGGAGAGAGGCGAAUGACAAAGUAUUUGCUACGAAUUAGAAUUAAAUGAAACUGUGGUUAUAACAUUUAUUUUGAAUUAAUAAUUUGCUAUUUCAUACAAUUUUCUCUUUAAAGAAACUUUAUUCUUAUUUUUCUUCUUUUAAAAUCACUUUAACUAAUAAAUAAGUAGGAAAUAAUAUUUUUCUUUUCUUAAUCUCAUUUUAACAAUUAAAAUAGAAUAACUACAUGUAUCAUUUUAAUUGAUAAUAUGGGUCAUAUAUAUAAGAUCAUAAUAAGUGGGUCACUAAUUUUCAUAAGCUAACUAUAAAAAAUUUCUACUAAAAUAAAAAAAUAUAUUUUUAGUUCUUAAUUUUUUUUAUAAAUUGAAGUAGAAUAAACAUUUUCUUAUUAAAAAGAUCAUCGUUAGGAAAAGAAUGUGUUUAAAAAAAAAAAAACUAAAAUAUUUAUUUGGAAAAGAGCAUUUUUGACUCAUUAAGUAACAAUAAGGACAUUUUGGGACCAAACUAUCAGGUGAGGAUAUUUUUGUUCAUUUACAUAGUUUAAGGGCAUUUUUUAUCCUUUUCUAUACAUAAAAUAAAAUUCUAUCCCUAUAUAUAUAUAGUGUAAUUUCUCGACAAAAAGGGGUCGAUACCCUAGCUCCGUCUGUUACCACUAAGGAUGUAGGGGAAUUCCUUAGUAUUGGUCUCAAGUCCUGCGAAAGCUCUCGUAGAAAGCACUUCCCUUUCAGGGAUGUCAGGAUCUGAAGUUAAUUAUGAAUUUUGAACUUUCCACAAAAUUCAUAGCUCGUUUUAAUUAUUGGAUUUCCUCCACCUUCAGUUAGAGAUUUCAAAUUCAAGUUCUGAAAAUGAAGAAGGCCCAGAUAGAGACGCUUUCCUUCAAAGACGAAAUCAGUAUUUGAAGUUUAUGGAUUCUACGACUAACGUGUAAAUUAAGUUGAUAAAAAAAAAAUCUAUUAGCAAUUAUCACUUUUGACUUUCUGCAACAUGCAUGUUAUAAUUGCCUAAAUGCAAUUCCUUGGACCAUCAGAAUGGAAUAAUAUUUAGAGCCCAUUUGGAUUGAUAUAAAAAGAGCAAUUUUCACAUAUAACAAACAUAAAAAUCAUAAAAAUAAGUUGUUUUUAAGUCAAAAAAAUAAAAAGUCAAAUAAUAAAAAGUAGGGGAAGACCUACUUUUGAUUUUUAACCUUUUUAAAGUCAUUUAAAACUUAUUUUAAGUUAUUUUUAACAUUAUCAAACACUUUCAAAAACUAAAAAUUACUUAAAAUAGGUUUGACCAACUUUUAAUUCAAUCCAAACAGGCUCUUACUUCCUAUUUUUCAUAAUUUAUGUAUUUUAAUUUUUAUUUAGCAUAAAAUUUAAUAAUGCAAGAUUAUUUCUUACAAAAUAUAGUAAUCAUAAAUUAAAGAUUUGUAUAAUGUGCUAAAAUAUCUCUUGAACUGGUGGUUUAGGGGGAAAGACUGAUAGUUAAUUAAUUUCAGGGAUCCUUAACAGUGUCAGUUGAUAGUGGUAGUUGGUGGUGGCUUCUGAUAAUUGUGGUUGAUGUAAUAAUAGCUAAUGAUGGUGGUGACUGACACCGGUGAUUGGCGAUAUAUAGCAGUGAUUGAUGGUGGUGAUUUUUUGUAGUGACUAGUGUCUAUUAUGGAUGGUUGGUAGUGCUUGAUGGUUAUUGUGACAAAAUUGGUAGUGAUGAUUGUAACUAGGGGCUAGUGGAGGUUCAUCUGAACCCCUUCGGCAGAAAAUUAUAUUAUUUAUACAUGGUUAAAAUAAUUUUUUAUGUAUAUAUAGUAGAUCUCGAACCUCCUUCAGCUACUUCGUGUGUCUAUUUCUACAGACUUUGAAUUUCCUUAUUGAAAAUCCUGGCUCCGCCACUGAGUUGAGGGUGUCGACCGAAUAGUGAUGAUUUGUGGCUAGGUGGUUGUGGUUGAGGGUGGUGGAUGAUGGGUGAGGUAAUUAAUAACGGUGGGUAGCGGCGAUUAGCGGUGAAAUUGGAUGGAGUAGUAGUGAAAUAUCAUCUUUAUGAGCAUUUAGUCAUUUGAUCUUACUUAUUUUUGUCAUUUUAAUGUUACAUCAAUUAGUCCUCUCACAUUGUUUUCUCUGUUGUACAGUUCAUUUGGCAAAAUGGAGAUACCAGCCCCUUCAAUUUUAUGUACUCUCUUUGUUAUUAUGUUGAUCCUACUUCUACUAGAUACAUCAGUGUGUGAACCAAGAGCGCAGACCGUCCAGAUCAUAUGUUGUACUCAUGAACUCGAGCAUAAUACGACGAUCUAUGUCCGAAACUUUGUUGCAGUUAUGGAAACUAUAAGCCGACAACUGAGAAAUACAGGAUAUGGAGUUACAGUUUCUGGCACUGGACCAUAUACUAGCUAUGGACUUGCCCAAUGCUAUGGUGAUCUUUCUUUACUCGACUGCAUGUUAUGCUAUGCUAAAGCGCGAACGACUCUGCCCUCGUGCUUGCCUUAUAACGUAGGGCGAAUUUAUCUUGAUGGAUGCUUUAUACGAGCGGAGAAUUACACGUUCUAUGAUCAGUAUUUAGGUCCAGAGGACAGACAUGUAUGUGGAAACAGGACGACAAAGGGUACAUUGUUCCAACAGAACGCUAGGCAAGCCGUUCAGCAAGCAGUUGUAGAUGCACCGACUAAUAAUGGCUAUGCACGUGCUCAAGUGUCAGUGCCAGGUCCUUCCAAUGAGACAGCUUAUGUUCUCGCUGAUUGCUGGAAGACGCUGAACAUAAAAUCCUGCGCAGCAUGUUUGCAAAAUGCAUCUGCAUCCAUGUUGGGAUGCUUACCUUGGUCAGAAGGUAGAGCCCUUUACACCGGAUGCUUCAUGAGGUAUUCUGAUACAAAUUUUCUCAAUGCUAUUUCUACCAGUGGGGGCUCGUCAUCAAGGGGUACUUUUUUUCGCCCUGGUUUGCCUGUUAUUUAUCGACUGAACAUAUGAUUUUGCUGAUAAAUGAUCUUUUUUUAAAAAAAAAAACUUUCAGAUCACCCCAUUGCAGGAAAAGUUGUAGUCAUUGUUGUUGUUAGUUCCGUUGUCAUUUUGGGAGUAGCUGCUUUCAUUGGUUUUGGUGUCUGGAAGAACAAACAAAUCCAGAAGAAGAGAAAAGGUAACUACGUUUGUGCCAAAAAUUAGCUAUGAAAGUCAUUAGGAUAUCAAGGGAAAAUGCAUAAGUAAUCCCAGCCUAUGCCCGAAAUCCCUGAGACACACCUAACCUAUACCUAAGGUCUAUUACCCCCGAACUUAUUUUAUAUAUAUUUUUCUACCCCUUUUCGGCCUACGUGGCACUAAUUUUGAAAAAAAUUGUCAACACGCGCUGGGCCCACAAGAUAGUGCCACGUAGGCCGAAAAGGGGUAGAAAAAUAUAUAUAAAUAAGUUCGGGGGGUAAUAGACCUUAGUAUAGGUUAGGUGUGUCUCAGAGAUUUGGGGCAUAGGCUGGGGGGGUACUUAUGCAUUUUCCCGGAUAACAAUGAUGUACAUAUAUUGUAUCUUUAUUUGCUGACCAUAUAUCUUGUGAUUUACCCACAAUAUACCGAAGACUACUUUCAGUGUUAUGGCCUACUCAUGCUUUUCCUGGGAAAUUUGAACUUGUUAGGUGCAGCUGAUGUUGAGAAAUUAGUGAAGACCCUUCAUCAAAACAACUUGAACUUCAAGUAUUCAACACUUGACAAAGCCACGGGGUCAUUUGAUGAGGCCAACAAGCUCGGGCAAGGUGGAUUUGGCACGGUUUAUAAGGUAUGUAAUGGCUGAAUGCAUUGCAAUUAUGUUAACAUCAAUGCAAUACCAGAAGUGUUGUCAAUUAAACAGAGUCUGAGGCACAUUUUGUUGCAGGGUGUUUUGGCAGAUGGAAAAGAGAUCGCCGUCAAAAGGCUGUUCUACAACAACAAACACAGAGCUGCAGAUUUUUAUAACGAGGUUAACAUAAUCAGUAGCGUCCACCACAAAAAUUUAACAAGGUUAUUGGGCUACAGCUGCUCAGGACCGGAAAGCCUUCUUGUAUACGAGUUACUCCCUAACCAGAGUCUGGAUCGUUUCAUAUUUGGUAAGUAAUAGAACUUUGCAACAACAACUAUAUGCCUCAAUCCCAAACAAGUUAGGGUACAGCUAUACAAACCCUCUCUAUUCUAUUUAAGCUAAACUCAUGUCAUCAUUGCACCAACUAAAAAUAAAAGUACAAAUAAGUUAAACAUAGGUAACCGACUUCGCAUUAAGACUAAGUUGUGUGUUUUCACAUAACCAGCACAAUGACAAUAUCAUGUAUAUUGAUUCUAACCUUAAAAUUUGACAGACCCUAUCAAAGGUAAAGCUCUAAAUUGGGAGAAAAGGUUUGAGAUAAUUAUAGGGACAGCAGAAGGAAUGGUAUACCUACACGAGAACACAAAUACACGAAUAAUUCACAGAGACAUUAAGGCAAGCAACAUCCUGUUGGACUCGAGGCUCCGUGCAAAGAUUGCUGAUUUUGGAUUGGUCAGGUCAUUCCAAGAAGACAAGAGUCACAUAAGCACUGCCCUUGCUGGCACAUUGUUAGUAUUUCUUCGUCUCAUCUUCUAAUUUUUCGCGUAAAAAGUACACAAAAAUGCAAAAACUAAUAUGGUCCAGUAAUGGAUGAUUUACCCUUUUUAUGCAGAGGAUAUAUGGCUCCAGAAUACUUAGCACGCGGUCAGCUAACAGAAAAGCAGACGUUUACAGCUUUGGAGUUCUUCUACUAGAGAUUGUUACUGGAAGACAAAAUAACAAGAGAAAUAACUCUGAAUAUACAGUCAGCUUAGUUUCCGAUGUAAUUUCUGAUCAAUCACUUCUCUCUUGAACCAAAAUUUCAAUCUUGAAACAUUUUUGUUCACUGAUCUCGACUUUAUUGGAUGAAUUAACAGGUGUGGGAGCACUAUAAACGCGGGAUAGUGGAGGAACUCUUCGAUCUGAAUCUCAUGUUGCAUAACUACCAUACAAUCAAUGUAAGAAAUGAGGUUGCAAGAGUGUUACAUGUGGGGCUUUUGUGCACUCAAGAAAUCCCAACAUUACGGCCAUCUAUGUCUAAGGCAUUACAAAUGUUUGUCAAGAAAGACGAAGAGUUGCCUCCUCCUACUAAGCCGCCAUUCGUGGAAGAGAAAACCAUGGAAACUCACAACCCUCGAGAGAAGUACUCGGUAAAACAAGGCACUUCUGCUACGAUUGCCAACUUAUCUCACAGUUCAUUUUACCCCAGAUGAUGAUAUCCCAUUGACCUGAAGCUGAAGUAUAAAAUUGUCCUCAACUGACAACUAAACACUCCAACUUUGUCUAUGCACAUCUAGAGACCUCAAUUCUGAAAGUAUGGGGG
rnacentral:lncRNA from 1 species